rnacentral:lncRNA from 1 species
GAGAGAGAGAGGCCUGAAGGCAGAUAGAAAGAAAAGAGUUGCAGGGUAGGCUUUAUGCAUCAGACCUGGAGGUGGGGUGAGUAUUUUGUACCCAUUUUAUUGGUCAAACACUAUUGCAUGGCUUGGAGAGCCGGGAAAUAUUGGGUAGUCCGGGUUCUUUGGAGGGAUUAGAUCUGAGAUCUGAGAUCUAAGCUUUGGGAUUUAGGACCCAGAUAAUCACUAUUAGAUUAUAUUGUUCAUAGUAUAUGUUUUAUCAUUCAUGAAUAUUUCUGUUGGCUUCAUCUUAUGGUCAUAUUUUUAAUCAUAUUAUAUAGAGAUAUUUUAACUUGUUCCUAUACCUCUAGUCUUUUUUUCCACUAGACUGCCCUAUUUCUGUGCUUGUAAUUUAAAUUAAUCUUCCAAUCAGAUGGACUAUACCCUGAAGUAAGGUUGUUUUUUUUUUUUUUCCAGGCCCUUACCUGCCUGAGAUGGCGUUUGUUUUUUGUUUUUUGGGGUCUUUUUUCUGUUGUCUUGACAACUCGACUGUGUCAAGUAUUGAGGGCUGGUUCUCAUAUAUGGGCAUCUAAAGCAUGCAAUAAUUUCACAUGUCUCAAACUGACAAAAAUAAAGAAAUUUCCAUGCUUCCUACUUUAGGUGUCCACUAACAGAUUCUUCUUUCAGAAGAAUAACUGAGAGGGGCACCUGGGUGGCUCAGUCAGUGAAGUUACAGACUUGGGCUCAGGUCAUGAUCUCACAGUUCUUGAGUUCGAGCCCUGCGUCAGGCUCUGUGCUGACAGCUCAGAGCCUUGAGCCUGCUUCGGAUUCUGUGUGUCUUUCUCUGCCCACCCCCCCCUUGUGUUUUCUCUCUUGCGCACGCUCUCUCUCUCUCUCAAAAAUAAAUAAACAUUAAAAUAAAUUUUUUAAAGAAAGAAUAACUGAGAAAGGAAAAAAAAAAUCACUGGGGAAGGAAUAUUUGCCUAAGGCAAGACUGAUCUCUUUAUGUUGAAAAUUCCAGAAAAUCCUGCAUCUUAUAGAAUUGUUAAAAGCAUAACACUACGUAUGAUUAAAUUUAUAUUCACUCUUCUCAGAGUCUAUCAGUAGCCAUUACACCUUGUAGGAACUUCUUAUCAAAAGACUUGGUAAUCGUUAAAAAUAUUCGCUCAGAGAGAUUUGCUCCCACUUGAGAGGAAAAAAAAUUCUUUUAAGAUAUUUAAAUCUCUAUAUGCUGUAUGAACAUUACUCCUGCUCUCCUAUGGUAUGUAUUUUUUAAAAGAAGUUUUAUUUUAUUUGGGGGAUUGGGAAGGUUAACUAGCGGUAGCUUUCAAGUUUCAGAUUUAGUGAAAAAGAAUGAAGGAAGCUAGGCUUACCUGAUUUUUCCCCCCACCUGAGCAGAUGUCUCACUCAUGCCAGAAAUUGAAAGUAUAUGGACAAGGGGCAAUUUUUAAAUUUAUUUUGAAGUUACUAUUUUGUUGCAUUUCUUGGUCAUAUUUUUAUCUGUUUUCUCUGUAAUGUCCAUGAAUCUGUAUGUCUAGUUGUACUUUAACAGAACUUUUGCCUUUUAAAUUUUACAAUGUGUGAGAUCAGGCUUUUUUUAACUCUGGGGUUUAACAUCUCUUGUUGUCUCAUCUAGAACCAUUAAUAGGAAUUCUUACAAGACUCAGAUUGCUUUGGGAGACAUAAAUUGAAAGAUAAAUGAAUAUUCUAGUUUCUCUGAAAAUGUCUAGUUAUAUAGAGUUAAUUAGUUUCUAUGACCCUACCUGACCCUGGUUAAUUAGGUCAGUUGAGGUCUUACCGGAAUCAUGGACUUGAAUUUAACUCUGGAGACAGUGAUGGCGGCCUAUGGAAGACACAGGCCCCUUGGCUUAAAUAGAGAGCUUUCUUCCAUGUCUCUUGCUGACUAAUUUUUCCUAAUCUUUUUCAUUAACUCCUCUUCCUGUUUCAAAGCUAGUGUUGCUGAAGGUGGUACAGCAGGCGUGAGGAAUGGCGCUUUUACAUUGUUUUUGGCAAGGUAAACAGAUUCCUCCAAAUCUGUUUGGAGAAAAUUUUGUCAGGUUGAUCCAACUUUAAAUGGACAUUCCCUUUAACCCAGAAAUUCUACUUCAGAAUUAUCCUAAGGAAAUAAUUGGAUAUGUGAAUUAAAAUGUAUAUACAAGUAAUUGCUAAUUGUUUGUAAUAUCAAAAAAGUAGGAGCCCCUGAAUUAUGAGAUAUAUGUACGAUGAUAAUACAAAACAGACAUUGAAACGGUCAUGUGUGUUUAUUUACAGAGAUAUAGCCAGUUGACUCUUAUAAAUUGCUAAUAGAAAAGGGAAGGCUAUAAAAUGUUAUAGAUGUUAUGAUCCAAAUUUUAUAAAAAAUAUGUCUAUGUGCAUUUCAUCAUAAAAAGUCUGAAAAAUUAUACCACAGAAUGCUAACAGUUAUCUCUGGGUGAAUCUGAUGGGAUUACUGGUGAUUUUCUCAUUGUUCUCUAUAAUUUAUUGUAUCUUCUCAUUGUUAUUUAUAACUUGCUAUCUGAAUAUAUAUACAGUAUGUAUGUGUUGCUUUUUUAAUUAGGAAAAGCCAUAAAACUAUUUUCAUUUUGAAAAAUAAAUGACUUAUUGCUUUAAAGAAUAAACACGUACUUGUGGAAAAAAUAAAAAUAAUCCAUCCACGUAUUAAAAUUGUUGAAAUGGGGCACCUGAGUGGCUCAGUCAGUUAAGUGUCCAGCUCUUGUUUUCGGCUCAGGUUAUGAUCUCAUGGCCUGUGAGAUCAAGCCCUGUGAGGGGCCCUGAGCUGGCAGUGUGGAACCUGCUCAGGAUUCUCUCUCUCCCUCUCUCUCUCUGCCCCUCCUCUGCUUGUGCAUUCUCUCUCUCAAAAUAAAGCAAAUAAAACAUUUAAAAUAAGAGACUCUUAAAUACAGAGAGCAAACUGAGGGUUUCUGGAGGGGGAAGUGGAUUAAAUAGGUGACAGCAUUCAGAAUGCCGGAUGCUGCCUCUGGAUGCCUCACAUGCCCCUGAAGUCAAUAUGUCUAAAACUAAAUUUACCCUCGUAUCUUGAAAUCUGGCUCCUCGUGUAUUCCUAACCUCAGUUGCACAGGAUCCCUACCUACCUAAGUGGGAAAUGUGGAAGUCAUCAUGAGGCCUCUGCAUAACUCAGCCACCACAUUUAGUAAUGUACAAGUCCCAUGGCUUCACUAUAAUCUCUUUCCUCUUCUCCAUUUCCCGUUCAACAGAGCUAGUUCAGGUCCCUAAUACUUGCCUCUUUGGAUUGCUGCAAUUGUCUCCUAUACUCCUAUACUCAUAAAAUCCUAAAAGCACACCCCCAUGUUUUUGCUUAGAUCAUUCCUUCUCCUUCCUACUCUUCUUCUUCCUCCUACCUUCCUCUCCAGGAGAGUGGCCAGUCAACUUUCUAGGCUUGGUCCAAAUGUCACCUUCUAACCUUUCUGUUGGAAUUGGCAGGUCUUUCCCUUGUGGUCCCUAUUGGAAAACCCCAAAGACGUUUCCUAAUAAUGAUGGUAAUGGUUAACAUUGACUGAGAUUUCAUGGUAGGUUAACCACCAUUAUAAGGGCUUCAUAUGGCUUAACUCGUUCAAUAAUUACAAUUCUAUAAGAUAUACACUUUUAUUAUCUACAUUUAAUAGGUAAAGUUCAGAAGGUUUAUGUAAUUUGCCAAAGGUCAAAUCAUCCAUAAGUGGCAGAGCUAAGAUCUGAAUCCAACCUGGCUUGAAAGCCUGCAUAAGUCAUAUACAUAUGUGUCCUUAACCCAUACUUUAUUUUAGUGUAACAUCUUACUAGACUUCUUUUUCUAUCAUUACCUGUGGCUCCAUGCAAAGGUCACACAGACAACCUCAAUGAAGGUUUGCAGACCAAUUGAUUAAUUAAUUAAUUAAUCUUUCUGAGAUGGGAAGUCUAAACCAAAAGGAAUUAGCAUUGUUUAAACAUUUUUGUGGCUUAUUUUGUUUACAUCUGGAUGUACUCUGAGGUCCUUUUUAUUGUUAGAAUACAAUAGUAUUUUGUUCUCCCUUGCUUCUUGCUUAAUAAGACUAGAUCCUGCCUAUUUAUAAUGAGAUCACUAUCCUCAUGAUAAAGAAAACAUCUAGAAGAGAGUCAACUGAUUCAGCUCAUGCACACUGAGUGUAAUGGAACUUGACCAAGAACUGGUGGAGAUGAUCCUUGUGGGAAAUGUGGUUAAGUGAACAUCCACCAUGUCAGAGUUCUAUAGGUACUAAUGAUGGCUCAAUGGACAUCAGGAGCCAAGUUCAUACCUGGUCUAUCCUAUCAUCUAGAUGUCUUUUAAAUCCCUCACUUGGAGUUCUUACUUCCUGAAUGCAGACCAGGCAAUCGCCUACUCAUUGGUGCUUUUCCUCAUCUUGUGCAACCUGUAUACCACACACUGUCUGUCUGAAACACAGUUGUCUCAAGUCUCACCCCUUCCUCAAAUCUCUGAUGUUGACUCAUUGUCCCAAGGGUAAAAGUCAUAUUCUGUUGCCAGGUCCUUACAAUGGCUGCCGUCCUGCCUCAGUGACUCCUGACUCUACCUCUUGCUUCCACUAGUCACUAGUCCACCAUGUGAAAGGGGCUGCCAUUCUCUAGACAUCAGGUUUCCUCUGCCUGGAGUGUCAUUUACUCUUCUUUACUCAGUUUCCAAAAUCCAACUGUAAUUUCUCUACAUCUUCAAGGACUUGCUUUGGUUUAGUUUUGCAUUUUCUCCACUACUUUUCCAUCAUGUUUUGUGUACUUGGACCAUAAUUACUUGCUCACUUGAUCCAUUUACCUCCUUAGAACAUGACUUACUUGAGGUCAGGGUCAAUCUUAUAUUUUACUUUUGUCUUAAAGCCUUGGAAACUAGUGCUUCCCAAACUUCAAUGUGCACACAAAUCCCCCGACAUCUUGUAAAAUGCAGAUUCUGAUUCAGCAGAUCUUUCACGGGGCCGAGCCAGCAUUUGUAACAAGUUCCCAGAGGAAGACCAAUGCUGUUGGCCUCUGGAUCACACUUAGAAUACCAGGGCUGUGUAUUUUGGGAAGUUGAUUUUUUUAAUCAAUGAACCAAAAGGAUAAUAAAUAAAUAAAAAAAACAUAUUGUCAAAUUAUGUUCUGCUUUAUUUUUAACUUUUUUUUAAAACAGAGGAUUAACAUUUUCAUUCAGUCUAUGGGUCACUAAAUUUUUAUAGCUUAACAUUUCUUCACAUCUUAAUACUGUCAUAGUUUUUCUUCUUUAAAUUUUCCCCCUUUUAAAAUUAAAUUUAGGAUUUGUUUCAACCAGGGACAAUAUUACACAAAUCUGUUACUAUGGUGGAGCAAAAUUUAAAUUUUGAAAUAUAAUUCGUUUAAAAAAAAAUUUUCUCAGAUGCUAUAUAGGUCCUAUUUUCAUCACGGCCAGUACAACAUGGAAUCACAGCACAGUGGGAUAAGAGGUAUCUUCAGAAGUUCAUCAGUGUGUACAGGGGAUUCACUCAGAAUGUUCUUGGUUAUGUUUUUGAACGAGCGUUUUUUUAACGAAGAGUUGAAUUGAACUUUAAAGAUGGGUACUUGCUUUUCUGUGGUCACUUCCUGUUCCAGUUAAUAUUUGAUUUACAGGUAUGCCCCACCAAGCAAUCAGCUCACUACAAUUUAGCUUUUUUGUGCCCAAACUUAACUUUUCCACAUUCUCUUCCUCUGAACUCAAGAAACAAAACAAAUGAGCAAAGGGGAAAAAUAGAGAGGGGGAGACAAACUAAGAAACAGACUCUUAACCGUGGAGAACAAACUGGUGGUUACCAGAGGCGGGAGUGGGUGGGGGGAUGGGUAAGACAGGGGCUGUGGAUGAAGGAGGGCACUUGUCAUGACGAGCACCUGACAAUGUAUGGAAUUGUUGAAUCACUAUAUUGUACACCUGAAAGUAACAUUAUGCUGCAUGUUAACUGGAAUUUAAACAAAAACUUAAAAAAAAAAAUAAAUUUUAAAAAGAGGAAAACAUUAAAACAAGAGAAAAGAUGAAAUUCAGUACUGUAUACCUGGAAAGGGUCCAUGGGCAUUUCCCACCAAUGCCAAAUAUUGUACUCACUGUCAACAUCUCUACCUUGGAAACCAAGUAAAAAUGUACAAAUGAGUCAAAUACAUCAUAAGAAAAAAUUCAGAUCAAUUGCCAAUCAACGAACGGGAUAACAUCUGGUUAUUUUGAUGGUCAUAUUGACCAAACCAGUUCACUCGGAUGCAACCCAAUUCGAAUCACAAAUCUGAUUCAGUGACAACAGCAACAAAAGAUCGACUUGAGAUAACUCAUCAUUUGACAAUCUCAGGAUUCCUUUCAUUGUUUUGCUUAAGAACACUGAUAGACUUUCUGAGUUUCAUUGGAAAACCUGUGUAACAAGGACCUGUCAGGCUCUAAACCUCUGUGAUUCAAUGAAUAAUGUUAUUAUCUUCCCUGCAAGGUUUCAGUAUCCUAUUUAGAUGUCAUACUCUGCUUUCGCUGCAAUUUACGGGUACUUUUAAUUUCAAACAUAAAAUCUUUCAUCUUAAGGAGACAUGCGUUAUAUAUUUGUUUUAGUGUACCUCAGGGAACAAAGCCAAUGUGCAUUGAAGAUUCAAUUAGCAAUAGUGAGGGUGGUGAUUAAAGAGCUCCACUCGUCUGGCUGAUUCAUUUGGUCUCUUUUCAUCUAAUUUCUUAGGGACUAAAUGUAGCUUGAAAUAAAGUUUUAUUUUAAAUUAGUGUUCAGUGCAACCCAGCCAAGAAAGACUGUGGUGUUUUGUUUUGGUUUUUUUCCGAAUUCGUUCCCUUUGUGUACAGAGAAAUUCAGGAUCAGCUUUCCACCAUAAGCUGGAGUGUAGAAAGAUGAUCUGCUGCAUUAUUAGACUACCUUUCACCUCGCCUGAAAGUGGAAAUCACAAACCAGUGAUGUGUGGACUGGGUCAGUGUUUAGAAACCUAGGUUAGUUGACAAUGUCAAUUAAGAGACAUCACAUAAUCUGGAUUUCUGGCUCCAAGUGCCAGAGGUGAGUUGUGUCUGCCUCUUUGCAUUGUUCACAGAGUCCCCUCCUGGUCAGUGGCACUCAUUUAUGUGGCCUGCCUGGUGCCUAGAGCAUCUCCUGUUCUGAAGUUUUACGUUAUGCAAAUAUUCCCGAUUCUACACAGCAACAUGGAGGUGAGGGGUAGAGAAUAGAGUGUGCACCAAUUAUGGGACUCGCCCAUCCCAAUUUAGACAAAGGCCAGUGCAACUUACUGAAAGAAGAGGCAGCAAUGUAGGUGAGACCAAGGUUUAAGGCCCAUCUAAUAGUCAUCCAUCAGAUGGAGGAACAGCAGAAGUGAUGUGGCAGCCCCCUCCUCCCCCAGGUUAAGGUGGAUGCAGAGGAGGGGAAUUGUGGUUUGGAGUCAUCAUUUGAGAGGAAUUUUAAGGAGUAGCAAGGAACCUUCCUGCAAGCAGGGGGCUCAGGGGCUCAUUCCCAGGAAGGGUAGGAGGAAUGAAGCAGAAACCUUAGUGCUCCAAGUAGAGGAUCAUGAUGACCAAGAUGUAGGACCCUGGGUCUGUUGGGAAAGCAAGAUGGCAGCUCAGGGGUAAGUGCUGGGACAACCAGAUAUGCCAGUUGGCCAAUGCUGAGUUUCGGCGAUUGGUAGUCUAAGGCUCUGAGCUUCUCCUCUAAUUCUAAAAUAGGUCCAGAACCAGAGAUAGGAGAUGUCUUUGAAUCUGACUUCGAGGAUGUGGGGAAACAGACACACAGCAAUUACAGCAGGUUCUGGGACUCUGGCAUGGCUGUAGGAGGGCAAAAACAUCUUGAUCUCAUGCUUCAAUUAAACCAAAGUAAUUCAUUCUUUGCUACUUCCACCCUUCUGCUUUAUUAGCAUGAGGUUAGAAAGUAUAUUAUUCUAAAAAUGACUCAAGGUGGAAAUCUCUGCAAACAUGGUAAGAAUGUGAGACGAUAAAGGAUAACCCCCUUGUCCACUGAUCUCUAUUCAGCCUGUACUCACUGAACUCACAUUGAGCAACCACUUUUAUUAAUUUUUUAAUGUUUAUUUAUUAUUUUUGAGAGAGACAGAGUCGAGCAGAAGAGGGUCAGAGAGAGGGAGACACAGAAUCUGAAGCAAGCUCCAGGCCCUGAGCUGUCAGCACAAAGCCCGAUGUGGGGCUCGAACUCACAAACUGUGAGAUCAUGACCUGAGCCAAAGUCAGACGCUUAGCUGACUGAGCCACCCAGGCACCCCUGAGCAACCACUUUUAUAUCUGAACGGAUAUUAGGGUUUGAAGCCCACAGUUCACGCCCUAUCCCCCAACUUGGUCCUCCCCAUGAGAAAAAUGGCCUUUUGCCUCCUGAACACCUGAGGGUUAACUGGCCAAGAAAGGGGUUACUGCUUAGGCAGAUGAAGAGAUUAGAUAUGAGACAAUAAACAUGCAGCCCUUGGCUGAUAUACCUCUGGCCCCAGAUCCUGAGAGGCAUCCCUAAUUGAUUACAGCACUCUUUCCUGCUGAGCCGGGAUGAGGCCUCGGGAUCCCUCCCAAUACCAUGUCCCGGGAGCCAAUCAAUUAGGGUUGACACUGGAAAUGAAAUGCAUCUGCCCUGCUUUGAUUAGGUUUUUACUUCCAAGUGUGCUGUGGAUGAAGCCACUGAGUGGGGUAGAAUAUCCAAGUCCAGGUUGAAAGCAGGCAAAUUGCCAGCCAGGGAAAUUUAUAUCAGAAUACACAUUUAAGGUAUUAAUUUGUUUUUGUCUCUCCUUCCCACCCCACCUUUUCUAGGUAGAUAGGCAAGUCCCUUAUAGUCCCUUGCUCGUGGGAUUAUGGCUGGGCAAAAAAAUGAGGAGUAUAAGGGGAAACAACACCCGUCCUUUGUAAAAGCUUGAACUGAAUGAAAAGAUUCUUUGCUAUGUGUUUCAAAAAGAAGGAAUGUGGUCGGGAGGUGGGGAGGGGGGCACAUAAGCUCAUUUGGGUGAUAGUCCUACAGGAACGUGGGUGGAACUUGUAUCAUUCAUGGUCCCAGCAGGAAGGUGAUAAUGCCCUCAAAUUAGGGGGAGGGAAACCCUAAGGAAGAAGGAAGUAACCGGAGUCUAAUAACAGCACAGCUGUUCUCACCACUUGGCCCAAAGGGGUGAAGGGUGGCAGUGGUAGCCAGGGCAGGAAGGAGAGCGUGGCCUCAAGAGGCUGAUCUGGACAGUGGCCAUGACCACGGGUGGAGGGACACACCAGCCCUAGGAAGCCAGGCAGGGAGGGAGCCAGGAAGGAAAAUACCCCUAUAUCACCCCCUUCCUUCCCUCCUCUCUCCUGCUUCACCUCCCCGUGGCCCAAACCAGUCAGAAACCAAAGGGCAAGGGAGCCCAUUGUUGUUCCUGUAGGUUAACAGGAAGCAGGGUGGAAAAGGGUGGGGUGCAAAUCAGAGGACCAAAUAGAGUGCAUCUGUCAUUACCCAAACCAUUUCCUUUCAACAUUCGCUCUUGCCUUCCCCUGGGUGAGAAGAGUUUGUACUAUCACAAGGGACAGGACAAUCCUAUCUGCUACCAUGUUAUCAAGGGACGCUAUAAAUUCAGCCGUACUCCCACCUGAAACCUAAAACAUUAGCCACUGUCAGCAGUCUACUAGAAGGUAUGAGAGGAAAAUGGGGGAACAAAAGAAGUGAUGAAUAUAGCUGCUAUAGUCCCCAAUGUGGUAGUUGGUUUGGGGUCAAAUUUGGGAAUCAUAUAUCUGUGGUUUUCUACUCUCCUUUCCUCUACUCCUGCCAACACUUCAGAUGGAUGGAACUCUCUACCUGAUGAGGUGAACUCAAACUUAACCUCUUUAGUAGCUGAGCUCUUUAUGUUUUUUUUUCCCUUCAUUUUGUUCCCACAAUACUUCACUGAUGAGAUCUACUGGGCAAAGGGGUCCUGGGAGGCACUCCCAUGAAUCCCUUGGGUUGUGGCCACAGACUCCCUCCCCUGAUGAGUAGCAGCACCUCAAUUUCCCUUGAUGAUAAGUACAUGAUGAGCACUGACAGCACAGUCCUGCUCUUCUCUAGAAGCAUCAUGAGAAGCUCAAAUGGCCAGUUUCUUGGUUUUUUUUUUAAGUUUUUAUUGAUUUAUUUUGAGAGAGACAGAGAGAGAGAGGGGGGCUCGAGCUCACAAACCGCGAGAUCAUGACCUGAGCUGACAUCAAGAGCUGGACACUCAACCGACUGGACCACCCAGGCGCCCCAUCAAAUGGCCAGCUUCUAAUUAAAUGCCACCCUCGUCGUCUUUCUUGGUGGAAGCAUUCCUUCCUUGGCACUAGGACCUCCGACCCACCUGGCCCAAGGUCUCAGGAGUUAGAAGCCAAAGUCCUUCAAGUUACUUAUUAGAUGUAAAAGUGAGAGGGUCCUUCCCACCUCUUGAUUCUCAGACCCACGCAUCAUGGGGAGAUAAUGCCAUAUAUUUCGGCUGUUUAAGACACAUGCCAUGUCCAGCCUUGAUUGGUGCUGUCCUCUAGUUAGCACCAUAGCGGAGUCUUCAGCAGGGCAUUUCACUGUUCUGUUGAGCACACUGCUUCUGAAUGCUAGUGCACAGAAGAAGACAUCGUCUUCUGUAUUCCAUCCCUGCAUUUCUUUGCUGUAAAACAUAUGCCGUGGAUGGAGGUGAGGGCGUAUGGUAACCCAUGGCAACAGGUAAUUGAUUAUGUAAACCCACAAAUGGUACUGAUAAAAGGCUUUUAAGGAGUAUCUGGUAAACGGGUCAGAGAAACAUUCCAAAAUAUAGCAUACGUGACCUCCCAACUCCAAGACGUUGUGCGUCCCUCUUAGGCAUGGGCAGAGUACCUUCCAAUACCUUUUCUCUAAGAGUGAAACUCCAACAUUUCAUAGAUCAAUAGACUUCUAGAAACUUUAUCAUCCUGGAAGGCCCCUAAACUUUCUUAAAGUUUCUCUCUCAUAUUCUUGCAUUCAUAUGCCUCAGUGAGCUAUCUAGAAUGCUUAAUACCUUUUGCUCACUAGAUCCGAUUAGUGUCAGCUGAUCUAUACGACACAUCACCAUGACGUUCUGUGAGCUAUCAGAGUGAGCAACGUUCCUUUGGCUCAUAUUAGAUGAGAGAAUGAAAAAAUUUACACAGCUAUGAGACAGUGUAGUAAAGUUUUACACCACCGUGAAACAAUACCAUAAAAGUAAAUUGUUGUCCCUGCCAUAUAAAUACAAACUCCUUUUGUUUGGAAUGGAGGAAUAAAGCAUUUGUCACGUCAUUAACUGCAUACCGGCUAGCAGGAGCUGUGCGGAUCUGCUCCAGUAAAGGACCACAUCUGAAACCAUUUCUGUGAUUGGCUUUAUUACCUGACUAUUUUUAUUACCAGAAUAAGCUUGUAAUAACCUGCUGCCAUUUUCUAAAACCCAUCUUGCUUUUGCGCCAGGAAUAUAGGAAAACCAAAAUAUUUAGAGUGAGAAUCACCACCUCUGUGCCUCUCAAGUCCUUGAUGGCUGUGCUAAUUUCUGCUUCUCCUCCAGGGAUGAAAUCCUGCUUUGGGUUUGUUAUUAUGGCAGAAGUAGCAGAUCCAGCAGUCUUCAUUUGGACCUUCCUCCCAUAAUCGCCCUCCCUCCACUGGUAAGGAAACCAAUGUGGACCUUCUAUCAGUUACUAAGUGUCUACACCCACUAUUCAUUCUGAGGCCUCAGCCCCCUAUUCAUUAGAACCCCUAUUCUGAAUGACAGACCAUCAUAUCGAUCAUGUCUCUGAGGAUGAUCAUAAGUUUAGAACCAAUUUCUAAUAACCCCUGGAGGUUCUCUAUAUUUUCCCUUCCCAGUGCACAGUGACUCUGGUAAAUGGCCAUGGGCUCCUCUGGGAGGGAACUGGUAAAGAGCCAUGAAUCCAGACCAACCUGACUCAUGUCAGGUCUCUUCCCACCAGACCUCAAAAUUUUCUAUAUAUAUAUAUAUAUAUAUAUAUAUAUAUAUAUAUAUGUCAAGAAUUAUCUCUUCCUUUUCUUGAAACUCCAUAAUCAAUACACUAUCAUUGAGUACCCCUGAGAAUCAAAACACUCUGAGUCCAAGAGUGUUAUAUGGUGAGUUAUAUUAAAUGUUUAAGGGAUAUAUGGUGCCAACCAUACAUAAAUCCUUCCAGAGGAUUAAGAGUAUAGACUUUCCAAUUCAUUUUAUAAAGCUACAAUAACCUUUGGUCUUCAGUAGAGACCAAAAAGAUCAGUAUGAUAAAGGAAAAUUGUAGGCCAAUAUUGUCAUAGACAUACUUGCAAAAUUCACACAUAUUACACAAAAAAAAUACACCAAGUAUUAGUAAGCCAAAUCCAGCAAAGUAUAAAUGGGUUAAUAUUUUAUGACUAAGUUGAUUUUAUCCUAAGAAUGUAAGUUUAUGUUAAUAUUUGAAAAUCAAUAAAUGUAAUUUACCAUAACUGAAUAUAUAAAAGAAAACCACAUGGGGGCGUCUGGGUGGCUCAGUCGAUUAAAUGUCUGACUUCAGCUCAGGUCAUGAUCACACAGUUCCUGAGUUCCAGCCCUGCCUCUGACUCUGUGCUGACAGCUCAGAGCUUGAAGCCUGCUUUGGAUGCUAUGUCUCCUUCUCUCUCUCUGCCCUUCCCCCCCCGAAAAAUAAACAUUAAAAAAAAAAAAAAGAAAACCACAUGGUUAUUUCAAUAGGUACAGAAAGUGUGCAUAAAAUUCAAUAUUCGUUCAUGAUAAAGAGUAGAAAUGCAAGGGGAUGCCUGGGUGGCUCCAUCGGUUGAGCGUCGACUCUUGAUUUUGGCUCAGAUCAUCAUCUCACAGUUCAUGAGAUCAAGUCCCAUAUCAGGCUUCAGCACGGAGGCCGCUUGGGAUUCUCUGUCUCCCUCUCUGUCUGUCCCUCCUUCAUGCUCUCUCUCUCUCUCUGUCUCAAUAAAUAAAUAAACAUUAAAAAAAGAGAAUAGAAACAUCAAAAUAAAACUAAAAACUAUAUUGAGCUAAAUGGAUUAUCAUACUAACCUUAGUAAGGAAUGCAUGAUCUUUUCAAUGAUUUGUAUAAGGUCAGUUGGAUAUCUGUAUUUAAAAAAGUAAACUUUGACCUCUACCUUUCACCAUAAAGAAAAAUUCUUUUGAUUUGGAGCACAGAUUGUGUCAUAAAGGAAUUGAACUUAUAAAACUGAACAGAGGAAAAUAUUUUCAUCAUAGGGGGAUAGGCAAUGAUUUUUAAAACAAGGUACCCAUAUCCAGAAUAUGUUUUUUAAAACUUCUACAAAUUGGGGCACCUGGAUGGCUCAGUUGGUUAAGCAUCUGACUCUUGAUUUGGGAACAGGUAGUGAUCUCACAGUUCCCUCUCUCUCUACCCACCACCCAAAAUAAAUAAAUAAACUUAAAAAAAAAAAACUUCUACAAAUCAAUUAUAAACAAAUAGACUAUAAAAAUGGGUAAAAGGCUUGAACAACACUUCACAAAUAGGAUAUCCAAAAUGUCCUCCAAAUAUAUGUAUGUGUAUGUGUGUGUGUGUGUGUGUGUGUGUGUGUGUGUGUAUACACAUACAGAGAAAGAGAGAUGCUCUAUAUUAUUAGUGAUUAGCUAAAAUGGAAAUUGAAAGCACAAUGUGGUCAGGUUAGGACCUGAAUAGACAUUUUGCCAAAGAAGACCUACCGAUGGCCAGCAGACAUGUGAAGAUGCUUAGUAACGCUAAUCAUCAGGGAGAUGCUAUCCAAACCACCAUGGGGUACGACCACACACCUGUCAGAAUGACUAAUAUCAAAAACACAAGAAAUAACAAGUGUUGGUGAGGAUGUGGAGGAGGUGCGCUGUUCGCAGGAAUGCGAAUUGGUGCAGCCACUCUGGAAAACAGUGUGGAGGCUUCUCAAGAAAUUAAGAAUAGAAAUACCAUAUGGUCUGGUAAUUCCACUGCUAGGUAUUUACCCAAAGAAAAUGAAAACACUAAUUCGAAAAGAGAAAUGCACCCCCGUGUUUAUUGCCGUAUUGUUUACAAUAGCCAAGAAAUGGAAACAACCUAAAUGUUCACACAUAGGUGAAUAGAUAAAGAAGAUGUGACACAAUAGAAUGUUACUCAGCCAUCAAAAAGAAUGAGAUCUUGCCACUUUUGACAACAUGGAUGGACCCAGAGGAUAAUAUAUUAAGUGAAAUAAGUCAGUCAGAGAAAGACAAAUACCAUUUGAUUCCACUUAUAUGUGGAAUCUAAAAAACCAAAUGAACAAAUAAACAAAGCAAAACAGAAACAGACUCAGAUACAGAGAACAAUAUGGUAGUUGCCACAGGGAAGGGAGAUGGGGGGAUGGGCAAAAUAGAGGAAGCGGAUUAAAAAGUACAGAGUUCCAGUGUAUAAGUCACAGGGUAUAAUGUACAGCACAGGGAAUAUAGUUAAUAAUGGUUUAGUAACUUUAUAUGGUGACAGAUGGUAGUGAGAUUUAUUGUAGUGAUCUCUUUGUAAUGUAUAUAAAUGUUGAAUCACUAUGUUGUGCACCUGAAACUAAUACAAUAUUGUUUGUCAACGACACUUAAAUUUUAAAAAGGUGAGGAUACCUAGUUUGGCAAGCAUGCGAAACACUGCAUCCUUGCAGUGUUUUUGCUACUAUUAGCUGGAGGGUUCAAUUGGUACACUUUAUAGAACUGUUUUUUAGCACUUUGAGGGCUAAACACAUCCCUACUGUAUGACACCCAACCAUAUUCCUGUGUAUAUAUUAUAAGAAAUGAGUGUUUCCAUCCACCGAAGGACAUGUUUAAAAAAAUAAUCAGAGCAGCUUUAUUCAUAAUUGUCUAAAAUUGAAAACAACCCACUAUCCACCAAAACCAUAAUGGAGAACAAAUUAUAUUGUAUUCAUAACCAUACAAUUACACACAGCAAUGGAAAUAAAGAACCCAGACUACUUAUAUACCCAAUAACAUGGAUGAAUCUAUCACGUUGAAUGAACUAAGUCAGAAAUGAAGGUUCACAUGGUGUGUGAUACCAUUGACAAACCUCAAAUACAGCCAGAUUUAUGGGGAGAGAAGUCAGAAGAGUCAUUACCUUUGGGGGCAGGAUAUUGAGGAGGAAGGGGUUGUGGUGGAGCCAUCCACCUGUAAAAAUGAUACAGAAUAGAAAUAUUCUAGGGGCACCUGGGUGGCUCAGUCGGUUAAGCAUCCGACUUCAGCUCGGGUCGUGAUCUCACAGUUCGUGAGUUUGAGCCCCGCAUUGGGCUCUGUGCUGACAGCUCAGAGCCUGGAGCCUGCUUCUGAUUCUGCGUCUCCCUCUCUCUGCCCCUCCCCAACUCAUGUUCUCUCUCUCAAAAAUAAAUAAACAUUUUUAAAAAUUAAAAAAAAGAAAUAUUCUAGAUCUUUUGAUGUCUGGUGGCAUAUAUUAUAUAUUAUAUUUAAAAUUCAUCAUCCUCUGUGCUUAAGAUUUGUUAACUUUAUUGUAAAAUUUAUUUGUAAACUUUUCUGAGGUUAUAACUCAAUUUUGAAAAUUAUUUUCAAAUGUAGAAGGAGGGGGUGGUGGGUGGGAGAUGUGGUAAGUAGGAACGUUAACUUGGUCCAUAGACAUUAACACAGGGGCAGCCAUAUAGCAAUACUGCAAUUUCCUUGCCUAACAGCUCUGCUCCUAUUAAAACUAUGCAGAUAAUGGAAAAGCAGUAGAGUGAGACUCCCCCCUCCUGCUUUUUUGUGUCAGUCACACAGUAACUAAGUGGUGAAACCAAGUUUUGAACCCACCUUAUCUGACUCCAGGAUCUGUCUAGGAACACACACUAAGAUUGUUUUUCAGACCAAUGUAUAAUAAGGCUAUGUGUAUUAUUAUUAUUAUUAUUAUUAUUAUUAUUAUUAUUUAAUUUUAGAAAGAGAAUGGGGAGAGGGGCAGAGAGGGAGAGAGAAUCUUAAGCAGGCUCCACACUCAUCACAGAGCCCGAUACAGGACUCGAUCCCAUAACCCAAAGAUCAUGACCUGAGCCAAAAUCAAGAGUCGGAUGCUCAACCAUCUAAGCCACCCAGAGGCCCCAUAUCAGUGUAUUAUUUAUAAUCUUCUGAAUAUAUUGUUGACUUUAUUAAUUUCUAAUAAUAUUAGUACAUAGUAUGAUUCAUUUCUUUGAGUUGUCUUUAUAAAGCCCUAAAUUAAUGCAGUCACUUCAGGUGUUAGGAAGAAAAAACAAAAAACAAAAAACACUUAAAUUUUGAAACCUGGUCUAAUAUUUGCAAUCGUGUGGCCCAAAUUAGGCAGACCAAAUAAGUUACCAUUUUUCUCUUUGGAGAAGCGUAUAGUCUUAUGCCAAGAGGUAAAGUGAUAACCACUCUCUGUGACAGUGAAGUUCUCUGAGCCAUAAACUGUUUCAAACUACACUAUUUUUGAAAUAUUUGUCUUCCCUGGAAAGGAGAGUUUUCUCCCUCUCUGCCUCCCUCCCUCUGUCCCUCCCUCUCUCUCUCUCUACCUCUCUCUCUUUCCCACCAGGGCAGUGUUCCCAAGAGUUCUUUCCUAAAUUGAGAAAAGAAAUAACAAAACCUCAAUUUACAAAUGGCCUGUUGUGCAGAUUUCCAUAUACGAAUGCAUUCCCACUCUGGUGUGCUCAGAGUAACCCUCUUCCCUUCUGACCAGAUUCUCUCCGAUUUUAAGUGCUCUGGGCUAAUGGUACCAUCUGGUGCCUGGAGCUGGAAACUGUUCUUAUCCAUGUCUUUUCCAUACCACCUUCUUUCUUCCUCUCCAAAACCAGGGUACCCAGAUGCGGGGCACUUGUUUCCUUUGUGUUUCGGGAUCUGAAAUAGUGCCAACUUAGCUCAUCCUACUUGCGGCAAAUUGAGCGAUACCCCCAUUCCUGCCUGUACAUGUUCUCUUUCUUUCAAAUUUUCUGUACUGACUUUUUUAUUAUUAUUAUUAUUUUUUUAAUGUUUAUUUAUUUUUGAGGGAGAGAGAGAAAGUGAGCAGGGGAGGGGCAGAGAGAGAAGGAGACACAAAACCCGAGGCAGGCUCCAGGCUCUGAGUUGUCAGCCCAGAGCCCGAUGCAGGGCUCGAACUCAGAAACUUAACCAUCAGGUCAGCCGACCUGAGCCGAAGUCAGAGGCAUAACUGACUGAGCCACCCAGGUGCCCCUAGGUAGGGACUUUUAAAAAUGGUUCCAUCUUAACCUUAAAAUCAGGGAGACUGAGGAUUAGAGAAACUUAAUACAUUUUCUUACUGUCACACAGAAGCAGAAACAGGGCUGAAACAGUAGUAAUGGAUUGUUCGGAACGGCUUGGAGGGACAACUUGGAGAAUUUGGGGCAAAUGUAAAGUGAGAAUAAUCUAUGUUUUUUAUUUUCAGUCAUGUGAACUUUCCUGGAGAACGUGGUGAUACCUUCAAAUAGCAAGUAAGUGAAGGUACUUCUGUUUUAUAAGCGUGUGUUACUGAGGGUUUCCUAAUGUGUGGGUUUGUUUGAUCUGUCUGCCAUCUUUUUUUCCCAUUUCGUGUUUCUGUAUUGGGCCUUCUCUGCUGACCUGAGAAGCGGUUGGUCUUUGUCAGUUGAAUCGCAUCAGACCUUUGAAUUUUCCCCAGAAGCAUCUCCCUGUUCCAAUUGCCGUUUUCUACAGGCCAGAAUAAUAUCCCAUCAUCUUUGUGCUUACAAAUGAUAACACCAGAUGGAUGUUUCAGCAGAAAUGAUAUCUAGAUGCCUAAUUAUUACAUAAGUGGCACACAAGAUACAGAGUCAACUAAAUUUAAGUCCACUGUGAUUUUGGUAAAUUUACCAAAUCAAGAGGGUGAGCUGGUUGCUUUGUCUACAAGUCUUUUUUUUUUUUUUUUUUUCAUUUGAUUAUGACUGGUAAAUUUAAGGAAAAUUAAUUUUGGAUUGCUUAAGUUUUGGGCACAAAUUAAGCAUAAAAAAGAAUAAUGACCUCAGUGGAUUAAAAUAUAUCAAAUAUGUAAGAAUUUCAUAAAAAUACUACCUUAAUUGGUCACCUCUGGAUGUUGCUAGGAUACCAAGUCACUGUUCUAAAAGCCAGCAAAUAGAAGUAAGAAAUCAAGUAUUUGUCUUGCUUUCUUGUACAGAUUAUAUUUCUGGGUAAAUAGUUUAGUAAGAGAAUCUCCUCCUCCUCCUCCUCCUCCUCCUCCUCCUCCUCNNNNNNNNNNNNNNNNNNNNNNNNNNNNNNNNNNNNNNNNNNNNNNNNNNNNNNNNNNNNNNNNNNNNNNNNNNNNNNNNNNNNNNNNNNNNNNNNNNNNNNNNNNNNNNNNNNNNNNNNNNNNNNNNNNNNNNNNNNNNNNNNNNNNNNNNNNNNNNNNNNNNNNNNNNNNNNNNNNNNNNNNNNNNNNNNNNNNNNNNNNNNNNNNNNNNNNNNNNNNNNNNNNNNNNNNNNNNNNNNNNNNNNNNNNNNNNNNNNNNNNNNNNNNNNNNNNNNNNNNNNNNNNNNNNNNNNNNNNNNNNNNNNNNNNNNNNNNNNNNNNNNNNNNNNNNNNNNNNNNNNNNNNNNNNNNNNNNNNNNNNNNNNNNNNNNNNNNNNNNNNNNNNNNNNNNNNNNNNNNNNNNNNNNNNNNNNNNNNNNNNNNNNNNNNNNNNNNNNNNNNNNNNNNNNNNNNNNNNNNNNNNNNNNNNNNNNNNNNNNNNNNNNNNNNNNNNNNNNNNNNNNNNNNNNNNNNNNNNNNNNNNNNNNNNNNNNNNNNNNNNNNNNNNNNNNNNNNNNNNNNNNNNNNNNNNNNNNNNNNNNNNNNNNNNNNNNNNNNNNNNNNNNNNNNNNNNNNNNNNNNNNNNNNNNNNNNNNNNNNNNNNNNNNNNNNNNNNNNNNNNNNNNNNNNNNNNNNNNNNNNNNNNNNNNNNNNNNNNNNNNNNNNNNNNNNNNNNNNNNNNNNNNNNNNNNNNNNNNNNNNNNNNNNNNNNNNNNNNNNNNNNNNNNNNNNNNNNNNNNNNNNNNNNNNNNNNNNNNNNNNNNNNNNNNNNNNNNNNNNNNNNNNNNNNNNNNNNNNNNNNNNNNNNNNNNNNNNNNNNNNNNNNNNNNNNNNNNNNNNNNNNNNNNNNNNNNNNNNNNNNNNNNNNNNNNNNNNNNNNNNNNNNNNNNNNNNNNNNNNNNNNNNNNNNNNNNNNNNNNNNNNNNNNNNNNNNNNNNNNNNNNNNNNNNNNNNNNNNNNNNNNNNNNNNNNNNNNNNNNNNNNNNNNNNNNNNNNNNNNNNNNNNNNNNNNNNNNNNNNNNNNNNNNNNNNNNNNNNNNNNNNNNNNNNNNNNNNNNNNNNNNNNNNNNNNNNNNNNNNNNNNNNNNNNNNNNNNNNNNNNNNNNNNNNNNNNNNNNNNNNNNNNNNNNNNNNNNNNNNNNNNNNNNNNNNNNNNNNNNNNNNNNNNNNNNNNNNNNNNNNNNNNNNNNNNNNNNNNNNNNNNNNNNNNNNNNNNNNNNNNNNNNNNNNNNNNNNNNNNNNNNNNNNNNNNNNNNNNNNNNNNNNNNNNNNNNNNNNNNNNNNNNNNNNNNNNNNNNNNNNNNNNNNNNNNNNNNNNNNNNNNNNNNNNNNNNNNNNNNNNNNNNNNNNNNNNNNNNNNNNNNNNNNNNNNNNNNNNNNNNNNNNNNNNNNNNNNNNNNNNNNNNNNNNNNNNNNNNNNNNNNNNNNNNNNNNNNNNNNNNNNNNNNNNNNNNNNNNNNNNNNNNNNNNNNNNNNNNNNNNNNNNNNNNNNNNNNNNNNNNNNNNNNNNNNNNNNNNNNNNNNNNNNNNNNNNNNNNNNNNNNNNNNNNNNNNNNNNNNNNNNNNNNNNNNNNNNNNNNNNNNNNNNNNNNNNNNNNNNNNNNNNNNNNNNNNNNNNNNNNNNNNNNNNNNNNNNNNNNNNNNNNNNNNNNNNNNNNNNNNNNNNNNNNNNNNNNNNNNNNNNNNNNNNNNNNNNNNNNNNNNNNNNNNNNNNNNNNNCCCUGAUAUCAGGAUUUGUAUGCAAGCCACACAGUAUGGGAUGUGUUUCCAGAAGAGAUUGUUAAUGGGGGCGGGGGUGGGCAGGGAAGCAGGACAGGAGGGGUAAGAGGUCACCAAGGAAUGAUUUCAGACAUUGUAUUAAAGGGUACUUUCAGCUUCAACCCUCAGGGGAAUCUACCAGGUAAGUUACCCCUCAAAGCUGCUUUGCCCAGAAACCAGGAAGCUGGCUCUCACUCUUCCCACCCAUCCGUUAACUCGCUAAAGAUCAGGACGUAAGCCCCCAGGCACUGCCUGGGAAAAGUGGAUCCAGAGCCCACAGACAGGCUUUGGAAAAAGAAUUCCAGGUGCAGGUCUUUGGAGACAAAAGCACCCUGAAACUUGGAGGGGGGACACAGACAUUGGUAAAGGGAUCUGAGAGCAUCUUGGUGGAGGGCGGCAUCAACAGUGCCCACUAAGGAUGCUCCAGGAGCGAGAGGAGAGACUGUGGAGUAAUGGAGGCAGAAGCAAGGUGCACGUAAUAUUGCAAAGUAUGGAAGCAAAGUGCGUAUGUUUGGAAACUUGCCUAAAAACUUGGAAAAGUAUGCAGUCAUGACUCACUCACCUGUUAGAUAGAAGCGUUCUGAUCUGAAAAGAAAAACAACAAAGAUUCAUUUGAUCAGAAAGUUAGUUUCUAAUUCAGUUGUUGAGAGCUUGAAAGUGACUGACAUUUGGAAACAAUGUCAUAUGCUGGUGUAUUUCUCAGAUAACCCCCACUUUGGCUCAUAAUAGGGAGGAAUAUUAUGUGCUUACAAGGAAACAGUAGAAAACACCACAGAGGUAACACAAAUAAUUAAAGCCAUGCUUCUGAGAAACUGGUUUGCUGGGUCUUUGAUGUUCCAGGGAAAGCAGCUGUUCUUGGAACUCCUUUGGUUUUACCUUACUCUCUGCCAAAGGGCUGCUUUACAACUUUACCACUGGGUAAGAGAUUGUUGGAGGUAUGUGUUUAGGAGGAAUGCUUACUUCUUUUUUCUUUUUUAAUGUUUAUUUUUUUUUCUUCUUUUUUUAUUUUUUUUUUUAAACUUUUUUUUUUUUUUCAACGUUUAUUUAUUUUUGGGACAGAGAGAGACAGAGCAUGAACGGGGGAGGGGCAGAGAGAGAGAGAGGGAGACACAGAAUCGGAAACAGGCUCCAGGCUCUGAGCCAUCAGCCCAGAGCCCGACGCGGGGCUCGAACUCAUGGACCUCGAGAUCGUGACCUGGCUGAAGUCGGACGCUUAACCGACUGCGCCACCCAGGCGCCCCUUUAAUGUUUAUUUUUGAGAAAGAGAGAGACAGAGCAUGAGCGGAGAGAGAGAGAGGGAGACACAGAAUCUGAAGCAGCUCCAGACUCCAAGCUGUCUACACAGAGCCCCAUGCGGGGCUUGAACUCACAAGCCGUGAGGUCAUGACCUGAGCUGAAGUCAGAUGCUUAACUGACUGAGCCACCCAGUCACCCCAGGAAUGCUGACUUCUUAAUGAUCAAGGAGUCUCUAUGGCUGCUGCUGUUCCAAGUUAUAUCAAACUCAACACUCCAAGCACAGGCUUCCUAACACAAAUUAUUCUUUUUCCCCCCUCCUGAUCAAGGUGAGAGUUUCAGUUAGAAAGUAAAGUAGAAGGGGAGACUCCCACAAAGUGAACCUGUUUAUUCUGACAUACUGUAGUACCCGAGCAGGAAGGUUUGAUGAAAUUAUUUUUCAUGCAAUCCAGUCUGUUAUGAAUUCAUCUUUGAUGUGCCGUGCGAACUCCUUUUCAGAUCUCCCCAUAAGGGUGAGAUGCCUUUACCAUGUGUUUUUCUGCCUCCGGUUCUAUUGACUUCCUUGUCAUGUAGAUUUCCUCAAUUAUAUCAUAUCAGGAGAGAAAUGUGUAUUACCAGGGUGCACACCCAGGUCACGCCACCAAGAUUUCAAAACAUUGUGCAAGCUAGCUCAAGUUCACCUUGAGCUGGAUGCUCCUUCAAGAAUGCACUUAGGACUCAUAUCAUUGCUAUUAGCUAACUCUGAUGCCUUUUCCUACUCCAAUACAUAUUUCUCAUCUGUGUGCUACAAAAUACUCCAUCAUGCACAUUAUUUAAUUCUGUGCUCAUAAUAACCCUCAGCCCCCUUAUGUGCAUGACGUGAUUUCCCCAAAGUCACAAUGUUACUAAUGAGAGCCAGGAUACACACAAAGUCUGUCUAACUCUACUACCCACAUUUUUUUCCCAUUCUUUUCUGCACAAGAAGAGCUGAGGAGUGUCAUGGUUGCUGUUUCCUUCUUCAGAUCAUUUCCCAGAUUUCCUUUGGAAAAGCUGUCACUCUUUUACUGAGAACCAGGAAAAUUUGCUUCCCAUCAAAAGAAGCAAUAAAUGUAACAAGUAAUAAAAACAAUGGUUAACUUGCUGACUGUGUGUUAGGCACACUCAUAUACUUUGUAACAGCGUUGCGAGGUUAUCUGCUAUUACUGUUUCUAUUUUAUAAAUAAGCCCUGGCGCCAAGGAGUUCAAUCCCUAGCCCAAAGUCACGUAGAUUAGUAAAUGGCAGAGUUGGCCUUUGAAUAGAAGCACUCUGACUCUGGGGACUUAACUGGUAUGCAAUCAGCCUCACGAGGACCGAGGGCUUAGCUCAGUGGCAAGGCAACCGCAUUCCUGGUGAAUCCAUCGGUGAGUCUAUCCGGAAACUGGUCCAGGCAGCGCUUUUGUGGCAGAUCGUAUUUUCCAAAACUAGUUGCGACAGUCCUACCCAUCCUCUGUGCUCUGUUUAAAAGAUGACCUCAGUGCUCCUCGCCUUGAGUGAUGGGGUCUCUCUUCUCCCCCUUGGACCUGGGCACACCUUUGCAGCUGCCCCCAUGACCGGCCUGAAAUGAGUGACUUUCUAGGCUGAAUUGUAAAAUACCCAGCACUUCAGUCUGUUCUCGUAGCACGCUUAUCCUUAUAGCCCGCCAGCACGUCGUAAAGCAGCCUAAGCAGGCCACGGAGAAGCCCAUGGAGAGGAAAUCAAGUUCCCCUGGCCACGGUUCUGGUUGAGCUCCCAGUCAACAGGCAGCACCAACCUUUCAGCCACGUGUGGGUGCCACCUUGAAAGUCACCCUUCCAGCCUCCAGUGAAGCAGUCUCCUACACAGUAGACAUUGCACAGAACAAAGGUGAGCUGAUCCUGCCCAGCCCUACCCAAAAGGCAGAUUUGUGAGCAAAAUCAAUGAUUAUUAUUGUUUUCAGUCCUUAUGUUUUGGGCUGGUCUACUUUGCAGUAGUAAGUGAUGUAACGGCUUCAAGAGCAAUGUCCUCUGAGCAUUUUGUUGGUGGCCUAGCAGUAGUGGUGGUGAUGGUAAGGAAGGAGUGGGCAAAGAAACUAAUAUUUAUAUGGCAGGCACCUUACCAGACCCUGCCAUAUGCCUUAUCUGCUCUGUUUCUGAAAUUGAUUCCAUGAAGGAAGGACUGUUGCUUCAAAUUUGCUGGAGAGGCCAGCAACGUACUCAUUUGACACUCACCGCACCAGCAGACAUGCGGUGGAUUCAACUGGAGGGCUUUCUGAAUCCAAGCACGUGUCUUCUCACUAACGUCUUAUUUCUACAUUGAACCGAAUCCUGAUACCCUAAAAUCGAACUGAAGGCGUCGAACUAAAAAAAGCCCAGAAAUGAAAAGGUUAAUGAAAAACUUAAGAUCCCCUCAAGUCUCAGAUAGCAGAGUGAACGUCCAUGAGCAUCAGGUAAACGUCUGUGAUUUCUGGGCGUCUGGGUGGCUCAGUCGGUUGAGCAUCCGACUUCAGCUCAAGUCAUGAUUUCACAUUCUUGGGUUCGAGCCCUGCGUCGGGCUCUGUGCUGACAACCCGGAGCCCGAAGCCUGCUUUGGAUACUGUGUCUCCCUGUCUAUCUGCCCCUCCCCUGCUCACACUCUGUUUCUCUCUGUCUCUCAAAUAAAUAAAUAAAUAAAUAAAUAAAACGUUAAAAGAAAUUAAAAAAAAAAAAGCCUGUGAUUUCCAACUGGGAAAUAAUAAUAGGGGUGGUCAUGGCAAUGAUGGUGAGAAACUAGCAUUUAUUGAGUAAAAAUUAAAGGUAUGCAUACUCUAUGAAACAAUGAGUCAGUUUCUACUGCCAGGUGCUUCAUGCCCAGGAUUUCACCAACUAUCCUAGGAUGUAGGUAUUUUUUAACUCCUGAGAUUCACACACGCCAAAGAAUCAUCUGGAAGGCAACAGUGAGAGACCAUCUGACUGUGAAAUCCCGCUCCAUAUACCGUCUGAGAGAAGGAGCCUCGGCAAACAUAUGUACAAUCUGACGAAAUGCAUUCCCUUGUCUGACAGUGAGCAGACAGAUGGGGGACAAGGCAGGAUGGACACAUGUUUCCCAGGAGCUGGAUAUCAGCUGGAUUCGAACUGGGGGCAGUGGGUGAUUGCGCAAGGGGCUCUCAGAAAGCUACAGGCUGCUACAGUGAGCCUGUUGUGAUGGGAAGAUCCCACCCGCCAUGCCCCAUUCUGCAUUUGGUGGCUGGUGCAGCCCCAAGGGGCAUUUCUUAGAGGUCUGAUGCUUGAAACGCCAGCGGUUGAGGCCCCCGUGUUAUUGGACAAAGCGGGAGAUGUUAAAAGUGUGAUGCUUGAUCCUACUUACACAGACACUCUUUGAGUCUUCUCUUAUUAAAAUGUACACGGCAUCUCUCUGUCAACCUGGGCAUCUCUGAUCUGUUCUGGAGAAUCUUUGAAAAGGGCCAGCUGGCCUUGAAGGGCUGUUCCACCCCAUCCCAAAGCAAAGUGUGUCCCAGUAACUGGACAGCCGUGCAGCCAGGCCCAGCUUGUAAUUUCCCCAACAGCAACUAUUUCAGAAGAAAAUUGAAGGCAAGGGGGAGAGGAGGUUGUGAAAAAUGUUUCCCCUAACCUGAUGGUAAGGGACCAUUUGUGGAGGAAAACACGUUUAAAAAUAGAGUCACCUGUUUCCACUGUUUAUUCCAAUUCCGAGGCGAAGGGUAUCUGCUUAGAUUUUUAAAACGGAGGGAGAAGGGAACAAAACCCUUGUUGUCAUAGGAAUAAGAGUUCUCUUCCAAUCAGAGGAGGAUGAAUUCAAGUGAAAAAUUGGAAUCGGGAGAAGGUGAGAUAUUCUAAAGGAACGAUCAUCCAUUGUCCUGCAAAAAUCUACAGCCAGAGAGAAAAAUAAAUGCAGAAGGAAAUGUAGAAUGCAGAAUUCUGCAUGUCUGUGUACAUUUUCAGUAGCAACGGGAAUCUUUGGCUGACGUGGUUUAGAGGCUAACUCCAGUAUAAUUUAAAAUCAAUAUCAAAAUGACUUUUCAUCAGUUUGACUCAUGUUGCAGAAAUGACUGGGGACCUGACAGAGGCUUGCAAGCUUCAGAGAAGGUCUGUGGCUGUUGAAAGCCCAGCAGUAAAGGUGCAAGAUUUCUGAUUUCUUUGAAAGAGCUGGUAACAAAUGUUUGAUUCUGAGCUUUGGAGUCAGACAAGUUUGCAGUUGAAUCCUGCCUCCGCAGCCAAUUGUCUAAAGUAAGCUGGGGCCCGUUCUUUCUGAGCAAAAUGAGGACAGUCAUACCUGCUCCGGAGUUAAAUAACCAUGUGUUUAUAAACUCAAAACCACGCCUGGCACAUGAUGGAAACCCACUGACUGACAGUUUUUAUGGCUGUAAUAAUCCCACGCGAUUCGGUCCGGUUGAUGGGCCUUCUCACUUCUUCAAAUCCAUUCAAGCCACAUACUUGGUGUUCAGGUAUUCUGGACAUGGAUUACAUGGGAUAUCAGGUAAGAUUGAGUUUGAUAGCAUGUGACAGAUACCCAAAAUAAUAGUAGGUUAAAAGAAGAUAGAAAUUUAUUUUUUCUGUUACGUAAAAUAAGACCUCGCACCCUUAGUUCAGGGCUGGCGAUGGCCUCAAGGACCCAGGCUGCCUGUAGCCGGAGGUUCUGUUUGUAAGAUGGGCAGGAGCAGCGGUGUUUCUGGGUAGUCAGCGAUCUGUGCCGUAUGUGGGUUCUGUGGCGCGUCUUCCUCCUUAGGCCUGAUUAGGGGAUUUCGGGCUGUAACAUCUCUCCCCAAUGGAAGGAAAGGGAGAAACAUGCAAAGUGUUCACACUAAAUAGAACUCUUUUUUCUCUAUAUUGUAAUUCUAGUGUGCUUGCCAACAGAAAGAAUUCACCAGCAUGGUACUAAGUGCAUUGAGUGUUGCCAAUGCUGGUAUCAUUGAUAUUGUAGAUCACAUUAUGUAUAAUAUUUUUUUUUCCCAUGGUACAGUAUUCUGAAGUUAGCCAAGCUGUGCACCUGUUCCUGCCCCUGGAGCCUGGGUUAGAAUCCCUUCCCACUGUAGGGAAUCCCUUUGCCGCACUCGUGACAGUGUUAAGGUGCAGCGGCCUAUUGAUGAGCCAACUGUCUCAAGUGCACUGUGUGGAGUCAGGCCCUGGUGGCUAUAACUCUACGGCACUGGUUUGGUUCCAGGUCACUUGGAGAAAACAAGCCAACAGAACAUGGACCAUCUACUGGAGGAGCUGGGGGAGCGGGUCAAGGGGGCAUGGUUUAUAACCUUGACUUGCUGACUGUGGCUUGGGAGAAGGACAGCAUUUUGUAUUUGUUCCACUAAUGCAGCUUACCACCACAUUUCAGAUAGUCAUGGUAAACCUUUCACAACCUGGAAGAUGUCGAAAGCAGCCAUGCUUACUUUUGUUUUAAUUAAAUCCUGCACACGUACCCACACACACACUAUUUAUAUGUAGAUAAUAUUUUUGGAUUGAUAUAAGAUUUUAUUUAUAGGAUGUUGGAUUCAUAAAAUCACAUAUUCAAUAUUUUCCACUCUUAUUUGAAGUUUUCAUUCUCCCCAAGAACAAAGAAAGAUUGAGGCUAAUUGUCCCGCGAGGUCUUUUCCAGCAAUGACAUUCUCUGAAUGCAUGUAGUUAAGUACGCUCUACAAGGCAUUGACAGUCAGCCCUCUUGACUGUGUGAAUGUGGUCACUCUACUUAGUGAGUCACUUGAAAAAAUGCAGGAAUUUAAGGUCAUGCAGUCUGAAUCUCUAAGGAACUACUAAAGUGGAUAGAGGCCACUUCGUACUAUAAAACUUUCUCAUGAGGCAGGAACCAGGAAGGAUUGUCAACGUCAGUUUGCAGUAAGAACCAACCAAUUACUUAACGAAGGGGUGGAAGUGAGAAGCGGAAGGUAGGAUUUUAGGAUCCCUUAAUAAAUAUUAACUAGUUUUACCCUGUGACUUGGGUGUUGUUUGUUAUCUGUACCUUGACGGUAAAGAAAUGAAGUUGAACAAAGUUAAAAUGUUUCACAAUUACCACUAUUUGAACCCAGCUGUUUGCCUCCAAGGCUUGGGCAAUUUCUUCCAUGUAAAAAAAAAAAAAAGACCACCUAAGCAUUCUAUAAAAAUAAAUAAAACAUAGUCAUAGAAUAAAUUCAAAAAGCAAACACUAGGAAAAAGCAGAAUAUAUUUUAUUUAGAAUAAAAGCGUAAUUGUGGGAAAAUGAAGCAAAAAGACUGGAAAUAAACCAUUCUCAGGGGUUUUGAGAACUAGUUGUUAAGCUGGUGUUAGCUUGAUAUCAGCCAUUAAGGGUGUAUUUACACCGUGGAAAUGGUAUAUAAAAAUGGCUAUAAGUAUAAAAAAGACUAUGAAUACGGCUUUAUUUUUCCUCCAGAAAGCCAGUUUGCAGGCAUACUACUCACUGCUCAUGCCCUCCAUGGUUUGUGCAUCGUGUUUCGUAUCAAACCAUUUCUACAAUGGCAUAAAUCAGCUUGUAACCCAGAAGAAAUGACUAUGGCAGGGUUAAUAAAGGAUGAAUGAACUCAACCAAAACCAGUAGCUUCCAGAAAACCUGGCUUUCCAGACAUGGCUUUCCCUUGUCCCUGCUGAUGUCUUUGAACUCAAGAAUUGCCUGUGGGUUCAAAGGAAAGGUCAAGUCCCAGAUGUUUUCUCCACGUGCAGGGCCAUUCUCAGCUCCACCUUGCUCACUGGAGAGGGUGUGCACACAGGUUUAACUAAAGAAGAUGAGCUGUGUGUGCUGGGCUGUGGAUCACACAACACAUUUUCCCAAAGGGUCCUUGCUGGAAAUCGAUGCAUCCUUUUGUCACACGUGGUCUUCUGGGACCUGGUGUGGCUUAGAAUUUCCUUCUUUCUUCCUUCCUUCCUUCCUUCCUUCCUUCCUUCCUUCCUUCCGGAAGCCCACUUCCAAGGAGGAAAAAUACUCAAUUUAGGAAGAUCUGUAAGAGACCAUUGAUCUCCUCAGCCUGCUUGUGAAAGAUGCACAGCAAAGAAGUUGAACCCCUCUGCCCGAGCACUCGAAGGCUGCCCCCUCCCACCCCAAAGGUACACGGUCAUGCUUGGCUGGUGCACCCUGCACAUGCCAUUAGGCACGUGAAAAGGGAGAUGCAUUCAACAGAGGGCUUCAUCCAUCCGCCAUAGUCCUGACAUGGAUAUUCUGAUGCUCGAUGGCAAGUGCAAUUAUGUCACUGGUGGGGGCUAAGCCAAGGCUGUUACAGGACACCUAGUGCAAUUGUGGAGUAAUGUGAAAAGGAGGAGACCAGAUAAAACAGGCAGCUUUCAAUCCAAAGUCCAGAAGGGCACACAGAGACUUUUUUUAGGCCGUUGCCUGCCUGGUGUGCUGAGUCACAGCCCUAACUUCUUUCGUUGGAAAGGUUGCUCGUAUCAAAUUAUCCUGCACCCAGGGAGGUAGAGCAGCCCCAUUUGUCCUGGUAGCCUUGUUCCUGUUGAGUCACUGAAACUACAGACUGAAAAGACCUGUUAAUUCCUCUGUCCGUCCUCUGGGGCCUGAUAUAAACUAGAUUAUUAUAUGCAUUGCCUCUGUUUCUUCUUCCAUCUGGUUCUGAUUAAGACAGUUGAGAGGAUAUCCAUGGCCUGAUUUGGAAUCUGCAAAGCCUAAGAAUGAUGGUGGUGUCCAAUCAAAUUACCCAGCCGUGAUUGAAUCACUACACUUGGUUAGGCACCGAUGCAAAACUCUAUUUACGGAAAUUCUUCUUUGUAUUCUUCUCUCAGCAGUUAUACUUCCUCAGCUAAUUCAUUUUCUCCAGAAAAGGGUAAUUUAUUGAUUUGGGUAAAUAAAAAAAGUAAUGUACGUAAUAAUAGUUAGAUACUGUUUAUCGAUCCUGUGUCCCUGAUGUUAUGCCAUGUGCUUUAUACUCAAUCUCAUUUCAUUCCACUGCCCCAAAACUAGUCAUUAUUCUUCCAUUUUCUAAGGAGGAGAGAGAGACUCUGAGAAGUGAAGAGCUGGGUAAUCUAUCCCAGGCGCCCUUCAGUGGUCAUUCAGAGCCAGAAUUCACCUGCUUUUCGCAUCCUGCCUUGAUGCUCCCCCCAGUGACAGCUUUAUCAAGACCUUUGCGCCCAUCUCCCCCAGUGUGAUUUUCAGAAAUAAAUUUGUAAAUGUUAUAAUCAUUCUUAGUUAGGAGGAGAAGAGGAAAUCCAGAUAUCCUCGGGAAAGCAGAGAUUGGCAGGAGCCCCCCCCCCAGCUCAUACUGAAUAUCAGAGAAGCACCUACCAGGGUAUCACAGAUGCCCCUGUCCCUUACACGCUCUAAAGGCCUGGGGGAAACGGUUGUCCACAGACACAGAAGGCUGUGGUGCUUGCCUGAGUAAGGGAAAGGCAGAGGUCAUGAUGCCGGCCAUUUUCUCUGGAAACACACAGCACACUGUGUAGGUAAUCACUCUGGUGAUAGCAUAAUGCUUCAAGCAGAGCCCCACCAUAGACGUGAAGGCAUAAAACACUUUGCUUACUCUGUUUACACCCUGGCAAAUAAAAAUGUAUUCCCAAAUCAGCUUUGUCCUUCCCAUUAAACACAUGGGGUAGGGCAAAUUCUUCAUGUACAAUGUUUUUUUCUCCAGCAUGCGGGUCGAUAAAUGCUAUCACUAUGGAAUUCAUCACAGGAUGUGUCCUGCAUUAUCCACUGACAUCAAGAGACUCUCCUUAUUUUUUUUUUUUAAUUUCACCAUCGAAAGCAUGUAGCAAACACUGCACAUUUGUUAUGCUCUUUCUCUCUGUGUGUCGAAGGUUAAUCACAUAGUAAGUCUGAAGGCUCCGUUUCCCCUAUUCCUUUCAAUUUUAUGAGGUAUUACAUUGGCCUUCAACGUUUAAAUCAACAUAUAUCAACCAGAAUUAUAAACCAAACUCCAUUUGAGCUUUCUGAUGGCAUGGGCUUUCUGCCGGACUCAGUGACAAACGUGACCUCCAGAAGAGAUGUAAAGAGCUCUCUGGGAAAGAUUGGUCAAGAGAUUUCUAAAAGUAAAAUAUCUUCAAAUUUAAAUUAUGAAGUUAUAGAUUUUAUAGUUGCAUCUCCUAGGAAAACACAUCUACUGAGUAUUUUCUUAUGUUCCAAAUAUUCUCAGGAUCUCUCAUACACAUCAUUUUCAUUUAUAUGUGUGAUCUAUUAUCAUCCCCCAUUUUUCAGCAAAGGAAACUGAUUGAAAGGUUAUGUGAGAGACACAACUAGAGUCUGAAAUAAGCCUUGUCUUUCCCUGAAACUCAUGGUCUUUCCAAUACUCUGGGCUGUAAAGCAGGGUCAGCAAACUAUGGUCCUGUGGCUCCCCACUUGUUUUUGUAAAUAAAGUUUUAUUGGAACACAGCUGUGGUAAUUUGUUUAUGUAUUGCAUAUGGCUUUUGCAAUACACGUGAGAGCUGAGUAGCCAUGACCGAGAUCAUAUGUCCCACAGAGACUGAAUUAUUUAUUGUCUCACCCUUUACAGAAAAAGUUGCUUGACCUCUGCUGCAAAGAGUCCUGAUAUAUUCCAGAAUACACAGUGAUGAAUAAACAUGGCUCCUACUUUGCAGUAACUCAAAUUCUAGUUGAAGAGAACAAAAACCCCUCUGUAACAAAGUGACUCUGUAACAGAGAUAUUCUACCUCAACAGAGUUUGGACUUCAAAAUAAAGGAGCAUCUUUUUAUUCUUGUCAAUAAAUGGCUCAAGUCUCUUGACACUUUGGCAAGAAUAUCAUUUUUCAACCUCUACAAUUGCCUCUCCUUGAACAUCCCAAGAUUCCCAGAGCCUCCACAGUCCAGGGCAUCAAUCCUAGAUACAAUUAAAGUUUGUAGAAAGAAAACUGGGGUCACUGAUCAGUGCCCCAUACCAUUGUGACAGAUGGAAUGUUACGAUGUCACUGCUGAAAUGAAGUUGUCUGGUCUGGAGAACCGGUGUGUAUGGGGCACAUUCCUCCACAAAACCUGGUGUCUUCUUUUGUACUAAUUGCUACUCAUUGACUUAGAGAUCAUUCAGAGUUAAGGGCCUUCCUUUGUGUUGGUUGUAAUUCCUCUAGCACGUGGUCUCUUGUUUCUUUGACUUUUGACACUUCCCAAGGACAUCUGGUGCUGAAUCAGCUGGCUCCAAGGCCACUUGUCAGAGUCUAAGUCCUGAGUCAUUGGGCCAGUUGGCUCCUCGGUCUGGGAUGUCAUAAAUGCAGGCUUCUAAACUGAGGCACCACCCUGUUCUAUCGUGCUUCCACUGAGACUUGACAUUGCACAUUUCUGUUUCUUCCCAAAGAGUUUUAAAUGCCCCAAUUUCCAUUUUCCAGGCUUAGUGGCAGAACGUAAGCCUUUCCUUCCAGUCUCCUGAGAGCAAUAAAUCAUUUCUUUGACCCUUUUGAUUUGGCCAAAUUCGAGACACUGUCAGCCAAUCUGUUAUAUCAUCCCCGUUGUUAGGCUAUUGAAUGGGGGCAGUCUUCAGCUGGUCCAGUACUUUGUGCAAAUUAAACUCAUUACUUGAUGACUUAUAUAUAUAUAGGCUUUAUUGUUUAGAGCAGUUUUAGGUUCACAGCAAAAUUGAGCUGAAAUUCCAGGGAUUUCCAUAUAUCCUCCUGUCCACAUUUGCAUGGUCCCCCCACCCCCACCACUAUCAACAUCUCCCAGCAGAGUGGUACCUCUGUUCCAGCUGACAAACCUACAUUGAAACAUCAUUAUCACCUGAAGUCCAUAGUUUACAUUAGGGUUCACUCUGGAUGUUGUGCCUUCUCUGUUGUACCUUCUUGAUUGCACAUUCUAUGAUGUACAUUCUAUGUAUAAUGACGUGUAUUCAUUAUUAUGGUACCAUGCAGAGUAUUUUCACUGCCCUGAAGAUCCUCUGUGCUCUACUUAUUCAUCCCUUUCUCCUCCCUAACCCCUGACACCUUCUGAUCCUUUUGCUGUCUCCAUAGUUCUGCCUUUUCCAGAAUGUCAUAGAAUUAGAAUCAUCACAGCAUGUAACCUUCCCAGAUUGGCUUCUUUCACUCAGUAAUGUGCAUUUAAGGUUCCUCCAGUUCUUUUCAUGGCUUAAAGAGUUUCUUUCUUUUUAGUACUGAAUAACAUUCCAUUGUCUGGACGGACCAACGGACAUCUUGGUUGUGUUCAGGUUGUGGCAAUUAGGAAUUAAAUGGGUGUAAACAUCCGUGGGUGGAUUUCUGUAUUGAUAUAACUCUUCACCUCCUUUGGGUAAAUGCCAAGGAGUAUGACUGCUGGAUUGUAUGGUAGUGGUGUGUUUGGUUUUGUACUUGAUGCCUUUUGAGAAGCUCUUGUCUUCAGGUGCAGACAUUACACCUGUGUAUGACUAUUGAAGAGAGAUGAGAUGUAGCUAACUGAAAACUUUCUUAGAUUUGCCUGUUGCUUUACACUGAGAGAGACUCCCCAAUCCCUCGAUUCCCUCUCAUACCUCGAAGCAGAGACCAAUGGAUAAUUCCAUUCUUGCUCGAACAUGGAACAGGUAACUAUUUUGAGUCAUGCAGGGAACACUACCAGUUCAUUGUUAUCCUUAUUUUUAAAAUAUUUUUCUAUGGCUGUAAUGCUCUUAGCUAAAUGUUGUUUGGUUAAAUAUUUCACUUGAAGAUCCCUUUGAGGGGAACAGAGUAUGAUCCAGGACAUUUUUACCCCAGCUAAGUGGAAUACUUCACACAGAAGUAGACUCUCAAAGUCCUUCCAUAAUCAGAGUGGAUGCCAUAGGAAACUGAUUACAGAGGAACAUUUAUCUCAAUAGGACUUGGGUUUUUAUUUUUACUUCUAGUCCCUGAGUCUCUAGUAGGAUAAGAUUCCACAUAGCAAUUGAAGUGAUAAAUCACCACAAAUGUGUUCCCAAGUUUUCAGCUCAUGGGUUAAAAAACAAAUAAACAAACAAACAAACAAGGUUUCCACACUUAACUGGAGCUAUCUGUGUUACUUCCACAUGAACUUCCCAUGUUAUAAAGUUAUUCUGCUGUAUGAUCUAAGACUUACCCUCACAGUUGAAAUGAUGUCCUCAGAUCUCAUGUCACCCCACCUCCCACCCCAACCCAAACAUGUUGCAUUAAUUACUGGUUCUUCAUCUCUUCAGAUGACCAACACAAUCAGGAAAUUCUCCGUGGGCCCUGAGACGAUUUUCCCAGGCCUCUUCCAGCUUGGGUGGGGAGUGUGGUGGGGGGUGGGGGGGGGUGGAGUAGAGUGAGAGAAGACUCCAGUCCUGAUAGAGAAUUUUAACUCGAAUGAGUGAGUUUAAAGCCUAAACCAACUGAAUAAUUACCCCAAACAGACAAUUUGAAACUGGGAGGGAUUGAGUCACCUUCAGUGGAGAUUCCAAAAUUACUGCCAGGAAGGGCUAGAGAUUGCCAUCUUUUUGGAAGGGAGGAGUAGAGAACUAUGAAUUUUGACAUGUGUCAAACUUCUAGUGACUCCUUCUAAGUGCCAAGAUCAAGAAAUGCUCAACAUCAGAGAAAGUGGCAGCUCCAAAGUUAUGAUGGUGCAUAAACAUCGCUGGUGUUUAUGACAAUGUCUGGCCAUUCUCUCCUUUGGGAUACAUAUUCCUUUAAAGCUGUGUGUGUAGGGGGCUGGGCAUCUGACUUGCUUUAAACAAUCAAAUAUGAAUGGAAAUGAUGUAUAUCAUUUCGAUCUGGAAGCAUUUAUGGGGUGCCGCACAUACAAUUCUCCACAUUUUCUUCUUCUAACUCUGGCAAACCCUGAAGACUUCUGUUAAGAAGCUGAUGUCAUACGAUGAUGGAGAAUCUAUCAUCCUGGGAUUGUGAGUGACUAUUAUGGAUUCAUAUUGAACGUGUAUCAUGAGUGAGAAAUAAAUCUUUGUUAUUUUAAGCCAUUGAGAUUUGGGGUUGUUACUACAGCUACCAUAUCCUGAUGAAUGAAGAAAUUCAAUUAUAGAAACAUAAAGUUCUGUACAUGCACAUCUAAUUUUGUUUGUAAAUUUCAAACCUGCUACCCAGAAAUUUAAUUUAUAUGAAUUUGACUAUAGGUGCUCAGCAAGGAAAAUAACGAGGUUGAAAAGUGUGGCUGAUUAAUCCUGAUCUCUUUCAAGGAACACACAUUCCAACCUGUGAUAUAAACCCGCUGCUCUUUCUGGAGGUGUGGGUCCCCUACUCUGCACAUAGUUAAGAAUCUUCACCCUGAGGCACUCUAGCCUUUAAAGGAAUAUAUUUUGGGGGCUCCUGGGUGACUCAGUUGGUUAAGGGUCCGACAGGUCAUGAUCUCAUGGUUCGUGAGAUUGAGUCCCACACCAGGCUCUGGACUGACAAUGGGGAGUCUGCUUGAGAUUCUCUCGCACACCCUCUCUCUCUGCCCCUCCCCCACUCGCUCUUUCUCUCUCUCUAAAAAUAAAUUUAACAAAUAAAGAUAUAUAUUUUUUUCAAACAAGAUAACUCAAACACAAAUGAAUUCAUUACUUCAUCUGGAGUUUUAUUUAAAAAAAAAAACAACUCUUCCCACAUUGAAGCAAAAUACAGGCUGUGCCACUGGUUCCCCAUGUUAACACAGGGAAUGCAGUUUGUGAAUAGGAUGUCAAGUCUUACCAUCAGGCAGACGUCUGUUGGUGAAAUUAGGGGCUUCCUGAACCUACCAUAGAUCACUCUGUAGGUCCUCAGAUCUGUUGUUCAAAUGCAGACGAAGGGUCAGUGGGAUCAGCAAAUGAUGCAUUAAUCAGGCCACUGGGGUCCCUGAUCACUUGGCCACACGUGAAGGCUGAAGACCCACAAGGUGCUCGGUGUUGGGAGACUGGGCACUCCUCUGGUCCUGGGUCUCCCCCUUCCUUGUUGGUAUUCCCAGUAAAAACUGAAGUUUUGAGGUUAUAUCAACUAAAGAGUUUUAGGAAAAUGGAAUACUUUUCCACAAACGUCCUAAAAUACUCACCAAACCUUAGGAGGUCUUUAAUUCACUUGAACAGGGCCAACUGGUAAUUGUAAUGGUUUAGGGGACUGUUACCUGUUCAUUCUUUUUUUAUGAUACCGUAUGCCCUACAGAUUUAACUGAGGCCACAGAAUUGACUUAUCUGACAAGGGCUAAUUUCAGAGCUCUUCCUCCCAGGUAGUUUAGUGGAAGGGUAGUUCUAAGUUCAAUUAUAUCAUCCAGAUGUAAUAUAACAAGAUAUAGUUAUAAGAUACCAACACUUCAGGAUGGCUUAUGUCCAAAUCACCUUUGUGAUUCACACCAGGAAGGGAGAAGAGGUUCCUAAUUAUUUUUUUGAAGGGUCUCCUUUCAAAUGGUUAGAACUCUAAGUGAAAGAAAAAUACUUUCUUUGUUCUUUUUCGUGAUAGCCAUUUGAUAAUACAUACUUCUUAAUCCUUUACUGGAUAGUUCACUCUCUAGCAGGAAGUCCAGAACGUUGUACUGUAAAGUAUCUGAUAGAAUUAGAUAAUCCAAGCAUGUCUGGAUUUUACCUGUUUUUGUUUGUCUUCUUGUUUGUUUUUAACUAGCUCAAUGGGGGAAGCAUUUGGACAUGGAAUGCCAAAGCGUAUUGUUCUGUUACCCAAUAGAUUCUAAGGUCUCGGAAAUGAUCCCUCUCAGGCUCCAAAAUGUUCCUGGGUCUUGUGGCCCUAUUUGUUGCCAUUUGCUCUGAACGCACGCAUUUUUUCCUCCUAUUUUCCUGGUGCUAGGCAUUCACAAAAUAAAAUCUCUCUGGAUUAAAUUUAAGAGCCCAGUUGGGAAAGCUUCAAGAUGUGAAGCUAGAGAGGCCAUACUUGGCUCCUCUCCUUUCUAUUUUCUGUAGUCUCUGAACACAGGUGGUGCAGGGGAGGAUCCCCCAGAAAAUUUGGCUCUGGAUAAGCAUGUUAAAAUCCUGAAAUGAAUUCCUAGCAAUGCAAACAUCUUUUGCAUAUUUUCUGGAUCAAAGCAUCUAACUACUGGCCCCACCUCUCUUUAAAGUUUUCCAUCUUGGCAAUCAGAUAAUGAGGAGAGGCUCACACAUUUCAAUUUGGUAAAUUUUUGUAAUGGGAAAGCUUUACGUGAUUCUUUUAAAAGGUACCUGAAAGCAAGGGAUGAGGUCGAAUAGGGUAAAAAGGACUCAAUCUCAUUAACCGAGUACCUUCUGUGUGCCGAGAAUGGCGCUGGAUAUUUUACUCCUUCUGGGGCUCUCGGUAAGUACCCUGUGCCUAAGUUAGUGUCUGUGAUAGAACCCUACAUCCUGAAGUCCCAAGAAAGUAUGGGAGUUAGACUUUGAAAACUAGAGUAGUGGUUCCUUUGUGCUCCUAUCUAGGACAUUUGGGGUGCUUCUUCCUAACUCAGAACUGGCCAUUUGUAUCAACCAUAACUCCCUCUCUCCCAACCCAAGUAUAGCUGUAUUUAUUUCUAGUGCACAAAGGGAGGCUGUGAAACCACACCGUUACUAUUUUUAACAAACAAAUCCGAACAUAUACUUCAAAAUGGAUGGUGUUGCCUAUGACAUAGUUCUUAUCAGAUACUAGAUAUUUGUGCCAAUGAUGUUUUCAGGGCUCAGGGUAGUACCGGGGCCGGGAUGGCCUUUUGGGAAUUGCCUCCAGAGUGUUUGUGUCCUUUUAGGAUAUUCUCAGGAUCUGCACAUCUUCUGCUGUGGAGGAACCAUGAAACAGGAAGCUGGAAGUUAAAUAGACUCUAUCAUUAUGAAUUAAAAGGAUGGGGUGAAUGAAACCCCCUCUGAGUGUCCAGACAUGGCUUGGCCAGGAUUAGAAGACAGAGUCUCUGGUUACUGAAUGUGCUGGUUAGGGAGGAAGGGCUGACGACAGUCAAGAGCUGGGGAUCAGAAGUAGGUAAAACUGAGGACACAGAUAGGACUGUGUUAGCCUGAGUCCUCUGAGAAGCGGGUGUUGGGAUAAGGUGAGGGCAAAUACCUAUAGGAGAGAAAACAGGAGGCUGGGAAGGUCGUUGGACCUCAAUACAAGCCUGAUCCCCAGUGAUGGAGAAAAGGAGGGAAGGUUGGGCAGAAGUUUCCUAGAUGACCAUGUAGUCUAAGGGAGGUUUAAGAGGUUACUGGGAGUCCUUGAGCCAAAGCUCACCUAUCAUUGGCCAUCAGAGGAGUCCCACAUCUGCUUGGUGUCCCUGCCUUGCUUUGUGAUAUGCUGGAAGUAGCUGGUAGAGAACACUUUACUUCCAUGCAGAACAUAGAAGCUGGAGCCCUUGGGUAAUUAACGCUGCUGUUUACUGUUAAUAGAAGCCUUCGAGGCACUUUUCCACGGUGUCCAAAAUAGCGAAGAAGAACCCUGAGAAGGAAGAACGACAGCCGAACAAUAUGAUGCCUGAGGCUCCUAGUGAGUCGGAACUGAGUUUUGAAGCCAAAAUGAUCACUGGUUCACUGAUGAGGUGGGAGGUGGGGGACCCCAGGUGUGGGGGGGAUAGCAUCGACACUGCGCAAUUAAAAUGGAAGACACUGUGGGUGAGACGCUCCUCAACAGCUGCCCCCCAUCUGAGCCCAAGUCCAGGCCAGUGCCUUCCUGCUUCCCAAGGGAGCUCUGGAAGCUUCUGAGAGAUACUCAAGCUGUACAGAGUUCGUUCUGGUUAUGAAGAAUGACAUGAGAUCCUCAAAUGAGGCCCUUUUCUGGUGUGACUAGUAAACUGGCUUGAAAGAUAAUGUUCCAGUUCCAGAAAUAGUUUGAUCAAUGGCAGCAUUGUUGGAAUAACUGUUUAUUUUCCCAAAGGGACUCCUUUGAAAGAAACAGUGCUCAUUUGAAAAAUUUUUUUUUCAACGUUUUUUAUUUAUUUUUGGGACAGAGAGAGACAGAGCAUGAACGGGGGAGGGGCAGAGAGAGAGGGAGACACAGAAUCGGAAACAGGCUCCAGGCUCCGAGCCAUCAGCCCAGAGCCUGACGCGGGGCUCGAACCCACAGACCGCGAGAUCGUGACCUGGCUGAAGUCGGACGCUUAACCGACUGCGCCACCCAGGCGCCCCAACAGUGCUCAUUUGUACACAUAGGGUCUUUGUGGUUUUGUUCCAAAAAAGUACUUAUUAAUACUUAACUAGCAACUGAUUCCUCUUGAGGGGUGGUUCACGACUGUUUUUAUCUGCCUACCCAUUUAACAUACCCUACCUGUUACCAUCAAUAACAUCUUUUACUAUUUCUGGUUAUUUUGGGGAGCUGGCCCAGAGAGCAUUCAAAAGCCACUCCCCCAGUGCACCCCUCCCCACCAUUCCCGAUCCAUCACCAGCACCAAGGAGAGGCCUGAUGUUAACUAUUGGGAGGUCUGAGAUGGCAAACGUACUUCAUUCCUCCUGGGGUCAGGAUGGUGCCAGAAGACAGGAGAUUUUCUCCAGGACUCCUUUGUUCCUUUCUUGCUGUUUAAUUGGAUAAAAAUUCUCCCAACCUCCUGCAGGUACUGUACUAAGUGAUAGCAUAGCUUCUAGUAAGGUCUCUGUGGGUAUAAGGGUCUUGGGAAGGAUGAAAAAUGCAUACUUAUCUUGCUGGUAUAUAAUAAAAUCUAGAAUUUACAAUUUUGAGAUGUUUGAUGUAAGGCACCAUGGAGGCUGGCUAUUUGGAAUAUCAAUGGAUGAGGCAGACUCUCUGGAGAAAGAGCAAAUGUCCCCAGCCCUCCUUUGUCACAUAGAUGGCAUAGGGCUCUGCUGGGAUGGAGCCAAACUGGGGGGAUGGGCAUCAGGAAUUCUAGUUCAUAAAAUAAUUAUGGAAGGGCCUCUCUGUGUCUGAUGUUUGUUCUUGCACAUGAUUGGGAGUGGGGAGUUUGGAGUAGCCGCACAUCCUCACGAGAGAGGGGUAUCCUGUGGCUGAUAAAAUCUCCCAAGAUUCUGAAAGACAAAACCUUUGCCUUAAGUGACCAUACAUCUGAGUCCUAGGGCUCAUAGCUUCUAGGACAAGUGUGCACGCACGUGUGUGUGUGUGUGUGUGUGUGUGUGUGUGGUAGUGGUGGUCGUGGAGGGGAGAUAUGUUUUUUCUGAAAGUCCCCUCCCCUUUCACUCUACUACCCCUUCUAACUUUGAAAAUAACUACUCACAUAUCAGAUUGAGAGUUACUCAAAGUAAGACCUGGGUUAUACUUUCUCAUUUUGCAAAUGGUAAAAACUCAAUUAAUAUUGUUUUAUUUAUUUUUAUUUUUUUUAGCGUUUUAUUUAUUUUUGAGAGACAGAGGGAGACGGAGUGUGAGUGGGGGAGGGGCAGAGAGAGAGGGAGACACAGAAUCCAAAGCAGGCUCCAGGCUCUGAGCUGUCAGCACAGAGCUUGACGCGGGGCUCGAACUCAAGGACCAUGAGAUCAUGACUUCAGCCGAAAUCAGCUGCUUAACUGACUGAGCCCCCCUGGCACCCCUGAUUAAUAUUGCCUUUACGUAUUUCCGGGUUGACGUUGUUACUACCUGGUAGGUGAUUUUCCAUACCCAUGAAAGGUGAAAUUCAGGAUCCUCUGUCUGGGAGAGAGCAGGAUACUCCACAUAAUAUCGCACAGUUGUUGGCAAUCUGUCCAAAGUAGAAAGUUCUAGGCCAAGGAUGCAUGUUCCUUCCCUUGGGAGAGAGCUAGUUUGGGUAACCCAAGUUCAGAAAACUUUUAAGAGAUAAGUAAGAGGUGGGCAGUUGGGAAGAGGUAAGAAACAGAGCCUAAGCAACUCACUGCCUUCCCCAAAACUCACGCUUCCUGGUUACAACACAGGUGCCUAGAGUUUUGGACUUGAGAGUGAUGUUCUGGGGAGUGUGUGCAACAGGACCAGGAUUGUACGUCUAGUCCUUCUCAGAGAUAGGACCGUCAGAGCAUCUGGAUGGAAGGGAGAUGAAAUUUCAGUCCCUAGCAAGGAUGAGUAUUUGCUGAUAUUCAACAUAUUUGGGCCUUGGUCCCUUUUCUGACCUGCCAGCCCCUGAGCCAUCAGUGAUAAAUCACCAACAUUCAAGGAACACACCCGUGCGCACCAGUGCCCAAAGCAUUCAUCACUGUCUUUGGCAAGGACUGGGGCCAAAGCAGGUGCUCAGAUUGGAUGGCAGAAGGGUAAAGGAAAUGAGGAAAACCCUCCAAACCAAAUUCCUCAUCCUUUGUCAUUUUGUCCCCGACAAGGUCUUCUUAUUAAACAAGUCCUUGUGUUUGGUUUCCAGAGGUCUUCUUGUCUUCACCAUCUGAAGUGCUGGCAUCUCCCUUUCUCUCACCCUCCCGUGCUGCCUUUAUAUUUCCAUCAUUGUACUCGUCACUACGAGAAGCUAUCUUCUUCACUUCUUUGCUUAUUUAUUGUAUAUCUUCAUCUUCUAGAAGAUAUACAGGCAGAGAAAACAAGGACCAUAUCUGCCUUGUUCACUGCUCUGGUUGGCAUCACACACACCAGACAGUAAUUACACAUUCAAUGAUCACCAAACUUAAAGCACACAGUAUUCAUCUAUUAGAGAGUUGUUAGAUGAGCACUUAAGGUCCCUCUAAAUCCUGAAAUCCACUGACCCAUGGCAUUAAUUUGUGAGCUAUCUACAUUUUUUAAUUUUCUCAUAAAUUUUUUAAAAACAUUUUCUCAUAUUUUUUAAAAACAAUUCCUUGGAUACACAAUGGAGUACUACGUGGCAAUGAGAAAGAAUGAAAUCUGGCCCUUUGUAGCAACGUGGAUGGAACUGGAGAGUGUGAUGCUAAGUGAAAUAAGCCAUACAGAGAAAGACAGAUACCAUAUGUUUUCACUCUUAUGUGGAUCCUGAGAAACUUAACAGAAACCCAUGGGGGAGGGGAAGGAAAAAAAAAAAAGAGGUUAGAGUGGGAGAGAGCCAAAGCAUAAGAGACUCUUAAAAACUGAGAACAAACUGAGGGCUGAUGGGGGGUGGGAGGGAAGGGAGGGUGGGUGAUGGGUAUUGAGGAGGGCACCUUUUGGGAUGAGCACUGGGUGUUGUAUGGAAACCAAUUUGACAAUAAAUCUCAUAUAUUAAAAAUAAAUAAAUUAAAUUAAAAAACAAACAAACAAAAAACCCCAAUUCCUUGGGAAAGCCUAACAGCACGCCCCCAUUUUAAAGACCAGCGGCGCCUGGAUGGCUCAGUCGGUUAAGUGUCCAACUUCAGCCCAGGCCAUGAUCUCACGGCUCCUGAGUUAAAGUCCCGUUCGGGCUCUGUGCUGACAGCUCAGAGCCUAGAGCCUGCUUCGGAUUCUGUGUCUCCCUCUCUCUCUACCCCUCCCCUGCUCACACUCUGCCUCUCCCUCUCUCUCAAAAAUAAACAAACAUAAAAAAAUUUAAAUCAAGGGCCACAGGGAUAGAGCACUGACUAUUCGUACCAUACACUUACUUCGUGGUGUGUUAUUAAUAUGUUGUUUUUUCCUGUUAUGCUCUUACUUUUCCACUAGUCAGUUCUUAAGAGAGAAAGUAAGCGUUUCUUCUCUACAUCCACAGCGCCUGACGUAUUCUCUGCAACGCAGUGGGCAUACUCCAUCCCCAAGUUCGACAAGGCUUGCAGGGAUGUAGCAAGACACGUCCACGGUCUUGCUUUGCUGCUCUGCGUCCAUCUCCCAGAGCUUUCAAACUCAGGGUCCUGGUCUGUGAGCUGUCAGGUGAGACAGAGCAGGACUCGGACUCUUACUCCCUCCGGGACGGAGCUUCUGGUCGCAAGCCACUGAAAGAGCCAAUAUGUCCAUUUCCAGGUGUGUUUCGUCUCCCCCAUCACGUGAGCGCGCUAGCAUCGCACCAGGGCACUCGGCUUUGCAAUCAUCAUCCGGGUCAGUCGGUGCCAAGAAUAGUCACAGAGAAACCACUUCUGGGACUCACAGGGUGUAUUGCUGACAUCGGUGUUUGUCAAGUGCCAGCAGCGCCACGUGAGCCCUCCCCAACCAAAAACAAAAGUGAUUGCGGUAAUGAGGACGGCAGCAGUACCAACAUCCAUAAUCAGGGCAAAAUUACAAAGUUAGUAGUGUUAGGUUCCGAUAGAGGCGGUGACACCACCUGUGUUCUUUCCAUGUGCACUCCCAAAUUCAAGGCCUCUGAUUUCCUGAGAAGAUUCUAUUUUAUGAGGCUCUCAGGGCAGCAGACAGGCGUCACGUGGUCUCUUGGAUUCCCCCGCCCGUGGUGGAGACUAAGGCUUCAGAAUCACUGACAGUGAGUGUGUAAGAAAGUAGCUGAUAUUCAGGCUCGGCACUCCAUACGCAGAAAACACUUGAUACAGGGCACCCGGGUGGCUGAGCCCGUUAAGCGUCCAACUUCAGCUCAGGUCAUGGUUUGUGAGCUCAAGCCCUCAAUGGGGCUCUCUGCUGUGAGCACAGAGCCUGCUUCGGAUCCUCUGUUCCCCAAUCUCUCUGCCUCUUCCACACUUACACUCUCUCUCAAAAAUAAAUUUACAAAAUCAAACUUAGAAAAUACUCCAUAGAGACUCUUAAAUACAGAGAACAAACUGAGGGUGGUUGGGGGGUGGAGAAGAGGGGAAAAUGGGUGAUGGGCAUUGAGGAGGGCACUUGUUGGGAUGAGCACUGGCUGUUGUAUGUAAGCCAAUUUGACAAUAAAUUAUAGUCACAAUUAAAAAAAUAAAAGUGUUGAUAAUAAAAAAGUACUCUAUACAAAUUAUUGGUGGAUGAUGUGUGAUGUCUAAAGAUUUUGCAGAUGUUAAUUGAUAGAAUGGUCAAGUAUUAAUACCGUGUCUUGGAAAACAGGUUUUUCCUGUUGUAAAAGGAUUCUCCCUGACACAUACUAUGAGAAUUAAAAACUAGGGCAUGAAUAAAGGAGGCAAUCUGUCUACUGGAAGUCGUUGAAGAUGUGGUAACCAGAAAUUGAGUUUAGCUUCCCAUCCUGUCUUCUAACAAGAUGGCAGUGUCCCCAUCUGAAACCCACAAUGGGCUAAAGUAAAGGCAGGACUAAUCUACGUGAUUUUCCCUGUAAAUAGGCAUCAGUGUGGCACUGACCAUGAUAAUAAUGCAUUUUGGAAAUUCAGCGUGGCCUUUGGACAUGCAAAGCCAACGUGUGUACUUUGAGUCAUCAGCUGUUAGGAGUACAGAGGAUAUUAGCUUCCUACUUAUAUAAGUAUCGUUCAUAUAAACACCAUUGAAAUGCUCAUCUGUAUUUAAUAAGCAGUGUUUUCAAAAUGAGAUUUUUUUUUUUUUGGAUACCAUUAGGGUGGGGAGACUGGUAUUCUUUGAGGCAGACAUUCAAAUUCUGGGCAGAAAGUUUUUCCUUAUAGACUCCCUCCCAUACUUGGGAAGAGGUAGCCCUGUUGGUCCAGGUUCUAACAAACAAGCCCUCAUUCUCUUCAAGGUUGUGAAGGUUCUGCAUGCCUGACCAAGCAUCUUCUCCUAUCUAGCUUUUUCAAUGUUUAUUUUUGGGAGAGAGAGAGAAAGAGAGAGAGAGAGAGAGAGAGAGAGAAUGAGCAGGGGAGGGGCAGAGAGAGAGGGAGACACAGAAUCCGAAGCAGGCUCCAGGCUCCAAGCUGUCAGCACAAAGCCUGACGCGGGGCUCAAACCCACAAACCGUGAGUUCAUGACCUGAGCCGAAGUCGGACGCUUAACCGACUGAGCCACCCAGGGGCCCCACAUCUUCUCCAGUCUAAAUGGAGACAGCUUCUUCCCCCAUUAAUUACAUGGUAAGAUUUCAGUUCCUCUCACCAAGCUGGUCAUAAUUUUUCUGGGUAGAUUCCAGACUUUUAGUGUCCUUCUCCGAACAAGAUGCCAGAAGCAAACUCAGCCUGAACGCAGAACAGAAGGGAAAUCCAACCUGUAGCCCUUUUGACAGCUAGCACAUCUCAGUCUCCCCAUGCCCCCCUUUUAAAAUUAUAUUAAAAACGCUUCCAUAAGAUCUACUCUCUUGGCAGGUGUAUAUGUGUGCACGACAUUGUCAUGUACAGGCACAAUGUUGGGUUCUCUAGAACUUAUUCAUCUUGCAUGGCUGAAAUUUUAUACCCUUUGAUUAACAACUCUCCAUUUCCCCUCCCCCCCCCCCCCAGCCUCUGGCAGCCACCAUUCUAUCCUGUGCUUCUAGGAGUUUGACUUUUUAAUUUUUUUCUCAUUUUGUUGUAUACAGUCAGUGUUUAUUUGGAUGAAAUUACAUACACAUGUACAUGGCUUUGCUCCUUAUUUCUUCCUGCAGCUCAGAUGUUUGUUCUGGGCAUGGCUCCUUCCUGAAAUACAUACUUCAGAUGUUCUUUUAGGAUAAGAUUUGUUGGUAAAUCUUGGUUUUUCUUUUCCUGAAAAAGCCUUUAUUUCGUCUGUAUUCUUCUCUAAUUGUUUUAGGUUGGUUGUUUCUCCCAGCACACCGAGGCCGUCCAGUUUGCCAGAGUCUCCACCGGUCCCUAUUAGACAUCGCUGGCUGCACACAUCUGUACUACUUGCCCUGUCCUGUAAGUACAGUGAUGAGCUCCUAGGGAGCUAGUGCUUCACUUAUUCUUUUCUGUGCAUAAGCAGCUCAAUGAUAUGUUUUAGUUGAAUAAACAAGUCUGCAUUCACUGCCUGGUCCCCACACGUUCCCCCUUCUGCCACCGCCCACUCAUACCGUAGCCAUCUGCUGUUCUAAUAACCGCAGUGUCCAUUUGUCCAGGUGAGUGCGGAAAAGGAACAUAGUGGGACAUGGCCGAGGGAGGGAGAUGGGCCAGGAGGAAGAUGUGGCUGAGGAUACGGGCUGCAGGUGACACCGAGGGGUAUGCGAAUGCCCUCCUGGCAUGGAGGAAAUCAUCUUCCCCCUCAUACGAUGCCUCCCUAAUUGGCUUAAUAAGAUAUGCCCCAAUUCCCCUCAUUCCUGUUGCUAAAUAUUCAGAUCUCAAUGACUUUCAGGUUUGAGUGGUUAAGUGUCUUAGAGCUGGGAGCACGGUCCUGCCGGUCGGCUACUCGGAGUUAAUUUCCCUUCCCACAUCCCCAGACGGCACCGGCUUGGGUAGAGCGUCUCACAGCUCUGGCAGCAUUGGAGGGCCCGGCUCAUGAUUCUGUUCGCUAAUGGGGAGGAAAUGGCCCAAAAGCUGCAGAUCACUCUUACCCUUCUGGCCCGCUUUAAAAAAAGCAACACACACACACACACACACACACACACACACACACACACACAAAACCAAAAAAAUUCAGGCCUGGCAUUCUAUUAUUCCCUUCUUAAUAAGGGCCUGGAAAUGUCAGCCUCGGUGAUUACACCAGCAGGUGCCCAGACUUCAAAGUGGGCACCUGUCACUGGAAAGAUAAUUGACUUCAUUCAACCAAUUGUCUCUUGGUUGUAAUCAAGCCGUUUCAUUCAAAUGGAUCUUUCAAACUGUUCUUUUGAGUAGGUGGGGGAGGCCGGCAGCCCAGUGGAUCACAAUUACUGCGGCCAGGGAGGCGGGAAGCAGAGCAAGCGCAGAAGCAGAGGUAGCAAAGAGCUGUCAGCCUUUCUGAAAGCGGCAGCUGGCCCGGAGGAGAGUUUGUCGGUGGAAAAAACCCCACAGAGCGAUUAGGGAGAGGCGAGGGAGCCCCCACUAUUCAGCUAUCCAAGCAUUCUUGUGUUUAUUUAGCUUGCCUCCUGGCUGCAGACAGACACUCCCGAGUCUGCACACUGUUUUCAGCAGCAGGUACCCUGAGGGGAUGGAGGGGAGGACGGAGCUCUGUGUCCAAAGCAUCCCUUUCCUCCUCUGGGGACCGAGAGCCAAUGUAAACUUCAAAGAGGAGAGAGGGUCUGUGGAUAGAAACAGGGUAAGUGUCUCUGCUGUCCCACAAGGAGCUAAAGCCUCGUCGGUCAUAGGGUGUGUCUCUGAAUUUGACAGACCUGGUCAUCCGCGGCACAGAAGGCUAAGAUUUGAGCCAAAGGGAGCCUCGGGCACCCACCUAUGGAGUUCGGUGGCUCCCGAUUUCCCUGCGGUGUAGACAAAACCAAUGUUGGCUUUUGAUGGGCCUUGGGCGGGUGGGACCGCUGAGUUCCAGCUGUGAGGACUCGGGAGGUGCUACGGGGCCGGGGCCGAUUGCCAAUUUUAGAGUAACAUGGGUGAGGGUUGUUCAGUCUACGAGACUAAGCUCCGUCCACAAUGAGAAACCUUAGCUGACCUUGGUUCCUGGCUCAGCCGCUUAGUUGCUGUCUGGCCUUGAGCAAGUCACUUAAGUCUCUGAGCCUCAAUUUUCUCAAGUAAGAAAAGGGGCAGUUAGCCCAUAGUGAGAUGGAAGGAGAUGAUAUGUAAAACCACGAAGCUCCAUGACUCAAAUGAGCACCCACUUAAGUGCUCAGGGAAACAGAGGUCUCUUCUCUCCAAAAAAACAGGGUGAAACAAACCCCACAUCCUGCGUUCCUGCAGUCCCCUACGCUGGUUUCACGCUGAUGUGUGCAUGGGGACACGAUGAGGGUCUAUUCCCAGACGCAACAUUGAAUAGCAGGUUCUCGCUGAUCCCACCAACACCAAGGAUCUCUCCCAUCAUCAUUUCUGUCUCCUAUAGCCAUCAUUUACAUACCAAACAUCAUCUCCUCAGAUUGUCCAAGUCCCGAGUGUCCUUGUGUAACACCCAGUGUGGUGCUUUAUACACGGUAAAUGUAUAAGUGAAAACAUUGGUAUGCCUGGGGCUCUGGUAGUGUUUUAAUAUCCCUGGGGAACCAGCAACAUCAUCCUUCGUUGCCAGGGCUGAUUGGCUCUCACUGGGAAAAAUAUCUGAUAAAAUUACAAUUGAUGCUACCAAGCCCUAGGCAGGUAGACCUCAGUUAAUGUAUCCAUCUUCCAUUAUGGAGGCAUCAGUCACUGUUGACUGAAAUGCAAAGAUCAGAAGCAUCUGGAUGGCUUAGUCAGUGAAGCGUCCAACUUCGGCUCAGGUCAUGAUCUCAGAGUCUGCGAGUUUGAGCCCCACAUCGGGCUCUGUGCUGACAGCUCAGAGCCUAGAGCCUGCUUCAGAUUCUGUGUCUCCCUCUCUCUCUGCCCCUCCCCUCUUCAUGCUCUCUCUCUCUCUCUCUCUCUCUCUCUCAAAAAUGAGUAAACAUUAAAAGAAGAAGAAGAAGAAAUGCAAAGAUCAAAAGAAGCUCUUGUACAGGAGGAGAAAUAGCUUCCUGGGAAGCUAGUGUAAGGAACUGAGUUGUAACCCCAAGUGGGUCAGCCUCAGCCAGACCCCAGGGAAGAGGGAAGGACAAAGCAGGAAGAGGGUCCACUGUGUGGUUCAAUGACAUCUCGUGCGAAGGACUGGGGAGGAAUCUGAGAAAAGUUAGUAAGAGGAAGAGAAUGAUGUCUGGAAGGGGAAGAAAGGGGUACGUUGGGUUGAACUCUGAUUUUCUCCGUAAAUUUGCCGCUUGGUUUGAGGAAAACAAAAGCAGUUACGUAUUGAGAAUCUCCAGUGCUCAACCUAACAUGUGUAAGAGUAAAUCGGAGCCUCACCUCCAGAGUUCUAGGCACUGAGCCCUGGACUGUCUGAGUUAUAACAUGAGAAGUCGUGUCAGAUAGGGGAGUGCUGUGGAAUUUUAGCCAUUGUUGGUAUUACUAUGACGGUAGACCUGUUUUCCUCACUGACUCUGGGGAAGGUAUUAGAAAGAAUCAUGGACGUUGUCUCUCAAAGCCAUCACCGCUGAAAAGAGCCCCCAGAAACCAGAGCCCCGGACAGAGGCAGAUACCCACCAAGGCCAGAGUCAUGAGCGUGCAGCGAGUAGAGUCCGGCAAGGCUCUGCUGCCAGCAGGCCUGUGCUUAGGGAUAGCGGUCCACCGGUGCUGUCUGGAAAUUAUUGAUAAUUUUAUCAUUGAAUUUGGGUGAUGUGCGUGUAGCUCAAUAGGAUAAUGGAGCAUGCGCCAGAGGCUGGAAGCCUCACCCCCUCCCUGACGUGGGUCUCUGCUGCCUGCUGCCCUGGGGACAGGAUCAGGGGGGAAUGAGCUCGGCAGCUGUGCACCGAGGCACAGGGAGAGGCCUGGGCACCUGCAAAGGUCAGCACUCACUCCUUAGGUGUCCCCAUGACGAAGGGGACACAAAAUUAAAUGGCAAAAAAAAAAAAAAAAACCCAAAAAACAAACAAACAGAAAACUAGGCAAAGUUGAGGUAGAGAUAACAAAAGAAAGGAAAAAAAAGCUCUUCCCACUUUUGGGGGGCAAGAGGCCCCAUUUUUAUUUCAUUUCAUUUUCACUGGGCCCUGCAAAUUAUGUAGCCAGCUCUCAUGCUUGGUCUUUGGACACCAUGCUUAAGGAUUCAGGGCCAUCCUUCUCAUGUACUCUGAGACAUGAGCUCCCAACGGUGGGCUCACGGAAAGAGAAAGGCAGAGUGUGGAGGUAAGAGUCUGCAGUCAGUGUCUGCCUUUGACAUAUUUGUUGUGACAUAUGUAUUAUGUUUCAGGUAAUGGAUAACUACUCAUCCUCUUUAGGGACUUGAUAGUGUUCCAUAUAAAGAGGAAACACCUGAAACCAUGGCUUGAGAUAUGACUGAACAUUCAGAUUUGGGAUGACAUCCUUGUAAUUCCCUAGAUUAGCUCUGGUUUAUAGGUCCAUUAACUCCAGUGUCAGGUGAGACUUUCUUGUGGUUUGUUUUACUUUGAAUAUCAACCAUUAUAAUACAAUAUUGCACUGUAUAUUAGAUCACAGUGUUCUUUUUUAGCAUGACUAUUUUCUCUGCAAGCCUUCCAUCAGCCUUACUGACAGAGAAGGAUAACUUUAAUACUGGCUGUUUUAUGUGGACGCACUCACACGACAGCGUACAGAAUAUACUAUUGUUUUGUUUAUCCUUUAGCGAUGGGUAGGUAACAGUUGAGGUACUCUUUCAGGAUACACACUCCAGAGGUAGUUUUUAUUUUAAUGAAUUUAACCAGAAGCUCACAUUCCAGGGGAAGCUAUUCCAAGCUUUCGACUAUCUUUAGAACAUUUGCUGAUUAGCAUGAAUGAUGUUAGAAAUGAUUUUUUUUCUUUUUUUACUGGUGAAAUGAGCUAUAUUCAGUUAUGUAGACUGACUAGAAAUAAUUCUAGAGAAACAACCUCCCUUCCACGUAUGAGUUAUGAGACUAGGGUCCCAGUCAGACAACAACUACUGAAGUGGUACCCUGGCCAAAGGACUCCAUCAAAUUCUGUGCCUACGUUCCCUUAGGACAUAAUUUCUUGUUCUCUUUAGAUCACAGUGGUAAAUACUUUUUCCAUUAUGACCUAAUACACACACAUGCACAUUGAAAGGAAGAGUUUUGGGGCUCUUGGGUGGCUCAGUCCGUUAAACGUCCAACUCUUGAUUUCAGUUCAGGUCAUUAUCUCAUGGUUCUUGGGGUUCAAGCCCCACAUUGGGUUCUGUGCUGACAACAUAGAGGCUGCUUAGAAUUCUCACUCUGCCCCUCCCCCACUUGCCCUUGCUGUCUCUCUCAAAACGAAUACAUAACCUUAAAAAGAAAAGGGAAAGUUUCCAGACAAAGCACUUCUUACCCCCACUUUAUAUAAUGCAUUCUAUUAUUUUCCAUCUGAUUCAAUUCUACUAUAUUUCAUUUUGUUAAUUGCUGGUUGCAGUCCGCUCUGUUUAUUUCAGAAUACCCUAGCGGGAUACAAAUAACAGUUCUGAAAACUCUAGCCCACAGAGCUAGCAGAAUCCUGCCACUAGAAUAUUGUUGCAUAUGCCAUAGUGAGUUUUCCUGCAAGGUACUCAUUAGAGGGCCUGACACGGCCAGGAGCGAGGGAGUCAUGGGGAUACAGGACAGAUGGGCACAUGUCUCUGUGUAAAGGAGCUAAUGAAUGUUUGUGUGUGCACCCACAUGUGGUCUGGGACUUGUUUUCAUCGUAACAUAACAGCCAGGUAGCGAACAGGUGGAAGAGGAGACCUCUGUUCAACCUGUGUUCUCUCACCUAUGUUCAACCACUGGACAUUACCAAUAACAGCCAGAAGGACCUAGCAUUGAUGGACAACUACAUUGGUUUAGGUCAGUUUGCAAGUACAGUAAAACCUGGAGUCUUCUGCAAGCCGAGCAAACAUUUCUAAUAAAUUUUAACUUGAUAAACGAGUGAUGUCUUGUAACCCAAGUAGUACAUGAUGCUGAAUGUCACAUGAUCAUAACUGAGCCAAUGGUUCUUGAAAUUCGCUUUGAUGUACAAGUGCUUUGGAUUAGAAGCCUGUCUCUGGAAUGAAUUAUGCUCGCAAACCAAAGCUUUACCGUGUUACUUUUAAAAAUAUCAUCCCUCCAAAGGGAGAUCAGAGGCACAGAGUCACAAGCCAAGGAUUGUCUGGAGCCACCAGAAGCUUCAAGAGGCCAAGAUCGGAUUCCACCCGAGGGCUUUCAGAGAAAAUGUGGCCCUACUGACACCUUGAUUUUGGACCUCUGAGUUUAAGAACUGUGAGAAAGAAAUUUCUAUUGUUUUAAGCUACAAGUGUGUGGAGAUUUGUUAAGGCAACCCUAGGAAACCAAUACAGACGUUACACAGACCGAGACUACAGACGUCUCUUUGAUAAUCCUGUCAGUUGCCCGAUCCCAGCCAGAAACACCUCCCCCCGGAACAAAGGAGCAAAGAUCAGUUAUGUAUCCUUUUUGCUAGCUUACGUAGAAUCAGCUUUCAGGAAAAUAUUACAUCUUGUCUGAUCCAAAAUAUUUCAAAACACCACUCACCAUCUCUGAUGGUAUUUAUGGCUCAACAUUCUUGAUAGCAACCAUAUAAAAUUUAUUUCAAAAAAACGUGAUGGGGAUUCUUAACUAUACACAAACUUUUUUGAGAGACAGAGAGAGACAGAUGGAGAGCAGGGGAGGGGCAGAGAGAGAGAGGGAGACACGGAAUCUGAAGUAGGCUCCAGGCUCCGAGCUGUCAGCACAGAGCCUGAUGCAGGGCUCGAACCCACAAACCGUGAGAUCAUGACCUGAGCCGGAGUGGAGGCUUAACUGACUGAGCCACUCAGGCACCUCUGAAUUCUUCUUUAAAUCUUUUUAACCCUGGAAACAACUUAAUUUAUUAUUAGGGUUUAAAUUGAACAUGAGCAAACAUUAUUCCAUCUCAGCCAUCUAGGUGGAAAAAGAAACUUUCCCCCUUACAGGCACUUACUCUGUUCCUGGGGACAGAUUCAGACUGGGCUGGCCUGGGUCCCAUGACCAUCUGUGCGUCAAUCACUGUGGAAGCUGGGGGGCUGAGGUGCUUUGACUAGCAGAGCCCCUCACGUCUGUGUUGUGGGGGUCGGGAAGCAUUGCUUCUCCAAAGCAAAGGUGGUUAUGCUAUUACCAGAGGGAGUAAAGCACAGAGUGAUUCAGACAAACAGGUGUUCACACAUACAUGCAAAUACAUCCACAGAUGUGUUGAGACAAACUGAAAAAUUACUGGGAAAAAGUGUAGGUAGCAAUGUGUGUGUUAGCCUCUGUUCUGGAUGAUGGGAUUAUGGGGAUAUACAAACAUGCCUUGCUUACAAGUUGUCCAGCCUGUACCCUUUCACCUUGUUGUAAACAAAAGUGUUUAAGCUUCACUGACACCGGGUUUGUUGCUAUACAUGAAGGUUUUGGCAAUAUAAAGCUUUGGUUGAGCCACUGGGGGUAAGAAGAAUUCCACGCAGAAAAUUGUGGGUGCUCUGUGACUCCAAGAAGUCCACCUGCGGGUGGGGAAUGGAUUCCUUUGAAGUGUGUGAUGUAAAUUAAAUGGUCGACCAGUGACGGGGGAAGAAGAGCAGGGGGCGCCAUGCAGGAAGCAGCACUGGACAUGGAUUUCCUCGGGGGCUGCGAAUUUGCUUCCUCUCUUCUCCUUCCAUCUCCCAGCUUACCCUGAACAGGGGCCCAUCUUUUUCCCCUAUGGUACCGUCAUUCUCCGUCCUGGAUUGCACAUUUUUCCUGACUAAUUCACCCACUCAAGCUCAGUUGGGCAGGUUAAAACCUCUUCCUCUGACAAGGAAUCCUUCUUUAAGUCACACGAUCCUCCUACCCAUGAAAAUCAACACAUUAUUCAAUUACAAACAACCCUAAGAGCUAUCAUUUUCUAAGCACUUAUCAUAUACCCACAUGAUUUCAUUGAGUUCAAUAAGUCCUGGGUUACUGUUUCAAAUUUCAGAUGAGUAGCGGAAUUAUGGGAAGGUUAUAUAACUUGCGAAAAGUCACAUUGCUUGUAGACGGCUGUCCUGGGACUCGAAUGUGAGCCAGAUUCUCAGCCCGUGAUCUUGAAAAGGGAUGGGCUAAUGUUGCUUGUUGAGGAAGGUCAUUGAGAGGAUGUGGCAGCCAGUUGACCCGUGCGCUGGACCUCAGCAAUGAAAGGCUCACUUCCUCCCCUGUCCUUGGAAUGUGCACUUUGCUUGGCUUCCCUGCUCCCAGAAGCUGCCCCAAGGAUCUAGCCUUGAGAGACUGAUGUGGACUUGAGACCAUCUGGACUGUGUACGUGAUUGAACAUAGUUAGGGUCUCUGCAUAAAUGUUUUAGAUUGGGUGGGCAAGUAGAAGAUCUACUCCUCUUGAGGCCACCCAAGACAAGUCUUGUCUGCAAGCUCCCUUGCUCGUUGAACCUGCCACCUUCCGAUCCGGAGUGGCCUGCCUCUUUCGUUGGUCUCUUUCUGACCUCUGAGAAUGGGGGCCAGUUUCAGAUUCUACCUGGAAGCUCUGAAGGAGGUCACCAGCCACCACUGCCACACCCUGGCUGUGCCAUCUUCACAGUAAGUCACCUCCGCCUGAACCGUCAUCUUAUUGUCUAUAGUCAGGAUAUUUCUAAAUCCUGCCCGGCCUAUUCUGUCAUCUCUUGGAAAGUCCUAUGAGAAAGAGCUUUGCGCAUUAUACGUCACACAUGCACACGUGGGGUGUCAUAGAUUGAGCCUCUGGGAGACUGAAGGGGGGAGGCACGUCUAGUGAGGCUCGGGGACAAGAAACUUGGAGGUUUGUACACCUGGUGGAGAGGCAUACGGGGAUGAAACAUACAUACUGAGGCUCUAGCUGUGUGUAGGCAUGGAGUCCAAGUAAGAUACGGUCAAGUCCUGGUUUGCCCAUGCCUGAGGGCUUUCCUGGGACAUGGGACUUUCUGUGCUAACCAAGAUCCUGAGCAAACCAAGAUGAAGUGGUUGCCCUGGUUAAGGUAAAAUUGGCUUCUUAACGAGAAGUGCGUGUGAACCGGCUGUUUAAAAGCAGAAGGGAAAUCGUCCCACGGUAGCUGGGCUUUGAGGACAUGGCAGCCCUGUUGUUCCAACGAUGCCAUCUGUCCAGCCCCUCGGAAGAGCAGACGCACGGGGUGCGUUUUCCGCAGCAUUGAAAGAUUGGUGGGCCACCUGUUCUUCUCCAAACUCUUGCAUUCUGGCAGUGGGCUCUUCCCCUUCCCUGGGCUAACAGGCACGUGGUGGUCCAUUCCCGCCGUAACACCCAGUCUUCUCCAGGAUGAAAGGGAGAGCCCUGCCGGGAGUUAAGAGCCAAGAAUGCAGGUAUUUUGCAGUUUAUGCUCAGCCUUGCUUUCGAAUGAUGUCCCUCUAACUCGCUCUUUCCUUAGAAGGCUGUCUCUCCAGGGUGUUCCUUAGUCUUCUGACUAGCGAGUUUGUGACCUCUCCCCACCUUACGCAGUUGGGACUGAAUGCCCCGAGUGGUCUCCUAGCUUCAGAAAGAACCUGGCUCAUGUCUCCCUGCCCCCACCCAAAGCAUUCCUGCUGGAAAACCCUGCAACCUCUUCUAGCUCCUUGGUGCUCAGCCAGACUGCCCAGGUUCCCAACCUCUCACUACCAUCUCUCAUCAUCUGUGUCAUUUAAAGCAAGGUACUUUGCCUGCCUUUCCCUCAUUAAGAAAGUGAGAGUGAUAAGUACGUCACCUAAGUUAACAGGCAGUGAAAGGUUAAAUAAUUGAAUACAUGGGAAGGGCUUAGAACAGUGUCUGGAAGCUAGUAAGUGCUCAGUAAGUAUUCAUGUUCUUCCUUUUUACCCAACCUAAGGUGGUAUUCUCACCAGUUUCUGUAGAAAAUGAGGUUUCAAGCUUCCCUUCCUUGGUGUGGUACAAGAAGCCUAAGCUUUGGAAGUGUGCAAUUAUCUCCAACAUUAUGUAACUCCCGUACGUCCAGUUUCCUAGUCUGCUAAAGUGGGCUAGGAAUCAACUAAGGAGGGUUCAAAGAGAUGAUGCGUGACAACCCUGUCCUUUGGAACCCCCACAUAACUUACACUCUAUCUACAGUAUAGCGCCGAUCCCCCGACUGAUGUUAUGUUUGUCCCUAGACUGUGACCCUCUUGAAAGAAAGGGUUGUGUCUUUCCUACCUGCUCAUUUCCAGGGCUUACCCCAGUGCCUGGCAUAAAAGGAAAAUGAAUGCGUGUCCGCUGAAAUGAUGGCAGCUAGCACAAUACUUGGCUUGUCUUUGGUGAUCAGUGGAUUAUAGUUUCGUUCCUAAGGUUACAGAGCUGGUUAGUAGCACAUGGGGACUGAUCUUGACUUUUUCUUCUCCUUAAGCUGAUUAGUAAAGGUGCCUUCGAAGGAACAUUAUUGAGAAAAUGAUUAUAAAAUGUCUUUAGUUCAUGAGCAGAAAUAGCACUUAAAUAGAGGUUACAUUACACAUUUGAACUACCUUUCUGUUUUCCAAAUUAAGCCCACAGUAGAACAUUCAUUGUAUUUCCUCUUCGGUUCCAAUACAUGUCAGAUGAGGUGGAAACUUUUAGGACACAGUCAUCAAUAUUUCUUGAUAAGAAUCCUGCCUCCUUUGUAAUUAAACUGCCCUCUCCUGCUAAUUUGUGUGCAUCCGUAUAAUAUCCCUUUCUUCCAAUUAAACACAUCACUCAUUGAUGAUGCUUCAAGUCUGAAGCCAAGACAAGUGAAAAGGGAUAAGACCUAGAAGCAUUCAAAUUGGACAUUUCCCCCUGAGUUAAGGCCUUUUUAAUCCUUUAUAUCUUGGCAAGUAGUUAGUCACUUUCGCAGUGCUAGCAGCUGUACGAUGGGAACCGAUUUGAUGGGUAACAUGUUUUAUAUUUGCACAUGUCACCAAUGCAACACGGAAACAUUUUUAAAACUAGGGAAGAAGCACGAACAGCCCAUUUUUCCCAGCACAAGUUUGUAGUCUAGAGCUAUUCAUCUCAGAUGAAACCAACUUUCUAUAGCAGCUUCAAAUGGAGGCAAAUAACGCUUGGACGGGGACCGUCUAUUCCAUUGAUGUGGAAUUAGAAAAAGCUAUUGAGUCAACUUCUAUUUUUGCAACAUUAAAUGGAAGCCCUUCUCAUGCAAUUUUAGAAAUUCAGACACCCAGCUCCAAAACAAUGAAACUGAUGGAUCGUGGUCAAAAUUUGAGAUGGGAUGUGUAUGGAAGUGGAAACAUUUUCCAGAAGAAUUUGAAAUGGCAAAAUAUGGCGUGCCUUUAAUGAAAUACUGCCUUGUAAGUCUGGGCAAUUGAUUCUUAUCAGCCUCCCCACACUGAAGUUUAUUUUUCCAUCUUGACUCUCUCAGUUAUUCUGUUUCUCAUUUAAUGAAGACUGAUCUCCCAGAUCCUCGUUUCAUUAAUGUUGGCCUCUCGUGAAUGAUUGAAACAGAAUGGUGGUGAUAAUAUGCAGAGUUUAAUAGGGGAGAGAAAGAGCUAAUUACAUAUGUUAUCAACGGAAGCCAGGAAGGACCUGGAGAAAAGAUACAAUAAAUCUCAGAGUCACACAUCAUAGCAUGAAGUACGAGGCCUGCAAGGAGGAUCUGUAUGGUUGAUGUCAAGGUCUCAGCUAGAAAAUCUUGCACAGAGAGCCCCCAAACUUUUACCUGCAUUGUUCCCUUCUGGUCUCUCAAAUAAUUUGUUAGAUGACUUUUGAAAAAGCCUAAUGACUCAAAUGUCAUACUCCAAAGAGAAGGACUAUGUAAUCACUGAACUGGCGGGAACUCUUCAUAAUCCCAUGAGACUGGUGGAAGGAAGAGCCAACCCUAGGCAGGCCAUCUGUAUGAACUGUGUUCUGGAACCUUCCCUAUACUGGGCUCCCACCUACUCUCUACCUCCAUUACAUUUUUCUGUCAUAUCCUCCAUUAAUACUCAGGUAUAAAUCCACUGUCUGGAUAUGAAGCAGCCUUGGAGAUCCACACCAACGAUCCCAUUUCACUAGGAGAAAAAUGAAGCCAGAGUUUAUGAGUUUGGAACAGAACAUACAACUGGUAAGUGCCAGGAUUACAUUUGUUGACUUUUUCUCUGUAAUCAAUGUCAACAGUUCUAAGAAUUAUUAUAAUUUUCAACAUUAGCAGAAAUGUUGAGAAAGCUAGAAUAACAGUGAAUGGGCCAGCCAGAAAUACAGUCAUGCCACACAUCAAAGGGGGGAAUUUCUCAUGUCUGGUCCAAUGUGACUUGUGGGGGAGGGGCUCAGUACCCUGUGGUCAUUCAAGGUUCCAGGCGCCUGCCAGUAUUUGUCUCCAUUAUCUGUUAGAGCCAUAUCAUCCUCUGAAUUCAGCCUGCAGAUCGAAAAGGCAGCCGGGAAAAGAGGAAGCGUGGGGAAGGCUCACCAGUCUCAACCACACAUCACUUCUGUGGCUGUUCCAUCGUCAAAAAUUCAUCACAUGGCCAUGUUGAGAUGUGAGGGGCCUGGAAAAGUUGGUCUAGCUAUAUACCUAAGAAGACAAAUGGAGCACAGAUUCUGGAAGGCUCUUGCAGUCUUAGCCAGUCCCAGUGGCAGCCUCCAUAAAUGUAGCUAUUGUUACUAUUAAGCUCACUUCACUGGGUCAAGGUUCUGGCGCUCCUACAGUGUACUUGGAGGAGAAGAACAAAGUCGAAAGUUUCCUUCUAGUUUGUCUUGCUACCCAAAGCCUUCACAGACCCGAAGGUGACGCAGGCUAUUGGUCACUCUACACAGUGGCCAUCUAGGGACAGGUGACCCAGAAAAACAGUGCUAAGGCCACCCUAGGGCUGCUGGUCUCUGAGAGAAGAAAAGAGAACAAACAAAACAAAGAAAAACUUAAUUCCGUCCUGUUUGUUUUAAGGUCUAAGGGAUUUCUAAAUAUUGCCAACUUUUUUUUUUUUUUUGUAUGAUGAGAAUAUUUUGUUCUGGGUCCCCUGCUUUUUAGCUGUGAGACUUUGGGAAGUUAUUUGAAUUUCGUAAGUCUCUAUUUUCCCACCUACAAAAUGAAGAUAAUAGUUGUUCUAUCUCAAAGGGUUGUUCUGAGGAUGGAAUGAGAUGAUGCAUGGAUGUGCAGUAGUGAUGUGCAAGGUGCGACCUUCCUUGUCUUCAUCCUCCUCCUCCUCCUCCUCCUCGUCCUCCCCCUCGUCCUCCCUCUCUUUAUCGUAAUGUGAUUACUAUUCCUAUUAUCAUCCAUAAUCACAUCUAACAAAUUUUGUCUCUUUGAUUUUCCUUUCGGCCAAGGGUAGCAGCGUGAUGUGGUUGCAAAAGCCUGGACUUUGGAGUCCAUGAAGGUUGGAUUCACCCUGACUCUAAAACUUGCUCACUGAGCAGGGGACCUUGGGCAACUCAUUUGACUCCUCUGUGUGUAAUUCUUCACCUGUAAGAAAAGGCGAUGAUUCCUAAGAGUAAAAGGUUGUGAAGAUUUUGGUAAAGCGUUCAUUGCUGUGGUUGGCAUGAAAUGAAAGCUCAUUUCCUUGUCCUUUAUGGGAAUUCCCAGGGGCUUAAGAAUUUAGUAAGCUAUAGCACCCAGGGACCUCCGAAGAAUUGACAUACAUUCAAAUAGUAUUUUUAUUGACGGAUGUUUUAUUUGUUUGUUUGUUUGUUUAUUUUGCCUUUAUUAGUAAGUCCAAUAAUUAAGUGUGAAAGGUCUAGGAUCUGGAACAUAUGAAAUGCUUAUAAGUUGUUGUGGUCCAAGAAUGAACAAAUGAAUGAGUGAAUGAAGAAAAAUGAAGCUCUUGAUCCUGGGAAAGUUAAUUUAUGGCACAUGAUGGCAAAUUUUGAGUUAAUGUUAAAAUCAAGCCAUUCCAUUUUUUUGUUCUUUACUCUUUACCUCUAAUCCUUUUCUCAGAAAAUAACCGAUCUCUUGCAAAAGGACUAAUUUACUUUUUAAAAAAUAUUGCUUGGGAGGCGCUUGAGUGGCUCAGUCAGUUGAGUGUCUGACUCUUGAUUUCGCCUUAGGUCAUGAUCCCAGGAUUGUGGAAUCGAGCCCUGCGUCAGGCUCCUCACUAGGGUGGAGGUUGCUUCAGAUUCUCUCCCUCCCCACCGCUUUCUCUCUGACCCUCUCCCCGACUCAUGCUCUCACUCUCUCUAAAAUAAGUAAAAUGGAAAAAAAUGAAAAAAAAAUAUUUCUUGGGCACCUGGGUGGCUCAGUUGGUUAAGCGUCGAACUCUCCAUCUCAGCUCAGGUGUUGAUCUCAGAGUUGUGAGUUCGAGUCCUGAACUGGGCUCCACGCUAGAGGUGGAGCCUAUUUAAAAAAUGUUUCUUCCUGUGAUAAAAUAUAUAGUAUAAAGUUUGCCAUGCUAAUUGGACAAGUCAGUGGCAUUAAGUACAUGGACAGUAUUGUACAACCAUCACUAUUUUCCAAGCCUUUUCAGCACCCCAGACAGAAACUCUGUAUCUGUUAGCAGUAACUCCCCAUUGCUGCUUCUUCCCUCCCCCCCACCCCUUGGUCAUAUCUCAUGAACUUUCUCUUGCUAUGAUUUUGCCUCUGCUAGAUAUUUUAUAUAAGUAGAAUCAUUUUCUUUAUCUACUCGUCUGUCAAUGGUCACUUAGAUUAUUUCUACUUAAGCUAUUGUGAACCAUGCUGCAAGGAGCAAGGGGAAACAGGUAUCUGUGAGAGUCCCUGCUUUCAAUUCUUUGGGGGACAUACCCAGGGGUAGGGUUCUGGCUCAUGUGGUCAUUCUAUGUUUAACUUUUGGAGGAACUGCUAAAUUGCUGUGCAUUGUGGUUGCCCCAUUUUACACUCCUACUAACAAGGUGGGGGCGUUCUGGUUUCUCCACCUCCACAGCAACACAUUAUUCACUGAUUAUUUUUAUUACAGCUAUUCUAGUGGGUGUGAAAUGGUAUCUCAAAGUUUUGAUUUACAUUUCUCAAAUGGCUAGUGUGUUCAGCAUUUUUUCAUGUUCUUUGGCUAUUUGUAUAUAUUCUUUGGAAGAAUGUCUAUUCAAGUGCCUUGCUCACUUUUGGAUUGUUUUUUUUUGUUUGUUUUUCAGGACAAAUUAAUUUUAAAUAAGCUUUCAGUUCAUAGUAAUUGGGUCUAAAUUAUGUAUAUCUUCAAACUUCUUUAAUUUUGUUUAUUUGAUCUGUCAGAUUUAGAGAAAGAUGUUUCAAAUGUUCCCACCUUAAUUACAGCUUUGUAGAAUGCCUGUAUAUCUAACAGUUUUGCUUUACACGUUUUGAUGAAAGGUUGUUCGAUGCUUCGGGGUUCAUUGUGGUUUUGAGAUCUUGGUUAAAUGUACCUCUGAUGAAUUUAAAAUGUUUCUCUUUUCUUUUUGCACCUGCUUUGCUUGAAUUUUACCUCGCUUAAUGAUGCAUUGCUCACAUUUAAGAUUUGUUUAUAUUAGUUUGGAGUAUUUUGGUCAGCUAAUUUUGCAUCAAACUUGGCAUCAAAUUACUUUAUGUAUAUUUCUAUGAACAGCUUAUGGUAGGAUUUUAUUUUUACUCAAUCUAAGGGAAUUUGUUUUUACUUAUUUAUUAAUUUAAUUUAAUUUAAUUUAUUUAUUUCAAAAGAAAGAGAGAGAGCUUGAGCAGGGGAGGGACAGGAGAGAGAGAAUCCCAAACAAGCUCUGUGCUAUCAGCACAGAGCCUGACACAGGGGUCGAACCCACGAACUGUCAGAUCAUGACCCGAACCGAAAUCAAGAGUUGGCGGCUUAACCAACUGCACCACCCAGGCGCCCUGAGAAUUUGUUUUUGAAACUCUGUUGUCAUCAUUGGUGUGUGGGGUAUUAUUCUUGCUGUCUUUUAUGUACUCCCCCCUCCCCGCCCCAUCGAGUUCUUACGUUUCAUCCUUUUUCUACUUAAUUACUUUCUAAAUAUUCAAGUUCCCUUUGUUUUAGUUUUUCUCUUAUUUAUGGUCCUUAAGGUUUACAUCCUAUUACUUUUCAUUCUACUAGUGGGUACCCUUAAUUUUCUCCAAACACAAGAUGAGGAACAGAUUUGGGGAGUGAUGAUUUCCAUUUUGGAAGGAGUUGCAGGUGGUAGUUUGUCACUGACAUGGGGGGUGGGGGCUCCAUCUCCAGGUUUUAAAGCUCCAAGGCCUGGACAAAGUAUUCUCCGAAGGGGUCCACAGCACACUGUCCUUGGCUAUCACAGCACUGUCCCCCUGUCUUAUAACUGACUCCUCCUUGUCUAUCGCUAGUGGAGGUAAACACUUUAUCUUGUUCACAUAGGACUGCUGUGUCAGCAAAAUGAAUUUUAGUAGAGACUACUGGGGCUUAGCCCUGGGGCGAUCUUCCCACAUUUCAGGGCAAGAACAGUUUCUUUCUUCUCUUUCUUUCCUUCCUUCCUUCUUUCCUUCCUCCCUCCCUCCCUCCUUUCUUUCUUUCUUUCUUUCUUUCUUUCUUUCUUUCUUUCUUUCUUUCUUUCUUUCUUUCUUUCUUUCUUUCUUCUCUUUAUCUUUGAGAGAGAGACAGAGACAGAGCAUGAGCGGAGGAGGGGCAGAGAGAGAGGGAGACACAGAAUCUGAACAGGGCUCCAGGCCCUGAGCUGUCAGAGCCUGACACAGGGCUCCUACUCACGAAUCCUGAGAUGAAGACCUGAGCCAAAGUCAGGCACUUAACCCACGGAGCCACCCAGGUGCCCCAGGGCAAGAACAGUUUCAAUGAUUUUAUCUCAGCUCUUCAGAGGCUUAUCCUGCCGAGAGGUUUCAUGCCCUUGGGCGAUUGCUGGAGGUCUGUGAGAAAACAGUGAGCUCCCGGCCUAGGCCUCGCUGGGCCACAGGCAGCACAGCAGUGGGCGGAGGGAGAGAACCUGCUGGUGUCUUACUGCUGCUGGAUGCCGUAGCCCAUGUUUGGUGAGUGCAUUGAAAUCUCCAGAAAGCACAUCUGAGGCCAGAAGUCACGUUGCUUUUUAGUUCAUUCUCAAGUAUCUCUGACACAGAGGAAGCAUAUUUACGUCCAUUAGUUCUCGUGCCCUGUCCUUAGUCAUCUCGGGCACCGAAAGGGAGAGCGGGACACCCGGGAGGCCAAUUGUGGGAGAGCAUGGGAACCUGUUUCACGAAGCUGUGCAUCCUCUGUGUUUGUGCAAGACAGCCUUGCUCUCAGUCACAUACCCACCAUGGCAGAGAGAAUUUGUGGCAAGGAUAAUUGAAAUCAAGAUCUCUCGUGGCUUACUUCCCACACUGGGAGGUCUGCUCACUCCUCAAAUGUGCCACAGGGACCGAGUAUGUGUAUGUGGGUGCAGAGGGCAUGUGGUGGACAGGAGGAAAGGGUAAGGUGGGCAGAGGGGCAUGCUGAGCCCAGAGGGUCCCUCCUUAAAGACAAUCUCACGCGGAUGAGCUGCAGAAGCCUGUGUUGCACCAGAAGAUUUUGCUUCCUUGCCUGGUUUGAAAGCCUGUUGUUAUCUCUGGGAUCGUUUUUAGAAUUGCAAUUAACAUGGGGCAUGGAUUUCAAGUGAUUGAAAUUGUGGUAUUUACGUUCAAGACUACUGUCUAUUUCAGUAUUGGGUUUGGAGCUGGCUGGGUAUAAUUAGAUACCAGUGUGGUGCGGUACCUUUGGGUUUGAUUUCACUUCAGAACCCCAGACUCAGCCUCGUUUCCCCUCUAAGGAAACCUUAUCUGCUAUGAGAAAUCCAUAUUUUAGUUGCCUCCUCUUUAUCCUGGUGAGGGGGUGGGGGUGUUUUCUGCUCCAGGGUUGUGGAGAUGGCUGGACACAUGAUAUCUGACACGGUACAGAGGAGAUUGGGAGUGGUUCUUUAAUUGUAUGUGCUCACAGCCACAGGCUGUGGUGUGCUCACACCACAGGCCAUGCAGGGCCACGCAGGGGUUGCUCUGGGGAGCGGCUUGAACAACCAAGGGCGGAGAGAGGGAGGCUUUGUAGAAUAAAGAGGAUGAGUUGUCUCUUGGAUCCUGUAGGAGUAUGGGAUUGGCUUGUUUGAGUAAUUCUAUGGGAGUGUAGGAAACAAAAGCCCAUGCUCAAGACUACGGGCCACCUGGGGUCUCAGUUGGCUAAGCAUCGUCUGACUUCAGCUCAGGUCAUGAUCUCACUGUUCGUGGGUUCGAGCCCCACAUCAGGCUCUGUGCUGACAGCUAGGAGCCUGGAGCCUGCUUCGGAUUCUGUAUCUCCCUCUCUCUCUGUCCCUCACCCACUUGUGCUCUGUCUCUCUAUGUCUCUCAAAAAUAAAUAAAUGUAAAAAAAAAAAAAAAAGAAUAAGCAGGCACUGUGCCUGGUCCCUUGGAUAGGGAAGGUUGUUGGCUAGAAGACCUUAUCUGUGGGAACAGAGUUGGGGGUGGGGAGAAUUUGCUGUUAGACCACUUGGGACCUUCCUUCCCAUUUUUACCAGAUGUCAGUAUCAAGCCUUAAUCUCAGGCCUGACAUUACAGUACAACACCACUAUGCAACUCCAAGAAAGAUCAUUCUUUAGAUAUUUAUUUUUGAGAGAGAGAGACAGAGAGAGGAGGGAGGAAGAGGAAAAGAAGGAGCAUAUGCGAGUGGGGGAGGGGCAGAAAGAGAGAGGGGGACAGAGGAUCCGAGGCGGGCUGUACAUUGACAGCAGAGAGCCCGAUGUGGGGCUGGAACUCACAAACUAUGAGAUCAUAACCUGGGCCGAAGUCAGACGCUCAACCGACUGAGACACCCAGGGACCCCCCCAAAAAAUCAUUCUUAUCAUCGUCUUUAGAACAGCACCUAGGCACUCCUGGGCACCCUGAUGAUAGGAUAUAAAGUUCAGAUAACCACCACUCUAUUUCUGUUUUCAUGAAUUUGGCUUUUCUAGAUUCCAUGUGUAAGCGACAUCACAUAGUAUCUGUCUUUCUCUUUCUGACUUAUCUCACUUAGCACAAGGCUCUCCAGGUCCAUCCGCGUUGGUGCAAAUGACAGGCUAUCCUUUCUGGUGGCUGAAUAAUAUUCCAUUGUAUACAUAUACCACAUUUCCUUUAUCCAUUCAUCCAUUGAUGGACGCUUAGGUUGUUUCUGGGUCUUGGCUGUUGUGAACCAUGUUGCAGUAUCUACUGCUUAAGUAUUGUUUUAUUUCAGAGGGAGAAGAACCAGAUAAUAUCUGCUGCUUUACUUACUUGGAGAUGUGUUAGAUGUGGUGGUACUCAAGGUGUGGUCCCCAGGCCUGCAGCAUCAGCAUUACCUGGGAGUUUGGCUAGAAAUGCAAAUUCGUUGGCUUUAUCCAAAACACUGCUGUCUGAACCUUGGGAAAGGGCCCGGGAAUAUGUGUUUUAAUAAGCCCUCCCAGUGAUUCUCCUAUUCUUGUAGACUGAUGACAGUUACUCUCAAUCUAAGUGGAAAGGAGAGAGCAGUAAGGAGAAAAAAAAAAAAAGGUGAAUAAAGGCCAAAUAGUUCUACGCUUCCCCUACCUCAGCCGCUGGUAGAUCGUAAGCCUGUUCCUGUAAACAAAACCCUUUACCUGCCCUGGAAACGGCAAAGAUGAAAGAAAACUGUUAACAUUACAGUUAAUCCUGCAAAACGGCAGGAAAAGGAGUGAGAGUAAUUUUCAGAGAAAACAGUUUUCACAAGAGAAAUCAAAACGUGGGUCAAACUGAUGAUACCAGAAUAGGUGAAGAGAGGCAAAGUACCAAAAAAAUCAGGGCCCGUUUGGUUUAAACUGAUCAAUCAAUUUAAAAUUGCAAAGGUGAGUUUAUUACACCUUCUGCAGUGAGGGAGAAUACCACCGCCACAGAGUCUUAGUGGUGUCUCUGAGUGGGGAAAUUGGAGAAGGAUCUUUAUCAGGCUUUUGGGUCUGAGCUGGAUACUUUUAUUUAUUUAUUUGUAUAUUUACUUAUUUAUUUAAUUUAUUUUUACUUAUUUGAGAUAGACAAAGACAGUGCAAGUAGGGGAGGGGCAGAGAAAGAGAGAGAGAGAGAGAGAGAGAGAGAGAGAGAAUUGCAAGCAAGCUCCACACUGCCAGCACAGAGCCUGACGUCGGGCUCGAACUCACAAAACCGCGAGAUCACGACCUGAGCUGAAACCGGGAAUCAGACGCUUAACCUACUGAGCCACCCCGGUGCCCCUGAGCUGGAUACUUUUAGGGCAGGUCUGCAAGAUUGCAAACUGGUCAGGACUGGGCACAGUUCACGGUGUAAGAGCUUUGGACGGGCGGGGGCAACGUGACAACCUGAAGUAGACCUGAUGAGCAAGUUGUAAGUCUUCGUAAGUAAUAGAAACAAAAUUAAGAAACUCAUUUACAAAAAUGCUUCAUACUACUUCGUAUCACCUCAUUUAAUUAAAAAACAAAAAUUCCAAAGAGCGCCUGGGUGGCUCAGUUGGUUAAGCAUCAGACUCUUGGUUUUGGCUCAGGUCAUGACCUCACGGUCUAUGAGUGCACUGAGCGUGCAGAGCCUUCUUGGGAUUCAUUCUCUCUCUCUCCCUCUCCCUCCCUCUCCCUCUCUCUCCCUCUCCCCUUGCUCUCUCUGUCUGUCUCUAAAAAAAUAAUUAAGUAAACUUAAAAAAAAAUCUUCCAAGAUUCAAACAUUUCUAAAAUAUGACAUAAUCAGCAUCAAAGACUGAAAGCAUGAUCUCCAUGCUAAAAUAGAUUUUAUUUUAUUUUAUUUUAUUAAACGUUUAUUUAUUUUGAGAGAGAGAGAGUGCUAGCAGGGGAGGGGCAGAGAGAGAGGGAGAGAGAGAGAAUCCCAAGCAAGUUCCGCGCUGUCAGCCCGCGGGGCUCGAACGCGCGAACCAUGAGAUCAUGACCUGAGCCAAAACCUAGUCAGACGCUUAACCAAUUGAGCCACCCAGGCACCCCUAAAAUAUAUUUAAGGUAUACAAUGUAUUGAUGUAAUGCAGUUCUAUAUUCAAUAUGAUUACCACUGAGGCAUUAGCUGGUACCUCUCUCACAUCCCAUAAUUAUCAUUUCUUUUUUGUGGUGAAAAUAAUUAAGAAAAAAAUAUUUCAACAUCAGCCUUAGCCUCAAAAUUAUGUGACUUAUUAGCCCUGAAUGUAUGUAAAAAUAUUUGUAAAUUUUGUCAACUCCUGCUUCUUCCUGAUUAUCACUGCUUAUCUAGAAGCAAUUAUGGACUAUUUUCACUGCACCCAAUUCAAGAGUACUUCUGUCCCGUGGGUUUCUUAAUUUAGAACACUAUUUUUUCAUGAUGCUGUCCUCCACCAAAACUUGUAUUUGUAUUAUCAUCCCCCAAUCAAACAACUUUUCCUUUAAUGUUGAGUUUUUAUCAUUGAAUUUGCAACACAUUUACAAUAAUUUCAGAAGUGUUUCACUUUUGUGACAGGAUGAGCUUCAGAAAGCUUUGCUAGAAUUUCAUAAACUGGGUGAAAAAAUUGCACCACUUAUGGAAUCAACCUAAUUUUCUACUUGAAGCAUCUCAUGCUUGCAAAGUGCUUGUUUUUCUAAUUGUACUGGGACAUGAACAGCUGUUGCUUUACUUUUUUAUAGGCACAAGGAAACUUGGAAUAAGUGUGAGAAAAAUUAUUUUAGAAGUGUCUAAGUGAUCUCAAUUGUAUUAUUUUCAUUUGAUCUAGAUGACAAGUCAUGUUUCACAGGGAUAUGUAAAUAUACUUUCUGCAUAACUGCAUGCAUGAACUUGUCCUCAGGCACAAUGUUCUUUAAAUAACUCUGAAAUAACAGGGUAUAUUGGUCUCUGACCCCUGUUCAUGCUAAUUUGUCAUCUCUGUUCCCGGUUCCUGACACAGAGCUCAUAAAACCUUUGUAGUUCCCCGAGUGAUAGGAGCAUUCUUUGUUCUAAUGAGGUGACUCUUGAUGGAGCUCCUCGAUAGGGCCUGGUCACCAGAAAUACCAAGCCAUGGUAAGAAUCAUGGAAUUUCCAGGGCAACUUCUCAUUCUCCAGGGCGGAGAUGGGCUGGAAAAUGAGUUAAAAAUCAAUCAUGAUCACAGGAUUAAGACUCUAUAAAAAUCCCAAAAUUAUGGGGUUUGGAGAGCUCCUGGGUUGGUGAACACAUCUAAAUGCCUGGAGAGUAGCACAGCCCAACUCCAUGGGGGCACAAGUUCCUACACAUGAGACCCUUCUGAGCCUUGCUCUCCGUAUCUCUUCAUCUGGCUGUUCAUCCAUGCCCUUUAUUAUGUCCUUCAUAAUAAACUGAUCAAUGUAAGUGAGGGUUUCCCUGACUUCUGUGAGCCAUUUUAGCAAAUUAUUUAACUUAAGGUAGGGGUCCUGAGAACUCUGAUUUGCAGCUGGUUGAUCAGUAUGAGUGACAAACUGGGGCUUGUAACUGAGUCUCAAGUGGGGCCAUCUUGUGAGACUGAGUCCUUAACCUGUGAGGUCUGAUGCUAUCUCCAGGCAGAUGGUGUUACCAGGAUUACAGGAUACUGAACUGGUGUUGGAGAACCAAUCAGUGUGGGAAAAACCCACACAUCUGGUGUGAGAGGUGUUACGAGUGAGGGUCAACGAAAAUCACGACGAGUUUUUCCUGAACAGUAGGUGAUAACUUUUGACACUGAUGGGGAUACUUCUUCAGCAGACCCUUAUCUUUUGAUUUUCACUGUCAGCUUAUUGCUGCCUACAGGGCUUAAUCUGAAAAAAAAAAAUUACCAAAAACUGAAAUGAAGUAAUGCCUGUAGUUGGACACCAUACAAUAAAUAGCAAAGCCACUAAAGCAAGAACACCCUUUCUGCACACUGUAUAAUUUAUAAUGGGACAGCUCUGUCUCUCCGUCUGCACAUUUGGCACACUCUUAACUUGCAGCCUCCCUCCUUUGCCAUUGACCUUGCCAGCGUGAGUUCAGAGACUUUAUGCAUCUUGCAGACUGUAGCCCAGACCGUGGGGUCAGCCAGGGACAGACAGUAGCACAGAAUCUUUCUCUUACCUCCUCCUAAGACCAAUGGCAUUAGCUGUUCCCAAACAUUCAUGUUCAAGCGCACUUCAUUUUAUCAUCAGUUGACUUGCUUGCAGUCAUUUGAGAGACAAACGUUACAUUUGUUACAUCUGGAAAAGGUUGGGGGUAGCAUGUAGGUUUAGCCAUUAGCAUAUGUGUCUUACAUGUUGCCAGAUUGUAAGAGAAGCUGGAACUUCAAAGUGAAACACCUGUUAAACCCAGCUUGCAUUAUUUUGAUAGAACUGUUAAUCAUGAUGCUCGAUUAGAAAAUGGGCAAGUGCAAAAGUUGACGAGACCUGAAGGCAACGGAGAUAAAGUGGUACUGAGCUGGGAAAACCAGGUCACAUGGUCACCCUACCUACACCUACACCCACACCCACAUCUAUUUCUGUCUAUAAAUGUCUCUCUGCUCUCUUAAGACCCAGGUAAGAUGGGCUCAUCCUCUUGCCUUGUAAGUGCCCAGUGCCCUUUCCAAAAUGUUUGUGGCUACCAGGGCCUUGCCUUGUCAUGGUUACCUCUGGCCCUAACUUUCUGAUUCUUCUGAAUUAUUGUUCACACCUCUGUUUUCUUUUUUUUGAUUUUUUUUUUUCAACGUUUAUUUAUUUUGGGGACAGAGAGAGACAGAGCAUGAACGGGGGAGGGGCAGAGAGAGAGGGAGACACAGAAUCGGAAACAGGCUCCAGGCUCUGAGCCAUCAGCCCAGAGCCUGACGCGGGGCUCGAACUCAUGGACCGCGAGAUCGUGACCUGGCUGAAGUCGGACGCUUAACCGACUGCGCCACCCAGGCGCCCCUCACACCUCUGUUUUCUAUUUUAAUUUACAUUUUGGCAUCAAAGGAAAUUCAACUCCUUUUUUGAUUUCUACAAAGCAGCAACUUCUGUGGCAGAUGUUAUUGGAUGUUGGUUGUUGGAUGACAAAUUUGGACAUUGAAAGAGGAGCAAACACCUUAUGUCCCAAGUGACUUAAAACUGAAUAUUCUGUCUCUUCGCUUCUCAAAUUCCUCUUUCAUGCCCUCAUCCAUUCUUGCCCUCCUGGCACCACCUUCACAGGACCCCUCCCUCUCUCCAUCCAAUUUAUACAAUUUUUGUUACGUAGUGUGAUUAACAUUCACUGGAUUUGUACUCAAACUCAGCUCCAGGCAUCCUGAGUGGAGACAAAUCUUUAGGACUUACUAGGACUUAUUUAAGACAAAUUAGGACUUAUAAGGAAGUCCCAAAUUAAAUACUGUUUUUUUUUUCCUAAUUUAUGUGUGGUUGAUGGGGAUGGUUUUGUUUUUCCAUAUACACUUCUAUACAUCCAUAUAGAUAUUAUACACACACACACACACACACACACACACACACACAUAUGUCCAUACAUACAUAUGUGUGUAUGUGUAUUUGUGUAUGUAUUUCUAUAUUUCUUCCAAAACAUUUCCUCAGCCUGUGGGUUUGGAUGAGAUCACAUUAACAUUAACACCCAAAUUUCAUUUGCUCACAACAUCCACUUCUCUGUAGGGCCUCACUCACAGCCGCCCCAAUGAUGAUGGUUCCCAGGCGUCUCAUCACACAAAUAAAUGUUCUUUAUUGGAUGCUGCUGUGAUUCUAUCAGAGGCCCUCCACAUCCAUGGGGCUUCCAGUGGUGGUUAGCAUGUUUUCCGAUCCCUAGAGCCCCUCCUGGCACUUUGCCACAGUUCCUGAGAUCAUCACCAACAUGGUGGCAACGGGCCCAGCACAGCAGUGAUGUGAUCUUCCUAAAGGUGGGCCAAGAGCUCAUCUCCCAGACGCCGUGUCAUAGCUCUUCAUCUGGAGCUCCCCGUACGGUUCACAGCUUACCCAUCUUUCUCCUGACCCUGUCUACAGGCAUCUCCGUCCAACAAAUUCCUCCUGGCAGUCAUCUUUCCUCACCUACAUUCCAAAUGUGAAUCAAGUGACAUCGACACUUGUGUGUCCCUGGCCCCACACACAGCUAUGUGUACAUAUCAGUUUAGAUUCAUGCGGGAAACUGGCCCCGGUUUUUUUUGUUUGUUUGUUUGUUUGUUUGAUUUGUUCCUAGAUUCUUAGAAUCACUGGUGCAGCAAGAGCUGUUUUCUUCUUUCUUUCUUUCUUUCUUUCUUUCUUUCUUUCUUUCUUUGAUUUAUUUUUGGUUGUUGUGGUGGUGGUGGUGGCAGCUGUAGGGGAGGGCUGGGAAAAAGAACUAACAUAUUAUAAAUACUUUUGAUUCUAAGGUGCAUCUCAAUUUUAAAAACUUUCAAAAGUGAAAAAAAAUCAAACUUAAACUUGAAGAAAGAGAUCUAAUUUAGUGGGAUUUGGGGGGUGAGGCAGGAGAUAUUUUGGGGAAAUUUGCUUUUGUAUUUCCUUUAUUCCAAAAAAACCCUGCCGUGGUGCCUGGGUGGCUCAGUCAGCUAAGCGUCCGACUUGAGCUCAGGUCAUGAUCUCGCAGUUCAUGACUUUGGGCCCCACAUGGGGCUCUGUGCUGACAGCUCAGAGCCUGGAGUCUGCUUCUGAUUCUGUGACUACCUCUCUCUGCCCCUCCCCAACUCGUGCGCUGUCUCUCUCUCACAAAUAAGCAAACAUUAAGAAAUUUUGAAAAGGGGCGCCUGGGUGGCGCAGUCGGUUAAGCGUCCGACUUCAGCCAGGUCACGAUCUCGCGGUCCGUGAGUUCGAGCCCCGCGUCAGGCUCUGGGCUGAUGGCUCAGAGCCUGGAGCCUGUUUCCAGUUCUGUGUCUCCCUCUCUCUCUGCCCCUCCCCCGUUCAUGCUCUGUCUCUCUCUGUCCCAAAAAUAAAUAAAACGUUGAAAAAAAAAAAAAAUUUAAAAAAAAAAAAAAAAGAAAUUUUGAAAAAAGACUACCUUAUACCUUGGUGCAAACUUAUUAUAUAUUCAAUAUGUAUUUACGAGAAGUAGAAUUUUAGAGCUAGACAAGGUGAAUUUCCUUAUUAACAAGUUGGGGCUCAAAGACUUCAGCGAUGUUGCAAGGGAACAGGACCGGAUAUGACUCAAUAGGCAAUAUGCAGUUUUUCUGCCUUUCUGUUCACAACAUUUUAUCCAAAGAAAGAUGAUGUGCAUUUAAAGCAGUCAUUUUAUCAUGAAAAGCUUCUUUACCAUCAGUGUUGCCCUUAUUUUGAAGAGCUGAAACAUGCACUUAAUUCUUUGGAAGAUGAACCGUCUGUAAUUCGGCAAGAGAAGUUUGGGAAUAUUUUUGUGUUACUGAUGUAGAAGGACAGCUGUAACCAAAAGCAAUAGUUUAUAAAUAUUCAGUGUGUCUUGGGGUGCCUGGGUGGCUCAGUCGGUUAAGCAUCGACUUCAGCCCAGGUCAUGAUCUCGUGGUUCUAGGGUUCAAGCCCCCCAUCGGGCUCUGGGCUGACAGUUCAAAGCCUGGAGCCUGCUUCAGAUUCUGUGUCUGUCUCUCUCUCUCUGCUCCUCUCCUGCUCCUCUCAAAAAUAAAUAAAAACAUGGGGCGCCUGGGUGGCGCAGUCGGUUAAGCGUCCGACUUCAGCCAGGUCACGAUCUCGCGGUCCGGGAGUUCGAGCCCCGCGUCAGGCUCUGGGCUGAUGGCUCGGAGCCUGGAGCCUGUUUCAGAUUCUGUGUCUCCCUCUCUCUCUGACCCUCCCCCGUUCAUGCUCUGUCUCUCUCUGUCUCAAAAAUAAAUAAACACUUAAAAAAAAUAAAAAUAAAAAAUAAAAAAAAUAAAUAAAAACAUUAAAAAAACAAAUAAAUACAAACAGUAGAAAAAAAAUUUUUUAAAUAUUCAGUGUGUCUAACAAUGGGAAUCUUUUUUGAUGAAAUAAGCACAAAAACUUCUGGAUAUAUUUCACAUAAUAAAAUAAAUGUGAAAUUAUAUAAAAGUCAAAGACUUGUUUUAGCCAGAUUUAUAUGAGAAGUUAAAGAUAUCCUGUUAUCCAGCCAUCUUGGGGUUUCUCUUUCCUUUUCAACAUCCUGAUUUAUUGGAGAAGAAAUACAACCCAAGAGAACUCACCGUAAAAUUACUCAUAUGAGUAGGAGAGCUCUGUAAUGUAGAUGGAUAUAACAAUAAAGAUUAGAAAUUUUUUCUGUUAAUGAUCAGUUAUGAAAGUGGUAGAAAACAGAUAGGAUUAAUUAAAUCAAUGGAGGGGUGCCUGGCUGGCUAAAUCGGUUAAGCAUCUGACUCUUAGUUUCGGCUCAGGUCAUGAUCUCACGGUUCGGGAGUUCAAGCCUCACGUCAGGCUCUGCAUUGACAGUGAGGAGCCUGCUUAGGAUUCUCUCUCCCCCUCUCUCUCUGCCACGCUCCUGCUUGUGCGCGCUCUCUCUCUCUCAAAAUAAAUCAACAUUAAAAAAUAGCAUCAAUACAAAAAUAAAUAAUAGAAUGAAUGUUGUACAACAUUCUUUUUGUACAAAAGGAAGGUCAUUUGCCUGCAAGAAACUGAGAACUUAAAUUAAGGAAGUAUUGUUACCUGUUUUAAAAAAAGAAUGUUCCAAGGUAGGCAGCAAAAGGCUAAUUAAAGUGGUGGUUCCAUAGGCACCCAGUUACCUUUUCCCUUUCUAUUCCACCUUCCUUGGCCACAGUUUCCGACUCUACAGUGACCUUAGGGUCCAGGAUAACCAUUUGUUGUUCCCAUCAUGUCACAUUUGCAUUCGUCAGUUUCCAGUUGGCGAGAAUUGAAUCUACUUUAGCCUUUAGCCACUGCACACAAAAAUGACUGCGUCCCCGCAUUCUAAAGGGCUUAUAGAAUCAGAGAAGGCUGAAAAAACAACCUCCCGUCUAAGCUUUCAGGAAUGAACUCCCAAGUCACAUGAAAAAACCAGGCCACCGAGGGUCCUGCUGUCCCUACUGCGACCAAGAAGCUGGUUGCCUGGUGAGAGAGCUGCCCCUUCACUUGCUGGAUUCAGACCCACACGGCUACUGCACAGUCAGAGCCACCCAAUCCCUGGAGUCACCUGACCACAAAGCUACAAUGAUUGGAGAGUCGGAGUCACUGCUGGGGUUUUCGGAACCAAGGUGUUUCUGCUUCAGUCUGCACCCACGACUUCAGUGACCGAAAAUGGGGUCCUCAGCUAAUGCUUCCCCGGCUAACUGGAUCCCACACAGUGAGGCUUGCCGGCAUAAACAGUAGAACGAGCACAUCUGCAUUCUGCUUACUCCUGCCUUCCAGAUCUUUCAUGCAUGCAUCAGAGGGGUCAAACAUUUACCAUGUCCAGAACCUUACUUGCAAGGAAAUCUGGAGAAAGUCAUUUCUUAAAAUAUUUUAAAAUGUUUAUUUAUUUUGAGAGAGAGACAGAGACACAUCAUGAGCAGGGGAGGGACAGAGAAUGAGGGAGACACAGAAUGCGAAGCAGGCUCCAGGCUCCCAGCUGUCAGCACAGAGCCCGACGUGGGGCUUGAACUCACAAACUGCAAGGUCAUGACCUGAGCUGAGGUCGGAUGCUUAACUGACUGAGCCACCCAGGCGCCCCUGCGGAAAAUCAUUUUUAGCUUUCUCAUCUCUGAAAUGUUGAAAGACAAUGCUCGCAGGGAGUUGCAAUAGACAGUAAGCCAAUCUUCCAACCCGCUGAAACAUUCCAGGAGAAGGAAAGGGGAGCGUCAAAAGACAGCCUCUCCCAUGAGAUCAGCUGGCUUUAGAAAGCUUUUCCUGAGGCCUUAACCAAUGAUUUCCAUUUGCCAUUCAUUACCCACUCCUUCCUGUAAAGGAGACUGGAAAAAUAGUAUUUUAGCUGAGCAUAUUGCUUCCUGUAAUAAAACCAGAGUUUUAUCAAUAAGAAAGAAGUAAGUAGGAGCGUGCCUGGGUGGCUCAGUCAGUUGAGCGUCCGACUUCAGCUCAGGUCAUGAUCUCGCGGUCUGUGAGUUUGAGCCCCGCAUCGGGCUCUGUGCUGACAGCUCAGAGCCUGGAGCCUGCUUCAGAUCCUGUGUCUCCCUCUCUCUCUGCCCCUCCCCUGCUCAUCCUCUGUCUCUCUCUGUCUCUCAAAAAUAAAUAAAUGUUAAAAACAAAAAAAAUUUUUUUUAAAAAAGAAAGAAGCAAAGAAGAUCAUGGUUACCUGGCAAGUAAUUAACAGCUUCAGCUGCAGCCUACCCUUUUUAUUUCUCAGCAUCUAUACUCGUCCUUCUUUUCUUCCAUAGAACACAUCACCUCUUUCCUAAGGAGACAGCCCAAGUCCUCAUCCAGGGAAGGCACCUCACUCAAGGGCCAGAGAGAGAAAUGUGGCCCUCCGUAUCAGGUCCAAGUGUGGUCUCUUAUGUCCAGGAAUGUAUAAAAAUAGAAAAAAUUAUUUGCUGCCGGUGCAAUUAUGAUGAAGAAACAGGAUCGUGAUGGUUGAACUCUUCCUUUCGGAAAGGGGUAAUGGGCAGAUGUAUCAGUCACUAUUUCAUAGCAAUGAUGAAAUCCUGCUGGGCAAGAUUAGCAAGGCUUCCUGCUCUGGCAGAGCCGUUAGCUUAUCUGGAAGUUCUGUGCUCCAGGGGGUUACUUCCCCACUGGUUCCAUUCUGAGUUUGCCUCUUUCAUGGGACAAUAUUAAAUAAAGUGAGUACCUAACACAUGCCAACAGCUACCAUUUUCCUAUAUUUUCCCUGAUGUGGCAGACACCUUCUGACCUUCAAAGUACAACAGGCAACGGUUUGAUCAUGCAUUGCCCACAGCAUCACCAAGGUCAACAGCUUUCCAGAUGUUAACAGGUAGAUUCUCCCAGCCCAAAGCAUAGCCGCCUUCCCAAGACAAGUGUAACUACGAAUGUUUCUAUGAAUAUGCACCUAGAUUAAAACAGUGCACUGAGCUUUAUCGUGAAACUAAAAAGAAGUCAGUAGAACACAAAUAAUUGCUUAGGAGGGAAAACAAAAAAUUUUAAGCAUCAAUCUCCCCCCAAAUACAGGUUUAACACAAUUCAAAUUCCAGUCCUAACAUUCCUGCAUGAUUCUUUGAAACUUAGCAAGUUCUUCUAAAGCUCAUCUAGAAGAAAAAUGCAUAAGAACCAACUAGAAAAUGUUUGAAACAAGAGAGAAGAGGGUAACUUGCCAUCAAAAAACUUGUAGAUGAAUGCACAUAGCAUUAUUUUUCAUAAUAGGCAGAAGGUAGAGACAAAUGUCCAUCAACAGGUGAAUGGAGAAGAAAAUGUGGCACAUUCGUACAAUGGAAUAGUAUUCAGCCAUGAAAAGGAAGGAAGUAGUGAGAAGAGCUACAACUUGGAUGAGACCUCACAAACAUUAUGUGAAGUGAAAGAAGUCAGACACAAAAGAUCGCAUAUUGUAUGAUUCCUUUUUUAUGAUAUAUUCAAGAUAGAUGAGUCCAUAGACACACAGAUUAGAAUUGGGGGGAAGGGAAAAAUGGAGUGUAAUUACUUUAGAGGUGUAGGGUGUUUCUAUAAAGAUUAAAAAUAAAUUGAAACCAAAAAAUAUGGCAGUUGCCUAACAUUGUGAAUACACUAAAUACUACUUAACACGGAAUGUUAAAGUGACUAAUUAUAAUUAAUAACAUGAUUAAACAAUGGCAAGAGGACCUAAAGAGGCAUUUUUGGAAAGAAGACAUAUAGAUGGCCAGCCGACACACAAAAAAGAUGUUCAACAUCACUAAUCAUCGUGGAAACGUAAAUCAAGAAUCAUGCACAACAUAUAUCACCUCACAGAAUGGCUAGAAUCAAAAGACAAGAAAUAACAUGGGUUGGCAAGGAUGUGAAGAAAAAGGAACCCUCACGUAUUGUUGGUGUGAAUGCAAACUAGUGCAGCCGCUAUGGAAAACAGGGUUUUCCCUCAACAGGUUUUUGAGGGUUCUUCAAAUAUUAAAAAAAUAGAAUUAUUAUAUUAUCAAGUAAUCCCACUACUGGGUAUUUACCCAAAGAAAAUGAGAACACUAAAUUGAAAACAUACAUGCUCCCCUAUGUUUACUGUAGCAUUGUUGACAAUAGCUAAGAUAUGGAAGCAACCCAAGAACCUAAGUGUCCAUCUUUAGAUGAAUGAAUAAUAUAUAUAUAUGUAUAUACGUAUAUAUGUGUGUGUAUGUGUGGUGUGUACAUAUAUGUGUGUGAAGGUAUAUAGAUAUAUAGACAUAAUAGAAUAUUACUGGAAUAUUACUCGGCCAUAAAGAAGAAUGAGAUCUUGACAUUUGCACCAACAUGGAUGGACUCUAGAGGAUAUAAUGCUAAGUGAAUAAAUCAGGUGAAGAAAAACAAAUACUGUAUGAUUUCACUCAUAUGUGGAAUUUAAGAAACAAAACCAAUGAAUAAAGAAAAAGGAGACAGGGGCGCCUGGGUGGCGCAGUCGGUUAAGCGUCGCGUCCGACUUCAGCCAGGUCACGAUCUAGCGGUCUGGGAGUUCGAGCCCCGAGUCGGGCUCUGGGCUGAUGGCUCGGAGCCUGGAGCCUGUUUCCGAUUCUGUGUCUCCCUCUCUCCCUGCCCCUCCCCCGUUCAUGCUCUGUCUCUCUCUGUCCCAAAAAUAAAUAAACGUUGAAAAAAAAAAUUAAAAAAAAAAAAAAAAGAAAAAGGAGACAAAUUCUUUCUUUAAUGUUCAUUUAUUUUUGAGAGAGAGAGAAAACGCUAGCUGGGGAGGGGCAGAGAGAGAGGGAAACAGAAGAUCCAAAGCAGGCUCUAUGCUGACAGCAGAGAGCCUGACGUGGGGCUCGAACUCACGAACAGUGAGAUCAUGACCUGAGCCGAAGUCGGACACUUAACCGACUGAGCCUCCCAGGUGCCCCAAUGUUUAUUCAUUUUUGAGAGAGAUUGCAUGAGGGGAGGAGAAGCAGGGUGGGGGGGGACACAGUUUCUAAAACAGGCCCUACCCUGACAGCAGCAAGCCCAAUGAGGGGCUUGAAGUGAGAUCAUGACCUGAGUCAAAGUCGGACAUUCAACCAACUGAGCUACCCAGGCACAUGGCCAAUUUAAUUAGCAGAGAUGAAAACUGAGAAAUGUUAAUAAUGGUAUGGACACACAACUAUCAGAAUUGUGCAGGGGAUCUAUUAAUAAAAGGAAAAAAGAUGUAAUGGACACUAGAGGAUAGAAGAAGUCUUUAAAAAUUUUUUUAAAUUUUUAUUUAUUUUUGAGAAAGAGAGAGAGAGUGCAAGCAGGGGAGGAGAAGAGAGAGAGAGAGACACAGAAUCCAAAGCAGCUCCAGGCUCCCGGCUGUGAGCACCAGAGCCUGACACAGGGCUUGAACCCACCAACCAUGAGAUCAUGACCUGUGUCGAAGUCAGACGCUCAGCCGACUGAGCCACCCCGGGACUCCAAAGCAGUUUUUAACAUAGCAUGCACACAACAUUUCUAAGGAAAAGAAUUUUAAAAAUAUAAAGAAAGUAUAUAACUUCCAACAAGUAGAGAGAAAACAUGGCAUGAGAGAAAAUAUCCAUCAGUCUAAUUGAAAUCCAGAAAGGAGAAGGAAAUUAACAUUCAAGGGUUGGGACAAAUGAAAAGCACAAAAUAAGAUGGUUAAAAAAAUACAUCCAAAUAUAUCAGUCAUUAUAAUUGAUAAAAUGACAAAAAAAAUCCCUCCCUAGUUUAAAAAGAUUGAGAAAAAGUAAAAAAAAAAAAUUAUGUAGUUAAAUGUUGUUUAAAGAAGAAAUAGAACAUAAAAAUUCUGAAAAGGUGAAGUUAAAGGAUGAAGCAAACUGGUGUAGCCACUCUGGAAAGCACUGUGGAGGUUCCUCUGAAAGUUAAAAACAGAACUACCUAUGAUACAGCAAUUGCACUACUAGGUAAUUCCCCAAAGAAUACAAAAAUACUAACUUGAAGGGGCACAUGCACCCUGAUGUUUAUAGCAGCACUAUUGAUAAUAGCCAAAUCGUGGAAACAGCCCAAGUGUCCAUCGACUGAUGAGUGGAUAAAGAAGAUGUGGCAUAUAUAUAUAUAUAAUGGAAUAUUAUUUGGCCAUAAAAAAGAAGAAAAUCCUGUAACAAUGUGAAUGUAGCUAGAGAGUACUAUGCUAAAUGAAAUAAGUCAGUCAGAGAAAGAAAAAUACCAUACGACUUCACUUUUAUAUGGGAUUAAAAAAACGGAACAAACUAUCAUGGUGGGGGGGAAAGAGAAAGGAAAACCAAGAAACAGACUCUUAACUACAGAGAACACACUGGUCAUUGCCAGAGAGGAGGGGGGUGGGGGGUUGGGAGAAACAGGUUAUGGGGAUUAAGGAGUGCACUUGUGAUGAGCACUGGGUGAUGUAUGGAGGUGUUGAAUCACUUUAUUAUAUACCCAAAGCUAAUAUUAUGCUGUUACCUAACAAAUUAAAAUAAAAGCUUUUUUUAAAAGGAAGCUUUAUUCAGUCAGGCAGCCAACAAAUAUUAGCAUUCAUUAGAUUCAUCUAAAUUUUCAGAUACAUAUUCCAAAAUCAGUAAACAUUUUUUAGAAAGAAUUAAUGAAGGGGCACCUGGGUGGCUCAGUCGGUUAAGCGUCCGACUUUAGCUCAGGUCAUGAUCUGCGGUUUGUGAGUUCGAGCCCUGCGUUCAACCCUGUGCUUACAGCUCGGAGGCUGGAACCUGCUUCGGAUUCUGUGUCUCCCCCUCUCUCUGCCCCUCCCGUGCUCAUGCUCUGUCUCUCUCUGUCUCUCAAUAAUAAAUAAAUGUUAAAAAAUUUUUAAAAAGAAUUAGUGAAGUACUAAACAAUAGGAAGCAAAUUGACCUAUAUUAAUAGCAGCUUAAGGUGAAUUUAAGGCAACAGCACUAAUGGAAAUAAAACUGAGUUUCGGGGUACCUGGGUGACUCAGCUGGUUAAGUGUCCAACUCUUGAUCUCAGCUCAGGUCUUGAUCUCAGAGUCAUGAGUUCAAGCCCCACAUUGGACUCUAAAGCCUACUUUAAAAAUAAAUAAAAUUUAAGGGGGCACCUGUGUGGCUCAGUCGAUCAAUUCCAACUCAUGUCUCAGGUCUUGAUCUCAUAGUUGUGGGUUCAAGCCCCAUGUUGAGCUCUGCGCUGGGCACGAAACCUACUUAAAAAAAAAUCUGACAGUUACAAAAUAUACAAAAUAUCAAAGGUUGAAUUCACAGAAAAGAUAUUUAAAACAUAAACUAGUAUGAACCCAACAAUUUAACUUCAAAAUGUAUUCGAUAGAGAAUAUUGAAGGAACUAUGAGGAGAAUCGUCAAAACCAGGCUACCCUGUCAGUAACUGAUGGGUCAAGUGAAGAAAACUCAGUGAAGAAGCACCUGGGUGGCUCAGACAGUUAAGAGUCUGAAUUCAGCUCAGGUCAUGAUCUCGCGGUUCGUGGGUUUGAGCCCCAUGUCGGGCUCUGUGCUCAAAGCUCAGAUCCUGGAGACUGCUCCAGAUUCUGUCUCCCUCUCUCUCUGCCUGUUCCCCACUAGCAUUCUGUCUGUCUGUCUGUCUCUCUCUCUCUCUCUCUCUCUCAAAAAUAAAUAAACAUUAAAAAAAAACCAAUGAAGACUGAAAGUUUUGAUCAACACAAUUAAGAUACUUAAUUAAUGGACUUGGAGAAAAUUUCACUAUUUAGUAAAAAAGCCAAGUGACUGAAGAAUAAUGGAGUACCAUAACACACACAUAAUUACAGGAAGUUGAAAAAUUUGCAAAACCAACAAAACCAUUAUUUGGGAAAUCAACAUCUAUGGUAAACCUAUAAAAAGAAACAAAUAAGUUGAAAGACAGAACGUUUUUAUUUUAGGGUUUUUUUUAUUUAAAAAAAAAAGUUUUUUAAUGUUUAUUUUUGACAGAGAGAGAGAGAGAGACAGAGCAUGAGUGGGGGAGGGGCAGAGAGAGAGGGAGACAGAAUCCAAAGGAGGCUCCAGGCUCUGAGCUGGCAGCACAGAGCCCGACGCGGGGCUCGAACUCCCAGGCAGCGAGAUCAUGACCUGAGCUGAAGUCGGACGCUCAACCGACUGAGCCACCCGGGUGCCCCUAUUUUAGGUUGUAUCUACCUACUCCCUAUAAUGAAAGAUGGGGAUAAUGUGUACCUGUCCACUUCUUCUGACUUCCUUUCUUUUCUCUUGUGUUUUCAAGGUUGCAGACAUUAAUGUUGUAUUCUGUAAAUACAUGUGUGAGAAUGACUGGAUCCCUGUCCUGGACAGCAGUUGGCUUCACCCAGUUUCAACAAGAUGAAUAUUCCAAGACUGGCCUCGGGUGGCUCCUGCUCAUACUUCCAUAAGGAUAUUAAGGUGAUCAGCAAGAUGUCAACAAGAGGGUCGCUACUAGUAUGUUUCUAGACUCCUGCUCUGGAGAGUGCCUCUUUCUACUCCCUAGGCAAGGAAACUAAGGAAAGUCUCACCUCCAAAAGUCUGUGAACAAUUUAAAAGGAGAAAUUUGGGUAAGACGAGCUCUUCUGGCAUGGACGUGGUACAAAUUUACUAGUUUGAAUAAUAGCACAGAUAUAUAAAGAAUAUGGUUCACACUGCUCAGUUGCCCCAAUCCCAAGUGGCUUGAGAGCUCUGUGGCUCUUGAAAUCUAAGAAAACUCCCUGUCUCAGGAUGGGGCACUGCUUAUUAAUUUCCCAGCUGAUAGUGAGAGAUUUCUGUGUGCCCUUAAAAAACCCACAAAACCCACUGUAAUUCCUUUUUCUAAACCAUACAGAUAAACUGUGGAUUCGUGAAAAUCUAACAUGAAAAGUCCCUUUGUCAUGGACAGUCUCACCUUUCCAAAAUCCAAAAGUCAUUUUUAAAAAUCUGAUAAAUUCUACCACAGAAAGUAUAUAUAAACACCAUAAACAAAGUCAAAAGAAAAAUGUCAAAACAGGGGAAAUAUGUACAAUUUGUAUCAAAGAUAAAAGCCUCUUCUUCCCCAUGAAAUGAUGGACAGAGGAGGUGCACAGAUUGUUCACAGAAAAAGACACAGAAGUGGUCCCUAAACACAAAAAAAUGCACAAAACAGGAUAACCAAACAGAAGGAAAAAGCAAAUAAGAGGUACCAUUUUUUACCAAUUAGACAAGCAAAAUCCAGCACUUUGAUAACACAUUCUGUUGAUUAGCUGCGAGUAAACAGGCUCCAACAUACAAUAAGGGAGUCAGAAAUGGUAUUACUCCUAUGGAGAAAAAUUUCAGCCUAGAUAAUGCUGACUCAGAAAUUUUACUUCUGGGAAUUUAUUCCAUACACAUCUUUUUUUUUUUUUUUGUUACAGCAAAAAAUAGCAAAAGCCCAAGUCUUAUCAAAUGUUUGCUCAGUGCUGUCCAACAAAAAUGUGAGUCAGUUUGUAAUUUUUAGUAUUCCGGUGUCUACCUUCAAAAAAAAUAAAAAUAAUCAGGUAUGCUUUAUUUUAAUAACAUAUUAGCCCAAUAGAGACAAAAGAUUUCCACUCUGACAUGUAAUCAAUAUAAAAAACUAUCAAUGAGAUAUUUUACAUGACUUUUUUUCAUACUAAGUUCUCCAAAGCCAAUGUCUAUUACACGCAACAGACAUCUCAAUCCAGGCUAGCAAGACCUCAGGCAUUGAACGGCCACAUGUGGCCAGGGGCAGCCCAGUUAAAUGGUUAAGUGAAUUAUUAAAUAAAUUAUUAAUCUUAGACUGAGUUCCCCAGAGAGUGAAACCUGCUGCAAAAAUGUGAAGUGAGGCCAAGAAGAUACAUUCCAAAUGAAGGAGCUUAAUGAAACCAGCACCACUCGGUGUCAAGAGUGUUUUCUGGGUGCUGGAUCCUAUAAUGCCCAUACAAUCCUGUAAUUCAACUAUGAUGCCUGCAUCUCAGGUCAGUUCCAGGGGAUAAGUGAAGGAGGAAGUAAGAAUCUAUCUGUAGACUCCUGUCGCCCACUGGGCAAAGGUUCAUGCCACAGGGUUUAAUUCCAGGCAUUUAUAGGCUGUGCAUUCCUGGGCACCCACCUCUCCUGCAGCAUCCCAGUCCCAGCUAACCUGGAGGACUGGGGCAGGAAACAUCAGAGAGGGUGGUAGGCGAGGCAUCUCUAGGUUGCGCACUCAUGAAUUUGAUUGUAUGACAACUAAUUAUCAAAACGGUGAGCCUGGAAAAAGUGGAUAAUGGUCCCAGAGACAAAUGUGGCUCAGAGGAUCCGGAGUGAUUCAUAAGACGUGUCUGAGGUGCACACUGAACAUUCUCUAAGAUAGAUCACCUACCUCAUGGUAGGUCAUGAAACAAGUCUCACCAAAUUUAAGAAGAUUAUAAUCAUUCCAUACUUCCCAAAGUGAUCUACAGAUUCAAUGCAAUCCCCACUGAAAUCCUGAUGGUGCUUCUUAUAGAAGUGGUGAAAACAAUCCUAAAAUUUAUUUUGAACCACAAAACCCUAAAGAGCCAAAGAAAUUUUGAGCAAGAAGAACAAAGCUGGAGGCAUCACACUCUGAUUUCAAAACAUAUUAAUUACAAAGCUAAAGUAAUAAAACAGUAUGGUAGUGGCAUUAAGAAUAGACAUAGACACUAAUGGAGGAAAAUAGCGACCCCGGUAAUAAUCCCACACAUAUAUGGUCAACCGAUAUUCAACAAGGAUGCAAAAGGUACACAGUGGGCAAAGGACAGUCUCUUCAAUAACUUGUGUUAGGAAAAUCAGAUAUUCACAUACAAAAGAAUGAAGCUGAACCCUUUUGUCUCACCACAUAUGAAAAUCAACACAAAAUGGAGGUAAAACUUGAAACAGUAAAACUCCUGGAAGAAAACAUAGGGAAAGAGCUUGCAGGCCUUGGACUGGAGAAUGAUUUCUUAGACAUGACACAAAAAGCACAGGAAACAGAAUGAAAAAUAAACAAGGGACUACAUCAAACUAGAAAGUCUCUGCACAACAAAGAAAAUAAUUAACAAAAUAAAAAGGCAACCUAUGGAAUGGAGAAAACAUUUGCAGACCAUACAUCUGAUAAGGGGUUAAUUAUCCAAACUAGGUAAGAAACUCCUACAACUCAAGAGCAGAGAACCCAAAUGGCCAGAUUAAAAGAGGGGCAAAGGAACCGAACAGAUAUUUCUCCAAAGAAGAUAUAUGAAGGCCCAACAGAAUAUGAAAAGGUGCUCAGCAUCACUAAUCAAUAGGGAAAUGCAAAUCAAAACUGCAAUGAGAGAUCACCUCACACAUAUUAGAAUAACAAUUAUUAAAGAAAUAAAAAGACAAGUGUUGGCGGGGGUGUGGAGGAAAAGAAACCCUUUGUGAAAUGUUGGUGGGAGUGUAAAUUGGUACAGCUACUAGGGAAAGCAAUUCAAAGAUUAUUUUCCCGAAAACUUUGGAAAUAGAAUUACCAGUUGCUAUAACAAUCCCAAUUCUGGAUAUAUACUGAAAUCAGAAAUCUGUACGGAACUGAAAUCUGAAUCUUAAAGAGAUAGCUGCACUCCCUGGGUCACUGCAGCAUUAUUCAUAAUAGCCAAGACAUGGAAAUAAUCUAAAAUGUUCAAUGAUAGAGGAAUGGAUUUUUUAAAUGUGGUAUGUACCUACAAUGAGAUGUCAUUCAGCCUUAAAAAAAGAAGGAAAUCCUACACUUGCAACAGUAUCGCUGGACCUGGAAGACAUUAUGCUAAAUGAAAUGAACAAUAGAAAGAUAAAUACUGCAUGAUCUCACUUAUAUGAAGAAUUGAAAAGAGUCAAACUAAUAGAAGCAGAGAGUAGAGGGGAGGCGAUAAUCACAGGGUAGAAAGUUUCAGUAUGCAAGAUAAAUAAGUUCUGGAGAUCUACUAUAUGGCAUAGGGUCUAUGAUGAACAAUUCUGUUUUGUAUACCUAAAAAUUUACUGAGAGGGUAGAUCUUAUGUGAAGUGCUUUUACCACAAAGAUAAAAACAAAAGUGAACAUAAAAACAUACAAAAACCAAAGGGUCAGGAAGAAACUUUUGGAGGUGACGGAUAAAUCUAUGGCGUUCACUGUGGUGAUGAUUUCACAGGUGUACCUUUGUCUCAUGGCUACAAGUAAUCUUUGUAUUUCCAAAUUGUCAUACAACGGAAGGUUGGAAAGACUAAAAAAAACUAACACAAGUGAUUUUUCUAAAUGAAUCAGGAUAGGAUUGAUGGAGAAAGUGGUAGAAGGAAAACUUAAUAGAUACCUUUUAUAUAAUUUCAAUUUUUAUCCCUCAUGACCAUAUUUACCAUUCAAUACAAAAAAAAUUGAAUGAAAUUGUAAGUCUGAAUAAGGUAGUCAGGUGAGUUGUUCUCAAGCACUACUUUUUAUUUCUUUUGGUUUCAUAUCAUAAUGCAUUCAAGGUUUCCCACCAGUUCUUGUACCAUUUCCUCUCCCUUAUUGAGAUUUUAUUUUCCAUCCAUGUUUUGAUUUAUCUUUGUUAACUAGAUUCAAUCAGUUUAAGAGUUCAGGGAUCCAGGAAACUCUAAGUUCUUAUUUGCUUGGGAAUGUCUGAGUUGUUCAUUUUGCUCUGGUCUGUUUUCCUGAAAGGCUAACUGGACCGUGUUAAACAUCACUGCACUGUUUUCUGGCAUUAGCUGUUUUGGGGAAGAAGUAUGAGGUCAGCUUGAAUUCUUUUCUCCUUGACGUGACAGGAUUUUUCUACCCAGUUGACCAUAAGAUAUAUUUUUUGUCCUUGACGUUCAGGUUCAAGACGCUAUGUCUCGGUGUUUAUUUUUUGUAUCAGUUCUUGGGAAAGUUUUUGUCCUUUCGAUUCACAGAUUCAAUCAUGUUUCAUACUUGUGGUUUGUAGUUGUACUCCUUUCCUUGUUUUAUUGAGGUCAAAAAUACUUAUUUUCUGUUUCUUUCUCUUUAUUAUUUUCAGCGGCGUUUUCUUCCAACAUUGUAUUAUGAAAAUAUUUGUGCAUGCCGAAAAGUUGGAAGAAUUUUACAGUGAAAAAGAAUCAUAUUAUCUCCUGCAUGGGUUCUAUAACUGACAUUUUGCAAUAUGUGCUUUAUUACAUAGCUGUCCUUUCAUCCAUCUUCAAUAAAUUUUAUUUUUUUAAUGCAUUUCAAAGUAGGUUUCAGAUAACGGCGCACUUCCCAGUGAGUUCUUCAACAUGUAUUUUGUUAACUAGAACCCAUUAUUUGUUUGUUUUCUUUCACAGUAAUUUAAAAAAAUUAACAUACACCCAAAUACACACAUUUUAAUUCCAUGAUUUUGACAAAUGCAUAAUGCAUGUAACCUAAACCCUUAUCAAAAUAUAAAAUAUUGCAAUGACCCCAUGUCCAUUCUCAGUCAACACCCACCCCUAGUCUUUUCUCCCAAGAAGUAACCGCUGUUCUGAUUUUUUUCCACCAUAAAUUAGUUUUGCCUAUUUUAGAACUUCAUAUAAAUGGAACCACACAGUAUGUACUUUUUUGUGUAAAAUUUCUCCUCCUCGGCAUAAUGUUUUGGAGGUUCACCCCUGACGUUGCUUGUAUCAAAAUUUCUUGCUUUUUAUUGCUGUGCAGGGGCAAUGUUCAUUGUAUGAGCAUACUGUAAGUUUUUCUCUAUCCAUUCUUCUGGGGAUGGACAUGGGAUUCCAACCUGGGGCUAUGAUGCAUAAAGUUGCCAGAAACAGCUUUACACCUGUAUUUUUGUAGCUAUAUGUUUCCAAUUCUUUGAGUAAAUAUCAUGUGGAAUGAAUGGGUGGGUCAAAUAGAGGUAUAUGUUUAAUUUUAUGAGAAAUUGAGAAUUUUUUUCUAACGUGGUCAUAUCAUUUCAUAUUUCCACCAAUAUCAUAUGAAAGUUCCAGUUACUCCCCAUCUUUGCUCAUAUUUGGUGUUAGUUUUAAUCUUAGCCAUUCUGGUGGAUGUAGAGUGAUAGUUCAGGAUGGUUUGGUUUGCAUUUUCCUGAUGAAUAAUCAUGAUGAAAACUCUUCCAGAUGCUUACUGUCCAUUUCUAUAUCUCCCUUUGCUAAGUAUUUGUUAAAGUCUUAGGCCAAUUUUUAGAGAAUUGUUUGAUGUGGAUGUUUUAUUUUCUUGGAUUAUGGCUCUUUGUAAGACAUAUGUUUUUCAAAUAUUUUCUUUUGGUUGAUGGCAUUUUAGUAAUUUUCAUCAAAUCUUUAAUCAAGUUUUAGAUUUACAUUUAGGUCUCUGAUGCAUUUCAUGUUGAUUUUGAUGUAUAGCAUGAGAUAGGGGUUGAAAUUCAUUUAUUUUACACAUGGAUAUCAGUUAUUUCACCACUCAUUUCCUAACAAGGUUUCCUUUCCGUAUUGGAUUGCUUUGGUUCAUUUGUCAAAAAUCAAAUGACUGUGUAAAUGCUGGUCUAUUUCUGGGUUAAAUACUCUAUUUCAUUAAUCUAUUUGUCGAACUUUUUCACUGUCUUAAUUAGUAUAGCUUUAUAGUAAGUCUUAAUGCUAGGUAGUUUAAGUCCUCCAAAUGCGCUCUUCAAGCAGACAGCAUAAUCAUAUUCAGUCUCCCAAUCCAUGAACACAGUAUGUCUCUCUACUUUCUGGUCUUUCAUUUUUUUUCAGCAAUGUUAUAUGGUUUACAGUGUAUAGGUACUGCUGAUCUUUUGUUAGCUUUCCCCAAGUAUUUAAUGUUUUUUGACAGUAUUGUAAACGAAUUUGCUACACUUUCAUUUUCCAAUUGUUUGCUAAGAGUACAUAGAUAUACUUUGGAUUCAGUAUAUUAACCUUGUGUCUUGCAACCUUGCUUAAUUAACUUACUAGUUCUAAAGUUUGGGUUUUUUUUUUUUAUUAAUGUAACUAUGUCAAUCUUUUUUUUGACUGUUUCUCAGGUUUAGGUAUCGUUUACAAAAGGCCUUUGUUAUUCCAAGAUUAGGAAAAUAAGGUCUUAUUUUUCUAAUACAUGUAUACAUUUUACAUUUAGAUUUUCAUUCUACCUAGUAUUUAGUUAAAUGUGUGGCAAGAUGAGAAUGUAGCCUUAUACCAAUCUAAUAAUUGAUACAGUAAAUUGUUUUAACACCAUUUAUUCAUUAAGUUUCCAUCUUUGCACUGAAACUGAAUUGUUAUCUUUAUCUUACACUAAGUUUCAAAGGGUCUUUUUCUGGAAUUUGUAGCUUAGUCUAUUUAUUUGUUUGUAUAUAUAUAUAUUUUUUUACCAGUAUGGUGGUUUUAUUAAUCAUGGAAGUUUAUUUAAAAAUAUGUUGGCUAAUUCUAUGCAUUGACUCCUCCAGAUAAAUGUAGAAUUAACUUAAAUUUUAUGCAAUAUCCCAUUGGGAGUGUUAUUAGAAUUGAACUGAAUUUAUGGACUAAUUUGAGAUAACCAUGUAUCUCUGAAUAUUGAGUAUUCCUACCCAGAAAUACAAUUUACGUCAUUUUUUUGGAAGUUGUUUUAUGACUGUGGUAGGUAGAGCUUUAUCAUUUUCUUCACAUAGAUCUAGGUUAUUUUCCUCAAGCUUCUUGUAAGUAUUUUAUAAUUUGCUAUUGUCAUGGGAUCUUUGUAUUUUACAUUUUCUAACUGAUUUUUGGGAAGCAAUUGAUUUCUCCAAUUUCUGUCUUUGUUGAGUUUACAAUAUAAUUGAAUUCAAAUCCAUAAAAUAUAAUAGGAUUCUUAAAUAGCUACUCAUAUAAUUGCCACUUCCGUAGAGAAGAGAAGGGAGGCUGUAAGAUACCAAUGAAUUGCCUUGUACUCUGAAAGCCUGCUGCAUGAACAACCUGAGACUCACUUGCAUUUUGUAUCUGCAGUUGAGAAACAUCAUAAUAUAUACCAAGAGUUUUGAAUUUAAAGGGUUCCUUUCACAUUAAAAACACAAGGUUCACAGAGGCACCUGGGUGGCUCAGUCAGUUAAGCGUCCGACUGUUGAUUUAGGCUCAGGUCACAAUCUCACUAUUUGUGAGAUCAAGCCCCGAGUUGGGCUCCGUGCUGACAGCACAGAGCCUGCUUGAGAUUCUCUCUCUCCCUCUCUCUGCCCCUCCCCCCCAAUAAAUAAAUAAACUUAAAAAAUUAUAAAAGCACAAGGAUCACAGAAAUGAACAAUUGUGCUUUCCUUGUUAAGUGUUUUUCUUUUAUCAAGUAGAAAGUUACAAAAAAAUGAAUCUCCCAGUUGUUCCAUUUUUGCUGAUAUAUUCUCACCUCUAGAUCAUGUUUGUGAAUCUAGUCUGAAGAUUUUAAAUUGAGUUCAUCAAUUUACCAGGCCUGAGGGAUACAAAGCCUAGCCCCAAGCUCCCCUCCCCUUUUUCGAAAGCAGCAGUUUUUUAUGAAGGGGCGAGCAACCCGAGUUUAGAAAAAUCCCAAAGAGUAUGCUAAUCAGAUCUCUUCUUGGGCACAAAGAAACCUUGCUAAUUUUUAAAUGCUGCCUGCUAUCCAAAUUACAGAGUGGUCACAUUUUUCCAUUACAUGGUUUUAUAAUAUUUAAGCCAAAUACAGUUUUCUGGUGUUAACAAAGGGAUGAAUAGGCAGGAAUACAUACCCACCUGUGCCUCUUUAAAAAAAACCUCACACAUUUGAAUCCACAAAUGUCACCCAAUUUUCUAAAGUGCCUCACCAGCCUUUUAUCCUCAUAAAACUCCAUAUAAUGAGGCUAAAUGCAAUGCAGAUGUCAGGGGGAAAUGCACUAACCACUUCCUGUCAGCCAUACAGGUAUUCAACAAGCCCUCUCCCCAAACCUUCCUACGGUGUCCCAGGCAUUUAUCUUCUCUGUGGGAAGCACUUGAAUCUGACAGCCCAAAGUGUUUUGUUUCAUUUUUAGUGUCUCAUAAAGCUUUUCUGAGGUGAAAAAAAAAAAAAAAAAAAAAGCAGAUAAUGUGGCUAACAAUGAUUACCACUCUUUAUUUUCCUUAUUCUUGGGGUGAAGACUGCCCUAAUUUCAAAUCUCAUCGUCAAAAUCAGACACAGGCUAAAACAUUCUCUGGACUUCAUGUCCUAUAAAGACUCUAAGCUGCCCAAUCAGUCUCUUUCACAUGCUCUUCGGGGUUUAUAAAUAUUGUCAUGAAUGAUUAUCAGUCAUUAUCAAUAUGACCUUGGGCUCUGGUUCUUUGAAGACUUUUAAUUUAAUUUUUUAGUGCAUUUUCUUACAUUGCAACUUACUAGCCCAACCUUGUAUUAAAUGACCUGCAACCAUGGUCGUAUGUAUUGUGGGCUGUGGCAUCUGCCUUUCAAUGUGUCUCCCUAGUGAAACCUAAGGGAAUUCAUUCAAUACAUAACUAUUUAGCUCUUACUGUGUGCCGGUCAAUGCCCCCUGCCUUCUAAGUCCAAUGGGGAUGUGAUCAAGUCAAGAAUGAAUUACACAAGACAUCCAGAUGGCCAACAGGCACAUGAAAAGAUGCUCAACGUCACUCCUCAUCAGGGAAAUACAAAUCAAAACCACACUGAGAUAUCACCUCAUGCCAGGCAGAGCGGCUAAAAUGAACAAAUCAGGAGACUAUAGAUGCUGGAAGGGAUGUGGAGAAACGGGAACCCUCUUGCACUGUUGGUGGGAAUGUAAACUGGUGCAGCCGCUCUGGAAAACAGUGUGGAGGUUCCUCAAAAUUUUAAAUAGAUCUACCCUAUGACCCAGCAAUAGCACUGCUAGGAAUUUACCCAAGGGAUACAGGAGUACUGAUGCAUAGGGACACUUGUACCCCAACAUUUAUAGCAGCUUUUUCAACAAUAGCCAAAUUAUGGAAAGAGCCUAAAUGUCCAUCAACUGACGAAUGGAUAAAGAAGAUGUGGUUUAUAUAUACAAUGGAGUACUACUUGGCAAUGAGGAAGAAUGAAAUCUGGCCAUUUGUAGCAAUGUGGAUGGAACUGGAGAGUGUUAUGCUAAAUGAAAUAAGUCAUACAGAUAAAGACAGGUACCAUAUGUUUUCACUCUUAUGUGGAUCCUGAGAAACUUAACAGAAGACCAUGGGAGAGGGGAAGGGGAAAAAUAGUUACAGAGAGGGAAGGAGGCAAACCAUAAGAGACUCUUAAAAACUGAGAAUAAACUGAGGGUUGAUGGGGGGGUGGGAGGGAGGGGAAAGUGGGUGAUGGGCAUUGAGGAGGGCACCUGCUGGGAUGAGCACUGGGUGUUGUAUGUAUGGAAACCAAUGUGACAAUAAAUUUCAUAUUAAAAAAAGAAUGAAUUACACAUAGUGAGAUAGGGUGAAGGCGAAGGAGGGGUGUUCAUGGAAGAUGAGGGAUUAAGGAAGGCUUCCUGGAGGACAUUAUUCAUUUCAGGGUAAUUCCUGAGGAUUAAUAUUGAGAACCUGGAGGGGUAAGAAUUGGGGGAAGCAGAGAAAAGGGAAUGUGAACAGAUCUGGAGGCAGAAUAUAGCUUGGUACAUAUAAGGAUGAUCAAUCAUGCAGACGUGAGUCUGGAGAAUACUGAGCUGUAAGUACUGAUAGUGCUAAGAGGCUACAGGUUAAGGGAUUUCCUUGAGGACAGUGAGUACCACACAUACUAAGAGGCUUUAUGCAGAGGACCACACUGGAUUGCAGAUCACUCUGGCUACAGCAUGGGAAAUGAGUAGGUUAAGGGCUAGUUAGGAAGUGGUAUUGCAGUACUCCAGGCAAGACAUAAAGGUUUGGUUUAAUAAAAGCUAUUGCCUAUGUAGGAUGGAGAACCACGAAUGACUUGAAAACGAUGAAAAGGAAAAAUUGUCAGAACUUGGGAUAUAUUGGCUGCGGCAUGAGAUGGGGAGAGAAAUCAAGGAUGAUUUCCACGUUUCCAGCUUUGCGGUUGUAACUGAACCAACGUGAGUUCAUUCCUUGGUAAGUCAGAAACUGCACCAGGUUGAGAUUCCCCAUAAAGAAAACUUUUAUUUGCAGCAAAUGAGGAGGUCAUAGGGAAUGGCUUCCAAAGCCGUGACUUCCCGCAAGUGAAUGAAUGGGCGUCUUUUGUUUAGAAUUAGGAUGAAUAUUUAGAUAGGGAAGCCUUGUAAUCCUGUGUAUAGGUGGGCAUAAGGUAGUGAAUGUGUCUUAAGGAAACAUGCCUAUGUAUAUUGUAUGGUAUGUAAAUGAGGCUGAGGCUCCUCCCUAGGUGGAGAUUUUAGUAUUAUAAUGAGGUAAAAGGUGACUGUGGGUCAUUCCAGAGGUCACUCCAUAGUCUAUCCGCGCAGAUGCAAGUCAAGUUUAGCUCAAAUGGUCUGGGCGGUCUGGGCCAGCGGGAGGUCUUGUCCAGGCCAUUGCCAUCACCUGGGGGGUGGUCUGGGGUCUCAUUUGCCUGAGUUAAGAGGAAAACCCAAAAGAAGAGCUUAGGGGAAAAUGUUAAGACAAAGGUUAGUGAAUAUAAGCAGGUGGGUGGUAAAGGCCAGGUCUUGGGGUCUAGUGACACGAUGACAUGUUUUAUUGAAAAGCCCAUUGCAGAUUUCUUGGAAAAAGAGCACAGUUUUUGGAUACACCCUCAGCUCAGUCCCUCGUUAGCACUGUGUGUCCUUGUAUUCAUUCCUUAAUCUCUCUGAGCAUCAAUUAUCUAUAAAAUGAAGAUACUAUUGCAAGGAUUAACUGUAAAUGCCAGCAUGUUGAAAAUAGCCUAACAGUACUAAUCAUAUAUUUGGGCAUCAAGAAUGAGAGCAGCUAAUAUAGUUGGCAUCUUUGUGAUGUUAAGUCUUUCUCUACACAAAGAAGGUGUAUCUCUCUAUUUAUUCUGGUCUUUUUUAAUGGUCUUGUGAGAAAAAUUUUUUCUAAGUUUUUGCUCCUAUUUUAAGUGGGGUGUUCUUUUUUAUUACAUUUUCUAAUUGUUCCUUGGUAGUGGACUAGAAAUUCACUUCUGUGUUGUGAUUUUCCAUUCAUCUAAUUUGAUUAUUUCCAAUAAUUUGGCUACUGUUUUUGGAAAAGUUAUGCAAAUAAUUCUGUCAUCGAUAAAAUUUUUAUUUCUUCUUUUCCAAUUCUUAUACCUUUAAAUUCUUAUUACACUGACUAAAGCCUUUAUACUGAUACUGUGUAAUAGAAAUAUAAUGUAAGCUCCAGAUGUAAAUUUUCAAAAAACCCAACAGGCUUUAUUUUUGAUAGCAGUUUUAGGUUUACAGAAAAACUGGAGAUUACAGAGAGUUCCCAUAGACAUCCUUAAUCCCCCGCCCCCACAGUUUCCCCUAUUAUCAAUAUCUUCCAUUAAGAUACAUUUAUUGUAAUUGAUUAAGUAUUGAUACACUAUUAACUAAAGUCCAUAGUUUACAUUAGGGUUCACCUUUUGCAAUGUACAUUCUGUGGGUUUUGACAAAUGCACAAUGACAUAUAUCCACCAUUAUAGUAUCAGACAGAAUAGUUUCACUGCCUUAAAAAUUCUCCUUUGCUUCACCCUAAUCUCUCCCUCCCCCUGAACCUCUGGAAGCCACUAAUUUUUUUACUGUCCCCAUCACAUUGUCUUUUCCAGACUGUCGUAUAGCUGGAAUCAUACAGUAUAUAGCCUUUCCAGAUGGACUUCUUUCACUUAGCAAUAUGCAUUUAAUGUUCUUCAUGUCUUUUCAUGGCUUAAUAUCCUUUCUUUUCCCUUCUUUCCUUCCUUCCUNNNNNNNNNNNNNNNNNNNNNNNNNNNNNNNNNNNNNNNNNNNNNNNNNNNNNNNNNNNNNNNNNNNNNUUUCUUUCUUUCUUUCUUUCUUUCUUUCUUUCUUUCUUUCUUUUUUCUUUCCUUCUUUCUUUUUCUAAAUAAUAUUCCAUUUUAUGGAUAUACCGUAGUUUGUUUAUCCAUUCACUUAUUGAAGGACAUCUUGGUUAUUUGCAAGUUAUAGCAAUUAUGAAUAUAGAUUCUAUAGACUUUAAUGCACAGGUUUUUGUGUAGGUGGAAAUUUUAACUCAUUUAGGUAAAUACCAAGAAGCACAAUUGUUGGAUCAUAUGGUAAGAGUAAGUUUCUUUUGUAAGAAACCACCAAACUGUCUUCCACAGUGGCUAUGCUAUUAUGUAUUCCCACUAGCAAUUAACAUUGUUCAUGUUCAUGUUGCUCCACAUCCCGGCCAGUAGUUGGUUUUGUCACUGUUUUGAAUUUUAGCCAUUCUAAAAUUGUUGUUUUAAUUCACAAUUCCUUAAUGACGUGUGAUCUUGAGCGUCUUUUCAUAUGCUUAUUUUCCAUCUGUGUAUCUCUUUGGUAAAGUGUCUGUUCAGAUCUUUUGCCUGUUUUUUCAAUGGAUUGUUUGCUUUCUUAUUGUUGAAUUUUCAUACUUAUUCAUAUAUAUUUGACACUACUCCUUUAUCAGGCAUGUGUUUUGCAAAAACUUUCUUCUUUGGCUUUGUCUUUUGAUUUUUUUAACAGUGUCUUUUGCAGAGCAAAAUUUUAAAAUUUUAAUGAAGUCUCAUGUAUCAUUUUUCUUUCUUUUAUGAAUGAUGAUUUUGGUGUUUUAUCUAAGAAGUCACUACCAGGGUGCCUGGGUGGCUCAGUCAGUUGAGUGUCUGACUCUUGAUUUCAGUUCAGGUCAUGAUCCCAGGGUCGUGGGAUUGAGCCGUGCCUCAGGCUCUGCGCUGAGCAUGGAGCCUACUUAAGAUUCUCUGUCCUUCCCUCUGCCCUCUCCCUGGCUCAUGCUCCCUCUCUCUAAAAUAACAUAAAUAAAUAAUAAUAAUAAAAAGUCAUUCCCGAAUGCAAGUUCACCUAGAUUUUCUAUGUGAUCUUCUUAUCUAAGAAUUGUUUAACUUCUAUUAUGAUUUCUUCUUCGAUCUAUAUGUUGUUUAGAAAUCAUUCCUAAAAUUUUAAAUACAUGAAUAUUUUAAAUAUAUAUAUUUUUAAAUUACUUAUAACUUUAUUUCAGUUUGUCUGGAAAAUAUGUUUUAUUUAUAUAUUACUUGUCCUUUGGUAUUUUCCCUGUUCUAUGGCCUGGUAGAGAAAUAAUUUUUGUAAAUGGUGUAUGUCUGCUUGAGAAAAAUGUCUUUUCUGAAUCAUUGAACCCAAUCCUGCUUGACAAAAAAGUCAGCAUAUUAACUGUGUUUUUGAAGUUCUUUGUGUUUUAUUUGUAUUGCUUAUUGUACCUAUCAAUAGUGAGAGAGGUGUGUUGAAACCUCCCACUUGGGUGACAGAUAGAUUCCGCUCUCUUUAUUUCUAUCAAUUUUGCUUUGUAUGUUUUGAGCCUAUGUUAUUAAGUGCUUACGUAUCCAUCUCUUUGGUGAAUUGAGCAUAUUAUGAAAUGAUUCUAUUGUUCCUAAAGAUGCUCUUUAAAAUUUAACUCAACUUCUUCUCAUUUUAUGUAGCUUGCUCAAGUUCACUUAACUAGCAUGUGGCAAGGCAGAGUUCAUGCCCUCACACCCGGGAAGUCUGGGGCUAGAGCUUAUGCUCCUAACCAUCUGCUCAAUCUCUCCACCUCCAGGCAUCAGCACCUGAGCAAGACUUUCACUUGUCUUGCUGCCUUCCACAACAUCUGUGGCAAGUACCAGCUGUACCUGUCAGAUGAAAUGGGGAUAGGCUGCCACAGGUUCCAGACGUGACAUUUGUACUUAGAAGAGGAGCUUCUAAAAACCUUUGGCUCCAUCUUUACCCAGACUUGAACCUGCAGGUUCCCUAUAAAAGUCAUUGGUGGCUUCAUUCCUACAGCUCAAACUUUUCUAGCUCUAUCUCCAACCCCAGUGUGUUUACUUGAAGUCGCUUCACUCAAGUCACCACUUUUAUUUUAUUUUCCUUCCAUUGUCCCUACCAUGUCCCCCUUGGCUUCUAUUCUACCAGCUCCUUUAGGCCAUGCAUAUUGAACAGUUUGCAAGGAUGGAGUUUGGACUCUCCCCUUCAUGAGACUUGGCUGAUCAUUGUAUCAGCCUGCCCCCUGCCUGAUACUUGGUUAGGAAAACAAGCUCAGAAAACAUAGAACAUAGAACCUAAGUCAGGGUCUAGCCCUUCAACUUCUCCCUACUGGAUGGAAAGAUGGACAAGAUUUUACCGAUUAGAGUAGCUCUCUAUUCUUACUUUGGAAAGUUUCUUUUCUCAGUCCUCCUAUACACAAAUUAUUGUACAAAUUUUUGUGGACAUAUGCAAAAAUAAGAUGGACCCCCAUUGGAAAGUUGGCUUAGAUAUCAAGUCUCGUGACUCCACACACUAAGAAGGUAUGAAAGAGUUUUUAACUACAUAAUGAGGCCUUUGGGGGAAGGGGAAGGAGUGUCUCUCAUGCUGGUCUAAAAAUGACUUGAGAGAACAAGAAAAGGAAAUUGAUUUGGGGUUUUUUUUUAACUUUUUUUUUUUUCAACGUUUAUUUAUUUUUGGGACAGAGAGAGACAGAGCAUGAACGGGGGAGGGGCAGAGAGAGAGGGAGACACAGAAUCGGAAACAGGCUCCAGGCUCUGAGCCAUCAGCCCAGAGCCUGACGCGGGGCUCGAACUCACGGACCGCGAGAUCGUGACCUGGCUGAAGUCGGACGCUUAACCGACUGCGCCACCCAGGCGCCCCUAAAACUUUUUUUAAUGUUUAUUUAUUUUUGAGAGAGAGAUACAGAGCAUGAGAGGGGGAGGGGCAGAGAGAGAGGGAGACACAGAAUCCAAAGCAGGUUCCAGGCUCCCAGCUGUCAGCACAGAGCCUGACACAGGGCUCAAACCCAUGAACCGUGAGAUCAUGACCUGAGCCAAAGUCAGAUGCUCAACCGACUGAGCCACCCAGGCGCCCCAACUUAUUUGGGGUUUUUACUGUGGGUGGGAAUUGAGGCCAGGGAAAGGACUUUUAUAUACAAGAAUGGGCUUAUGUAGAUUUUGAAACUCCCACCCGGUGCCAAGGAGGGAGCACCCAGGCUUUCUUAUCAACUUUCCACGAUGCAGAGCAGAAGAGGAAGAAGGAGAGAUGAGGCUUAAAAGUUGUCGAACAUCAUGGGGCACCUGGGUGGCUGAGUCACUUAAGCGUCCAAUUCUUGAUUUCAGCUCAGGUCAUGAUCUCAUGGUUUGAGCCCACAUUGGUCUCCGUGCUGACAGCACAGAGCCUGCUUGGGAUUCUCUCUCUCUGCCUGUCCCCUGCUCUCAAAAUAAAUAAAUAAACUUAAAAACUAUUCUUUUAAAAGGCUGUCAAACAUCAAAAAAAAAUCAGACUUGGUACACAAAUCUAUACCUCUGAGUUGUAAUCUCUUAUUUAUUGGCCAAUUACAAUAGCUCCACUUAAAGAAUAAGGUCCCCAAAAGCCAAGAAAUAGUUCUAUUUUCUAAAACCAAAGCUAAAGGAAAAAUUGUUCUCCAAGCUACUCCAACGCCCUGCCAACAAGUUAUGUUUCUGGGUCUGAGACAGACCAGUCACAGACAUGUGGAUAGUGCUUGAAGUGGUACCCCUGGCUGGCUUUAAUAUCCUCUUCCUGACUGUUGGUGGGAGGGACACAGCUCAGACAGGGAAUAAAUGCCAGCCCCUCCGUGUUGCAGAAAGUGAGCCAUACAAAGACAUUGCCAGGACUCUUCAUGUCAGGGACUAAGUUCAUAUAUCACCUCACAUUAAGUGACUAAUCUGAUCUGUUUCCAUGAUUAUAGUCAGCGGGCAAAUGAGAGACCAACUGACCAGGAAGGAAGACCAUGCCACAUCACUGGGAAGAAGGCGUGUUGGAAGGCAAGUGAGGGGUAAGUGGGACAGCAUCCGUCCGUUAAGCGCACGAAUCAUCAUGGCCAAACUUCCUCUUGAUUGACACAAUAUUCUAAUUGUAACAAACAUCCUUGGGAACAAAUAUAAUAAAUCUGCUCUCGCAUAAGUGGAAGGUGGUGGGGGUUGCUGCUUUUGCUUUUGGCAAAUCAAAAAAGAGGAAAACUCCCCUCUCAUGGAGGACGGAAUCUGUCAGAUUCUAGGGCAGGGGCUCAAUUCCUUAGCGGCUGGGCAGCAGCUGAAAGGAAUCCAGGUGGUUUCGAAAAGAGACUUUGCUGUGCCCCCUCCCUCUGGACUCAGUACCGAUAUCGUGAGGCAAGUGGAGGAGGGGAGGCAGGGGUGUGGAGGAAAGCAGGCUCCAGCCCAGCCCUGAACCAGCACUCUGGAUGCUGUUCCACUUCAGGGGUCAUUAGCAAGGCUCUUGACCUAAGUCCGACUGCGGACAAUGGGUGAAGAUGGCAAGCAGAACAAAGGCAGCUGGACAGCUACCUGCAGGUGAUUUCUCUCAGGGCAAGGAGGGAUUCUUUUCAAAGGAAGAGGUUGGAAAGCUGUUACCAUGGUAACUCUCCAAGUUCUGAAGUGAUGUAAUCAGAUAACGCUCUCGAGAGCAGAGGGUAGAUGGUGGAUUUAGCACACAUGAACAGCUAAAUUCUACAAGUAGAGCUUUUUCUUUCUCUUUUAUGGUAAAUUUCGAUAUUAAGAAAGGGGAAGAAAGAGGGAAAGAAGGGAGGAGAAAGAAAGAAAGAAAGAAAGAAAGAAAGAAAGAAAGAAAGAAAGAGGGAGGAAGGAAAGAAAGAAAGGGAAGGAAGGAAAGGAAGGGGGAAAGGGGGGAGGGAGGGAAGAAGGAAAGAAGGAGAAAGAAAGAAAGAAAGAAAGAAAGAAAGAAAGAAAGAGAAAGAAAGAAGGAGGGAGGAAGGAAAGAAAGAAAGGGAAGGAAGGAAAGGAAGGGGGAAAGAGGGGGGAGGGAGGGAAGAAGGAAAGAAGGAGAAAGAAAGAAAGAAAGAAAGAAAGAAAGAAAGAAAGAAAGAGGAAAAAAGAUACAGAAAGAAAGAGAAAGGUAACAAAAUAAAGCAAAAUAGACAAAAGAAAGGAAAGAUAUAAGGAAGAAAACUCAAACAUAAUUUAUUCUAAAUAAAUAUCUUUAGUAGCAAGAAAGAGCUGCCUAUGGAGUGGAAACUGAGAGAAGGAGGUUUGAUUCUCUAUGAUUUUGACCUUUGUGUUUUAUGAAGAUUGAUAGAGGAGUUAAUUGUUAUUCUGAGCACAUCUGGAUGAGUAUUAUUGUAAGACAUACUUACCUGGAUACAACUGCGUUAUCAUCAGUUUAACGUAAGAUUUCUUCCAUUUUGUCUUCAAUGGCUUGCUACUAAUGAUGUUGUGAAAUAUGAUUGUACAUGUGCUUGAUAUUGAUAAUUAAUCAUAAGCUACUUUCACUUCUGAGACAGUACAGCUUACUCUAUUCUAAAUUGUAAAACAUUGUUCUUGAGAGAAGACUUUUCAAAAUGACUCAAAUUAUUCAAUGAAUUGUUUGACAUCACAGGCCUGUCAAGUGGGUUGUUCACUCAACAUCCUUGGCCCCUCCCCCUUUGUCCUACUCCCAGCCCUCUAUGCGCGGGAUGAAUGUGGUUCGGAAAACAACACACUCAGGACUAGUGGCCACACUCCAGUUCAUGACCUUACUGAGCUCCCAUCACUGCCAAGGGGCCCUACACACCGUCCUUGCCACAUUCUUCUAUCCUCCUAGGUGACCACUUACCCCUCCCACCCCGCUUCCUCAAAUCUCCAAUAUGAGGAUGAACAUUCCUCAUCCUCAGCUUCAACUGUUCACUCGUCCUCAUUUUGCUGAGAAAACAAAACCCAUAAAAAGAGGAUUUCCUCAUCUUCCCACCCAAUUUCUUAACCUGUCUUCAUCUGUAAGGAUAGAUUGCCUGCCUCCUCCCCUGUUACACGAAUUGUAUCCAGACUGUGGGCCAGGACCAGCUCCUCCAUAUGUGACUGGAUCCUGUGGCCCCAGAACACUCAUUACCGUUAGCUCCACCCAUCAAUCCCGUCCUCUCUCUCCUAUGUCAUCAAGUUUUUCCUCCCAUCCAGAUCAUUUUCAAUAUCACAAAAAAUGUGUUCUUUUGUCUCCCCUGUGUCAAACAAAAAGAUAAACGCAAACUUCUCUUGAUUCCUCUAACCCCCAGCCUGCCUUGCACCCUUGUUGCAAAAUUGUUGAGAGUUCCCCAUUCUCACUCACGACGGCCUCUUUCACGUGCUCCCACUCUCUCGGACCAACUCCAUUAACGCCUUUUCCCCUCAUCACUCCAGAGAAAAAGUUUUUGUAGUAGUCAUCGAUGAAAUCACAUUGCUUAACCCACAACCUGUGCGUAGUCUUCCUCUUAAUUGACUAAGCACCAUUUUAGGAAGCUAGUUAGUCCCUUCUUCUUGAAACUCUUUUUCCCCUUGGUCUCUAAAACAUCCAUCUCCUGCUUUACCUUCAACAUAACUCAGUUUCCCUUCUAGUCUCCUUUGUUGACUCUACUUCUUUCAGCCUUUAAAUGUUCCACUUAUUUGUUCCCCUGGUGGAUACUCUGAUGAUGCCCAAAUUUCUGUCUCCAGCCAACACCUCUUUGAACUCCAGACUCGGGUACUCAAAUCUCCAUGUAACAUUUCCUCUUGCAUGUGUCAUAGGUAUCUCAUACAGAGCCCUUGGGUUCUCUCCUGUUCACACAAACCAUCCCCUCUCCCAGGGCUGUGAGCAAUCAAUGUUUGUGUCUCCUCAAAAUUAGUACGUUGAAGCCCUAAACCCCAGUGCGGUGGUAUUUGGAGGUGGGGCCUUUGGGAUGUAAUUUAGUUUAGAUGAGAUCGUGAGGGAAGAGCCCCCAUUAGGGUCCUUAUGGGAAGAGGAAAGGACCAGAGCCCCCUCUGUGAGGAUAAAGCAAAAGUCAGGAAGAGGGCCCUCACCAGAAUCGAAAUCUGCCUUGACACCUUGAUCUUGGAUUUCCCAGCCUUAAGAAUUGAGAGAAAUAAAUGGCCAUUGUUUACACUAUCUGCUGUACAGUAUUUUACUAUAGCAGCCCAAGCUGACAAGAAACCCAGUACCUCCCACUGCAUCUUGUUGCUUAAGUCAAGGUCAAAAUUUGGAGUCAUCUUUGAAUCCUCUCCUCUCAUAUUUCAAAUCCAACCCCUUAUCAAAACUUGUUGGUUCCAAUUUAAAAAUAUAUCCAAAAUGCAGCCACUCGUCAUCUCCUACAUUGCUAUCAGGCUCCUUCAAACAACCACAUCAUGCUUCGCCUUAAUUAUUACAUAAUUUCUUAUCUGGCUUCUCUACCUCCACUCUUACAUGUUGUCGUCUCUUGACACAGUGGUCAGAGACCUUCUGUAAACAUAAAGUCAGAUCGUGUCAUUUCCUUGCUCAAAACCUUCUGGUGGCAUCUGAUCUUACUGGAAUAAAAUCCAAAUUCAAACAAGGUCCUACAAGACCCUGCACAAUCUGUCUCCCGCCUGCUUCUCAGACCUCGCCAUGUACCACUGUGAUUCCUACUCACUGUUCCCUGUGCAUACUGACCUUCUUGACCACACCAAGCAAAUACAAUUCUGUUGUAGUGGCCAGAACACUUUCCCCCUAGAUACUCACAUGGUGUAUGCCCUCGUUUUAUUGAGGUCUUUAUUCAAACAUCUCUAAGAGAGGCUUUAUCUGGCUACUCUAUAUAAAUUAUUCCAUUCCAUCCUCUUACUCUCUUUUACUUUUUUUCACAGUGCCAACUUAUAUUCUAUAUUUAUCUCUUUCUCAUCUGUCACUUCAGAAUGGAAGAUUUAUAAGAGACUUUGUUUCUUUUGUUCAUUGCUGUAUUCCUGGAAAAAAGACAAUGUUUUUCACAUCGUAGACUCUUAAUAAAUAUUUGCCAAAUAGAUGGAUGAAUGAAUGAUUGAAUGAGGCAUUAUGUGAGGAUCCUACACUCACAGAGUACCUGAGUUAUUUUUGUGGUUACAGACAAGAUUCCCAGCCUUAUGUGGAGCCAGGAAAUUAACAAUCAGGUCCUUGAUGGCUGAUACACUUACGCACCUUUGGUUACAUGAUACUGCUGUUGAGCAUGGAUUCCAGCUCCCACUGAUCAUCUCCCUAGGCCUCAGAAAUAUCUUUCACAAAAAUCACAAACCCUAGACUCAACAUUUACAGAUGCCACCUCAUUUGGAUGUUGUAUUCUAGCUGGACUCCCAUCUCUCCUACUCAUUGCCCACCUCCUCCCCAUUCUCAGGGGAAGAUCAACCCCCCUUAGCAGAUACCAUGUCCAGCUCACCAUUCCAAGAACUUCUAUCCGUCCCUUUUGGAAAUAUGAAGAAAAUACCCUCAUGAGGGUGCAGAGGUGAGGUAGCCCUUUCCUCAAGGUUUUGUCCAAGUCUUGUUGAUGCCAGAGUUUGGAGGAAAGGAGGUGAGUAGAAGGAAUCAGAGAAAUAGGAGGAUACAGCCAGAGCUUAAGCAGAGGAUUUCCCUCCGUUUUGAAAUUAAUUAUGGAACACACAGAGGUUGUUUUGAAGCCCGCAGGCAAACACUUAUAAAGACAGAAGAACUCUGAAGGAGCUAAUUCUAAAAAAAGAGUUGUCCUUUGUUUGAAGAAUACGUUGAGUUGUUCUCCCCACCCUCAAAGCUGGAAUAAAUUCAUACAGUCUAAUAUCCACGGCUCCAGAGAGCUCAAGAGAUGAUCCUGAAGAUCAGAAGGGCUUUAUCAC